rnacentral:lncRNA from 1 species
UGUUCUAUUUAUACUUCAGCAGAGACGGCUAGGGUUUGUUUGGGCUGAAGAACACUUUGAUCCAACUCAUAUCAGUAAAGAAUCUUCCAAAAUCUGAUAUGAGUUAUCAACAAAUAAAAUAGAAACAAAUCUUUUAAUCACAGAUUUGUUCCAACAAUAAACAACCCGCAAUUGGCUCCCAACAAUCAGUUACUUGACCUUCAAGUAAGCACAAACCGUACCAUAAAACAUAACCAUAAGGGACCCACUUGCAUGCCAGCAGGGGCGGAUGUCCUGGCCUUCACCAAGGCAGAUGUCACGACAUCGGCUAGGACAUCAGGUUGUUUUUAACAAAAUUGAUGACAACAAAGGAACAACAAAUACAAGUGAAAACCUACAAGCAAAUACCUUAGCAAUAUUUCUUCAUUGUUCUUAUUGUGUUUACUCCUGCUUGUUUAGAAGCAACUCGUUGUAAACCCAAAUCUUCUACAAUCUGUUUGUAGUUCCUUGAGAGACCGGUGAGGUCAGAUUUCUUGAGAAGACUAAGAUUUGUGUGUCUUAGUGUUGCUAGUUCUUAGAUUUUUUAGUCACUGAGCAAGGCGUGCUAGUGCACUAGUGCAGUUGUAACAAUCUUUGAUUAGUGUAUUACCUUUAUUCUAUGAAGGAAGAAAUCACCUUAACGGGUGGACUGGAUUAGCUUGAGGGAUUUAUCAAGUGAACCAGGAUAAAACACUUGUGUGCUUCUCUCAUCUCUUUAUCUCUUGCACUUUGUGUUCUUGAAACCGAGAAGAUUUGUUAAAAUCUUAGAGGGAAAGUUUUUAAACGUAAAACCCUAUUCAAACCCCCCCUAGUGUUUUUCAUACCUUCACAAAAGGCCAAGGUAGCAAGUACAAGGAAAAACCCAAGAGGGUUAGAGAGUCAACCUCUACUACAACAUGAAUACAAUAAAUCCAGUGAGGGACAUUAACCCAAAAUACUCCCUGGACAGGGAACAGAAAGCUACAAAUUAAAUGAGACAGAACAUAAACCAGACAUAGGAAUAAACAACCUAUUAUAAUUGUCAUUGACCAUGCACAAAAUUGUAGGCACUUCUAGUAGCAGUAUGCGCUUGUUGGUUACUCUGUCUUGGGACACAGAAGAAGCCACAUGUUCUGAAGGAGUUCCUGAAGCUCUGGAUAUAUCUCAGAAUGGAAUAGACGCUCCAAGCAUAUCUAUGUUCACGAAUCAGCGAUACCAGAUUAAUUUUAUUAGAGCAAAUGUAGAGUUUGCUAUGUUCCAGGUUCAUAGCUAACAAUAGAGCUUCCCGGAUAGCUAGACCUUCUGCCACUAGUGGUUUAACUGCCAGGAUUGACCUUGAGUGGGAUAGGACAGUACUACCAUGUUCAUCCUUGAUCAUUACUGCAAUCAUUCCUUUCUUAGAGGAUUGGAAGAAGGUAGCAUCGACAUUAAGUUUCAAGGUUCCAGGAGGGGGAUUGAUCCAAGGUACUCUAUAGGAUCUAUUACUGCUGGGAAGAAGGGCUCUUCUCUGAGGUUCAUGAUCCUCAACAGUGGCCAUGCUAGCCUUGAUCCUUAUCGAAGUGGCAAGAGGUUGGGGCAUGCACUGUUGAAAGUGACAAUCAUUCCUCUCCUUCCACACUCCCCACAGAAAGUAGGCAAUAGUCCUCAAUCCCUGUUGGAUGGUAUCACUAUCUCCCUGCAGCCUUGCUGCCAUUUGAAUGAGCCAAUCCUUAGGUUGCAUAGUGUUGGCAUGGUCAUGAUUAAUUUGCACUUGGGAAUGUUGCCAGACCUCUCAUGUCCAAUGGCAACCAAUUAGAUCAUGAGCGCUAUCCUCUGGUUGCUGGUUGCAGUGGGGGCAAAUCGGGUCCAAAGCAAUUAGAGCAUGAGCCUGACCUGUUUAAUUAAAAGGCUAGGUUAAGGCUUUUCAAACAACCCAUGUAAUUAAGUAGGUCAGGAUUAGGCUUUUAGAAAAGCCUAUUAAGCCUAGUAGGUUGGCCUGUUUAAUAAUAUAAAUUUAAAUUUAAAUUCAACAUGUAUAUACAUAUUAAGUAAAAUAAAAAAUAUAAUAUUUAAAUGAACAAAAUUACUAAGAAAUAAUUAAGAUAAUGAAGAGUUUUUUUUAAAACAAACCAAGAGUCAGUUGAAAAAACAAAUUCAAAACAAAAGCAAAAAGAAGAAGAUAAGAAUAGUCUUGGAAGUUGAAAAAAUAAUCAAUAAAAAAUUGAAGAGAUAAAAUCUAUCUUGUGAGUUUCAAAUCAGGGUAGAACAAAGGUCAAUUUUUUUUUGGUUAACAAAAGAAGAUGAUUAGAAAUUUAGAAUUAAUUUAAAAAAAAAAACGAAAUUUAGAAUUAAAACUUUCAAAAAAAGAAAUUUAGAAUUAAAAGAAAGAAAAAGUUAAAACCCUUUCUCUUGGAGUCAUGCCGUCAUGGUUUGCUACUGCUAGUGUGUAAGUCAGUCUCAGUGUAAAAGAACCACUCGCUCAAGGCUGCUGCACCGGACCACUUCAAUGUCGUGCAUCGUCGCCGCUCACCAAGGUCGCAGAUCACUACCCUCAUUCGUCUAACCGUUUAUCAUUCUUCUGCAUAAAAUUUUCUUUUCAUCCCUUUGUUUUAAUUUCAUUUGUUCUUCUUGCCUUCUCUCUUUUGCGCUUUAAUUUAUUUUUCUAAACCCCAAAAUUUGAACAUUGAGUGAAUUUCUUUCUAAAUCUGAUUCAAUGUUAUGGAUUUUAUGUAUCAUGUUUGUUUGAUGAGCAUGAAUUCCACUUUCUUGUGCUCUUUAAUUUCAGUUUUAGAUUUCUUCCUAUAAGGAAUAUGAUUGUUGUUCAAAUAUUUUAAUUUGAUGUCGAAAGAUACAUUGCUUAUAUUAGUAAUGUUGAGUUCAAUGACCUUCACUUUUUCCCUUAAUUGGGUAUAUGUCACCAAUCUGUUUUGCUUUUUAGCACUAAUUUCAGCCCUAUAGUUUUACCCUCCAUUCUCAAUCUUUAUCAGGAAUUGUGUAAUACUCUUUCCAUUUUUUAUCUUUUGAAGUUUUAGCCCUUGGCUCUUAGAUUAAGGAGAAGUAAUUGUAUACAAGAAUUUUCUAUUUUGGACAAAAAUGACCCUAAACAAAACCUCAUGAAUUUAGGUUACUAUUACAACUCUAUAAAUGUAUGCCUCUUAGGUUACUGCAUCUUUGCAGUAAGUGUUGAAACCUUCAAGUUGCACUAAAAAUUGAAUAGCAAUGACUAAAGGAGUUUACUGCGUGAAUUUUUUUUUUUUGAAUUAAUCCAUGUAUUUCCCGCCAAAACUUCAAUGAGUUCUCAUCUAAUCUUUUUUAUGCUUUUUUAAAAUUUUCCACUCUUUGUUAGUUUCAAUUGUUUUAUCUUCCAUCUGUAACCAAAAAAGAAAUUUCAAUUAUUUUUAAAUCAUAUCUCUGAACUUUGCUUAUAAAAGUUGAGCUUCAGGAUGACAUUAGAUGUUGAGUUAUGGAUACAAACAAGGACAUGAGUGAGCCCUUAGUUGAAAUAGAUUUGAAUAUCCAUUUGAGAGGUUCUACCAUAUCUAAUGGAGGAAAUGUUGAACCUGAAAAACCGGAUUUAUAUUUGCUGGAUUUAAAUAAUGAUACUUCACAUCUUCCUAUUUCUAACCAUGAGACAAAUUAUCUAAAUUCUCAAGUGCCAUUGUCCAAUGUUUUUUUUCCUAGACUUAAACACUAAACCACCUCCCACUAUGAUGAUGAUGUUCAUCUAUUUCAAAAUAGUAUUAUUCAAUCUCAAGAAGAAGAUUGACCGUUGGAAGAAUUUGAAGACUUAUCCGAGAACCACCAUGAUGUGCAACUAACAAACUCAAAUGAUGGUACACUAUGUUCACCUUGUUUUAUUGUAUCUCGUCUCCCAUCUUAUUACUACCACCAUGCACAUCGUAUUCCAUUGCAUCACAUUUUGUAUAUUAUUACUACCACUAUGUUCACCUUGUUAUAUUUUCAAAUGCAUGUUAAUUUGUAUCACCUUGUUUUUUCUCUAAGGUGAUGCAAAUGAUAUUGAUGAGGAUAGCCAUGAGGAUGCGCAACCACCACAAGAGCCAAAUAUCAAGAAGAGAGGUAAAAAUAUGUCCAACGAUAAAAGAAGAGACAUAUAUGACAUGUUAUUCAAAAAAAGUAUUGAUGGAAAAUUGAGUAGGAUUGCAACACGGGUAGUGACAUCACAUUUUUUGGUUCCUAUACUAAGAGUUCAACGCAUUCGGAAAUGAGCAAGAGAUUGUGGUAGUGCUCAUGUUGAUGUAUCCCACAGAAUGGCAAGAGGUGGUUAAAAGAGAGUGGAAUUUGAUUUGAAUCUAAUUCGUGAUGUGCCUUUGCAUCAACGAACAACAAUUGAGUUUUUUGCUCAUGCCUUAAAGGUUAAUAAGAGUACCUUAUUUAUGCAUAUAAAGUCAAGUAAUAUACGGAGGCAUGCAAAUAUUAUGUCGCUUCUCUUAAAAAGAAGAAAAUAAGAUAGCAAAGUUACAAUUCUACAUAUCAAUGCUUGGAGCUAAUAGCAUACCACAUACUACAAAAAUUUAUGUCUGAUGUGUAUUCUCUCUUAUAGAUACAUGUUCUUUUCAUCUGUUUGGCUUAUUUGAAAUAACAUUGUAUAGUGGUGCCUCCUUAUUGAAAAUGUUUUGCUAUAUAUUUUCUCUUCUCAUCUGUUUGGCUUAUUUGAAAUAGCAUUGUAUAGUGGUGCCUCCUUAUUGAAAAUGUUUUGUUAUAUAUAUUCCAAUUGGUCUGUAAACUGUAAUGAAACAACAGUAAAACAAGAAGAAAACAUUAUAUCCAUAUCUUGUUCAGAAACAUAAUAUAGAGAGAGGACUUGCAUAAUGAACUUGUGAGGCACAUGUUAAUAUAUUUGUUGCAAAACUUGUAUAAGUCUUCCAUGAAAAGAGAUUGUGAUUUUAUGGGAUAAAAUUUAUAGUGGUAUCAUCCAUUUUCUACCUAUCAGCAUCAACACACUCAAGUUGCUAACAUACUUACAAAGCCGGUAGUUAUUGUUAGACCUCAAGUAGUUGAUUAAGUUAUUUUCUCUUUGUUAUUUAAUCAGUUGACAGUUAGCAAUAAUUAGUUAUUCAUCCUACCGUAAAAAACAACACAUGUGAAUAAUUAAAUGGCUUCUUGUAUGCAGUUUGGAUGUGUUGCAUGAUGUGGCCACUUCCGGUAGUCCAACAAAUUUGGAGGUGGUGCAUGAUGUGGCUAUGGCCAAUUUAACUAAUCCAACAAACUCGGAGGUGGUGCAUGAUGUGGCCACUUCCACAAAUCCAUCAAACGAGUGAGCGUUUCUUUAAAUAAUGGUUGUUCUUAUAAAUGAUUGAUGUUUUUGUAAAUGAUAGGUGUUCUCGUAAAUGAGUGUUUACUAACUUGUAGGUGUUUCAAAUCUGAAUUGUGUUUGUGAAAUUUACUUGAUUAGUUUAGGAUUGGAUUGACUUGCUUGUGAAAUUGAAUUGACUUGUUUGGUUGUGUUUCUGAACAUAUGGAUGUUUUCUGAUAUGUAGGGACACUAUGGGUCCUUCAAGUCCGAAAAAGGUUGGUGCUUGUCCGUGCACAAUGAAGUAUUUGAAGGAUGGAGAUGUUGGUUUUACGGAUGACAGAUUGGAAAUUUUCAAAGAGAGUCAGUUCUAUCAAUUUCUGCAAGGAAUGUUGAAGGAUGAGAAUCUAAGAGAAAAUUCUUCAAGUCUUACAUUGAAUAUAGGCCAAAGUUUCAAGGAGGAGAAGUUCAUGUUAAAUGCAAAAGGAACUUCAAUAUGUUUAUGUGCCAAGGAGGUGUGGAGUUCCUCUUACACUGAAAAAGUUUACAUUUCCCGAGUUUGUUGAUGAUCUCAAGAUGCUAUACGCAGGUGAUGUAAACAAAAAGGAGAAGAAGAAAAAAACAGAGAAGAUCGGUCAAAAAUUGAAAAAGGGGAAAGGAAAAAAAAGGGCAUUAAGCUCCCAAUGUUUGAAGAAAAUAUGGAAGAAUAUGGCAGUGUGUGAUCAGAGCGAUUAAUUAGGACGGUCCCAGUACAUGAAGCUGAUGCUGCUUUUCAUUGUUGAUCAGUUUUUUAUUCUAACAAACGAAAAAACUUAUGUGAGAAGUAACAUAUUUCAACAUGCAAAUGACUUGAGCAAAUUUGAAGAAAUUAAUUGGGCUGAAGCUAUAUUAGACCUCAUUUAUUCUGCAGCUACAAAAAUUGUUGGUGGAAAAUCAAACUUUGUUGCUUGUACUCCAGUUUUGAUUGAAUUUAAUUUAAUCAAAACUCAAUGUUGAUGUAUCCCACAAAAUGGCAAGAGGUGGUUGAAAGAGAGUUGAAUUUGAUUUGAAUCUAAUUCAUGAUGUGCCUUUGCAUCAACGAACAACGAUUGAGUCUUUAGCUCAUGCCCUAAAGGUUAAUAAGAGUACCUUAUUUAUGCAUAUAAAGUCAGGUGAUAUACGAAGGCAUACAAAUGUUAUGUCGCCUCUCUUAAAAGAAGAAAAUAAGAGAGCAAAGUUACAAUUCAACAUAUCAAUGCUUGAAGCUAGUAGCAUACCACGUAAUCUAAUUUUUGUGGCAAUGUAUAACAUUAUCCAUAUUGAUGAGAAGUGGUUCUAUUUGACAAAAAAAUUGAGAAAUAUUACUUGUUGCCGGAUAAAGAUGAUCUGAUACGUAGUUUCAAAAGCAAAAAUUUUAUUCCAAAAGUUAUGUUUUUUGUUGUCUUAGCUCGUCCGAGGUUUGAUGCUACGGAUAUGUAAAUUUUGAUGGAAAAAUUGGUGGCUUUCUUUUUGUCAUAAAAGAUCAUGCUAAAAGGACUAAUGCUAAUAGAGUUGCGGACACAAUGGAGACUAAACCUAUUAUAUCGGUAAAUAGAGAUAUGAUAAAAUCGUUUUUGAUAGAUAAGUUAUUACUCGCUAUCGAAGAAAAAUGGCCAAGAGAAGAUAUUCAAAUUCCAAUAUUCAUUCAACAAGACAAUGCAAGAACUCACAUUAAUUUAAAUGAUAAAGAAUUUCGGCAAACAACUAGGCUAUGGAAGAUGGAUUUAACAUUCGUUUGAUGUGUCAACCUCCUUAUUCUCCAUAUUUAAAUGUUCUUGAUCUUGGAUUUUUUAGUGCUAUUCAUUCGUUAAAAACAAAAAAAGGUAUCUAAAACGGUUAAUGAGCUUGUUGCCUUCGUAGUGAAGUGAUUUGAAAAAUUUCCACCAACAAUAUCAAAUCAUAUAUUUUUGACAUUACAAAUGUGCAUGAUGGAGAUUAUAAAAGCAAAAGGAUCUCACAAGUACAAUAUUUCACACAUGAAAAAGAAAGUGUUAGAAAGACAAGGACAACUCCCAGUGCAAAUCAAUUGUGAUUCUAGUUUGGUGCAAGAGGUUCUCAAUUUCUUAAACUAGAUUUUAUUCCAAGAAAAAGAAGAAGGAUAACUCCAUUUGCAAAUCACUCUAUUUGAUAUUCCUUUUUGUUCUUCUUAAUGAAAAUAAUUUACGAGACUCUAUUAUAUUUCAUUUUGUGGGAUGAUAACUUUCAAACGAGAAGUCUCCUUUAACAUGUAUCAGUUGCUUUUGAAUAGAAAAUAAAACAUGAAAAGAAAACAUAAACUACACUACCACAACACAUAAUUAAACCAAAUGAAAAUGGACUUCAUUCUUGCAUAGUUGCAAGCAUUUCAUGCACUUUUUGGUAGGAUAGAGCAUACAUAGUUGCACUGAAGUUUAGUAAAAUUUAGAAAGAUAUAUUUUUAAGGAAUCUCUUACUAUUUCCUCUUUUGGAGUUAGAUUUUCUUCAUCUGCAAACUUGUUUACAUCAAAUCCAACAUUAACAGGUAGAUUUAGAUCAAUAUCCCUAACCACUCUAUUCUCUAGUGAAUCAUCAAUCACCACCUCUGAUAUUCGUUGACACAAAUUUGAAGUAGUUGUGUCUUGAGGAUCAAACACAACCUCUUCUUCAAGUGAUUCCUCAACUACUAUCUCCAGUGGUUUUUUUUAUGUCCGCUUCAUGGUCUGUGGCUUUGGCUUUUUGAGUUGUUUCCACUUUUUAUUUUGUGUAAAAAAAACUAAAGGUGUGUGGUUCAUUUAUAGUUGCUUUGUAUGCAUAAUUAGUUGUAUGACAUUGAUAGUAGUUAGUUGUAUGACAUUGAUAGUUAUACAUGAGAGCAUAGGUAACAGUAUACUGAUUUAAUUCAGUUUUGAAAAUCAAAAGUCACAAAAUUUGGUGUGGUUUCCAAUAAGGGUAUAUAUGUGAAAAAGAAAUAUUAAUUGAACUUUGAAUUCCUAAACUUCAAAAUAUUUGAGUUAAAUCACAAGUGCAAAAACUCCAAAAGAUAAAAAAAACAGAGGGAGUACUAUUUAAGAAUAUAUAAUUCAUUGCAUGAAAUUUUUGUCAUUGCUAACUAAGCUCCACAUCAUAAAAUGAAUUUGUGAUAUCUUGUAUACUGUCGGCAUGAUUUUAUAUCAAAUAUAGAUAAAUAUUAUUGCUACAGUGCUACUUCACUACAAAUUGCGUUUGACAAACAUUUUGCUGCCCAAUUUUGUCAUGCUAUGUUGCAUUUAGUAUGAUUUUUUAUUGCUUCUUUUUUUGCAUAAUUUAGACCUUGGCUUAAUUUUUGCAGGUGUAUUAAAAUGUCUUCAUCCAAUUCUAUUCUUACUCCUAUUAGUCAGGGAAAUGAACAUGCGCCAAAUUAACCAGAGCAGAACCCACACGACAUGAUCAAGUAAAAAAAGCUGUUUGCAGAUACUGUAAAAACAAUUUACAAGUGGUGGGUCAAGGACUAGCACUAUCCAUUUAAGAAGACAUAGUGAAGUUUGCAUGCAAAAGAGGCUCCACACGACUACAGAGAAGAAACAAUUUGUUAUUCUUUUCCAACCUUCUAAUCUAGGAAAUCCAUUUAUGAGCCCUGGGGUUAGAUAUUCUAAUGAAACAAUGAGGGAAAUUACUACAACUACUAUAAUGGUGCAUGAGCUCCCUUUUAAUGUGGUUGAGGAUGAAGUUUGGAUGUGAGCCUUUCAAUAUGCAAAUUCAGAUUUUUAGAAAGUAGGUCAGAAAACAGUAAGAAUGGAUUGUUUGAGAAGAAUUUUUAAAGGCUUCGUUGAGAAAUGUUAGCAAGAUUAGUCUAACUACUGAUAUGUGGAGAUCAAGUCAUCAAGUAGCAGAGUACAUGGUUAUCACUGGCCAUUUCAUUGAUGUAGGGUGGAAUUUCCAAAAAAGGGUACUAAGUUUUGUAAAAGUUUAUGCUCAUAAGCGUGAGAUUGAUGUGUUUGAUGCAAUUUUUAAGUAUUUGAAAGCUUGGGGGAAUUAAAACAAGGUUAGAUAGUGAGCAGUAAGCUUUUUUAUUGGAGGGGAAUUGUUUCUUGUUAGAUGUUGUGCACAUAUAUUAAAUUUGUUAGUGCAAGAUGGACUUGGAAAAUUAAGGAUGUCAUUUACAAAGUUCGUGAAAAUGUAAAGUAUAUUAACCACAAUGAUGCAAGAUUGAAGGCUUUUUGUGAUGUCAUUGAACAGAAGGGAGUAAACAAUAGGAUGCUUAUACUUGAUUGCUCAACAAGAUGGAAUUCCAUAUAUCACAUGUUAUCACAUGCAUUAGUAGUUUACGAUUGCAUUUCAAUCUUACAAGGAAAGAGAGCCUCAUUAUGACUAUGUACCUUCAAAUGAAGUUUGGGAUAAAGUUGAGAAAGUUUGUCAAUUCCUUGAAGUGUUUGAUCUUGCCACUCUUAUGAUAUCGGGUAGUGAGUAUUUGACUUCUAAUUUGUAUCUUGCUGAAGUUUGGAGGGUGAAGCAAGUAAUUGAUGAUCCAGAAAAUUAUAUGGAUGCUUUUAUGAGGGAAAUGACACCUCCAUUGAAAUUAAAGUUUAACAAAUAUUGGGGUGAAUACAAUUUGUUGAUGGCUAUUGCUAGUGUUUUGGAUCCCAAGUGCAAAUUUCAUAUUGUUACUGUUGAUAUAUGCUUUCCAAUAAUAUAUAAACUGAAGAAAAUGCUAAAGAUAAUAUAAAGAAGGUUUGAGAUUCAUUGGAGGAAAUUUAUGAUGAGUAUGUGUCUCUAAGCCUACAAGACUCAUCCUCUACUGAAGUUGAUAUUGGUGGAAGUAAUUAUUCAUCUUCUACUUGAUCUCAAUAUUCAGUCAUCAGUGGAUUUGAUCGAGUCAUGAGCAUUGUGCGUGAAAAAGAAGCAGUCCUUGCAAUGAAAUCAGAAUUGCAAACUUGAUGAAGGUGUUUACAUUCCUGAUGGAAAUAAUAGCUCUGUUAGUGCUUUGGAGUGGUGGAUGAACAAUAGCUUAAAAUAUAAGAUCUUGUCAAAGAUGGUUGUUGAUAUUCUAGCAAUUCCUAUCUCAACUGUGGCCUCAGAGUCUACUUUUAGUGUUGGAGGGCGAGUGAUUAAUGAAUUUCGCUCUAGACUGAAUGAAGAAUCUAUAGAAGUACUUAUUUGUGGUGGUGAUUGGUUUCGCCACAAGUACAACUUGAAGAAAAAGUCAAAGGUUAAAACUUUUCUUUUGAAAUUGCAUUUGUUUUAUUUAUAACUUUUGUUAUUUUGAAGUAUUUUCAAUUCAAUUAUAAGUAAUUUUCUUAUUUUGAAGGUGGAUGAACAACCAGAGGAGAUCACCUUGAAGAUUUGAGACAAUGUUAUGUUUAAAGGCUGCUGCAUUUGCUACAUCUUAGUUUUUUGAAUUAAAGUUUGACUUUGUAAUUAUUGUCUGGUAUCUAUUUGAUUCAGAUUUUUGGUUUAAGGCACAUGACCUAUUUGAUUAUGGUUUUAGCCACUGGCUCCUUUAUGGUGUUUUCUCUAGUAUAAGAUAUUUUUCACUGUUAUGUUUUGCAAUUCUAUCAGUGAAUAUGCAAAGAAUUUUCUGAUAGCAGGGUCAAUGGUGCUGGUUUUUAUUUGUGAAUCAUCAUGUUGAGAAAAUUAGUUGUAAGAACUCAAUUUUGACUCUUGGCAAAUGCUUACUUACUGCCCUUCAUUUAUUGAAUAUGAUUUUGACUCUUGUCUAGUGUGUGUUUACAAAAUUAUUAAACUCAUUAGCAUGUCAUUUUUAGAAGCCCCUCAUCAUGCUUUUUAACAUGCCAUCGAUUUGAUUUGAUAAAAUGAUAAAAGAAAUUAUGCUUAUAGCAGAGUUUCUCAUGUAUGUACUGUAAAGUGGAUACAAUUUAAUUUUUAAUCAUUCUUUCUAGCCAAUUGUACAUGUGUCAGUAUGGUGCGUGGUGGACCUUCAUUGUACUUUAUUUCAUUUAAUUUUUCGUUCUUGUUAAUUAGCAGUUUGCUAGCUUGCUCUUAAAAAAUAAAUAAGAAAUUAUACUCACCUUUUUAAUAAAUUUGUCAUUAGCUUGUUUGAGCCUAUUUAGGGGUAGGCCUUUCGGCCUGUUUAGGAACUAGCUUGUUUAGUAAUAGGCUUUGGCCUAUUCCAAAACCUUCAAUAAGAUAGGCUUUUAAAUAGGCUAAUAGGCCAGGCUUCUAAAAAGGCCAGACCAGACCUAAAUAAAAACCUAUGAUAGAUAACAUGCUAGGCUUAUUCUCUAUAUUUAUAAAAUAGGUUAGGCCUAUUUAAGCAAAGUCUGGCCUGACCUGGCCUACUUCCAUCCCAAUUAGUGAAGAAUGCAAAAUAUAUGCGGGUGUAUGUACCAUGAAGGCAAACAGAGGAAGAAAGGAGAAGCAGUGGGGAUGAGAAUAAGAUAUUUAUUAUCAGAGGAAAGAAAUGGGUAGCAUAAGGAUGAACAAUUAUAUCGAAAAAUGAGGAUUAUAACUUUGUUUACCAUUCGAAUGAGGAAGACAGAAGCUGGAUCAAGAAAACGAGAGUCGCAACUUUCGGUAGCAUUCAAAGCAUUGAAAGCAUCCAAUCAUACCUAUGGAAUAAUGGUCUAAGCUCAACUGGGAUGAAGCAACUUGGGGCUAAGGAAGUUAUACUCGAGUUUGAAAAUGAAGAGAAACGAGUUUUGCUUCAGGAGGCUCGUGAUUUUCUAUUUAAGAAGUUCAGUGCUAUUUGCCUUGAUAGUAUUACACAAAGAGGUUCAAGCUACUUGGUGUGGAUCAAAGUGUAGAAAGUACUUGUUCAUGCUUGGAAUCCAGGUUUCUUUCCAGUGGUGUCAAUGCGUUUUGGGGACCUGGUGUGCAUGGACAUAGAUACUGUGAAGAAGCGAAGAUUGGACGAAGCACGACUGUUGGUUAGUAGUCCAAUACCCAUUAUCAAUGACCAAGUAAUGGAUGUGAAGAGGGGUGAAGAUAUAUUCCGAAUCUUCAUUGAGAAAGAUAUCAUUGUGCUAGCAGGCAUAUCCAACAAAUAAAUGGAUUGAAUAUUGGAUUAGUGAGUCCUAGAUCAAAGUUGGAAGAAGAGGGUGAGCACGAAGGGUCAGAUGGUGCAUCAAUUUAUGUUGAUGAAAAUAGGGAUACCAUGAAUGAGAGUGGGUAUGACCAAACGUUUGAGAAGGAUGUUGUGGAAGGGGAAAACAUCACACAACAACUCCAAUCGGAAGGUGAAGGAGGAAAUACGAAGGUUCAAGGGCAGCAAGACGCCAUUGUUGAGAUAGGGGAAUAGACAACCAAGGAAAGAGAUGAAGAUGAGGUGGCAAUAGUUCACCAAAGCAACAAUGAAGUGGCAUCAAACAAACAGUGUACUGCAAACAUUAGUGCACAUGACGUAAGUUCUUGCUAGCUUAGCAACAGGGAUAGCUCCAUAAGUAGUGACGUUUCAGAUUCAAAGAUGGUGUUUUUGAAAAAUUGUUGUAUGGAGCCUAACAAUCUGGAAACAAUAAAUCACGCGAGAAUUAUGGGUGUUGGGAUCGAGGGCACUUUUAAGAAAGAAAGCUCUGGAAAUGUGUCUUUAUCGACAUAUUUAAUUUUCAAAAAGGGAAUGUGGGGGAUUGCAAAUGUGGUCAUGACAAAAAAAGGCACCAAGUAUAACAAAAAAUUUAAGAAUAGAGGGAGAAAUAUCAGCACAGGGAAAGGACAAUUUAGGUGGGCCUCAAGUCCAUUUAAGGGGAAUGGAAGGCGACCUUUUAAAGGAAGUUCAACUAGUAGAUUAAGAGAAUCCAUAAAAGGAUUUAGGGCCGGAGGAUGCAAUUUGGGUCGGGUCAGUGGCUAGGAUGGAUAGAAAAUCGUGGAGUAAUUGAUAAAGAAGAGGUCUUCUAAGACCUUAUUCUAAGAAGAUUCGACAAGAAGAAAAAAGAAAAGAAAAGAGUGUAUCAAAGUUAUACAAAACCAAGAGGGGAAAACGGAAAAGGGGUAACAAGCCAAACAAAAGAAACCUCUAGUAAAUCUCACGUAGAGGUAAUCCAGUAGACUUGGGAGCAAACGAAGAAGAAUUUCUAGAAGAGGAUGAGUUAAUUUCGGCCAGAAACAGAGUAAUCAAGAAUUGAGGAGUGGCACUGGAGAACAUCUACACAAGAGGUUCAAGGAUGUGGACAUUGGGAAAAUUGCUUGGCGUCGUUUUUAGAGGUUCAGAUGAGGAAGUAAUUUCAGAUCUAUCAAGGUUUGUGAUUGGUCUUGAAUUGAAGUUGGCAGUUUUAAGAGUCUGGCAUCCUAUUUGGGUUGUAGUUAUUGGUUGUUUGAAGAUGAAAGAGGGGGGCCUAGAAGUGGCAAUCUCUUCCUAGGGACGACACCUUGCAUCUUAAUGGUAGUGUCUUACUUGAUUGGGUUCCAGGUGUUAGUAGUGGUUUUAGCUUGUUUUCUGUUGGUAGGGCAGUGUUGCUUUCUACUUAUUGAACAAACAAAAUUAGUUUUUUUUUCCAAGCAACUAUUCCACUCUCAAAUAUCCCUUGAUUAAUUGAGUACAUGGUGUAAGGAAUUAGGUGUUUUGGGCAUGUUUUUGUUUCUGAUGUGCAUUUGGACUGUAGCAAAAGUUCCCCUUUUAUCUUGUGUUAUGGGUUUUUAGUCUAUGUGGCGCUUUUAAAAUUUGUUUCUAGUUCAAAUAUAUAUUUGGAGAGGGGUUUGUUAUUUUUACUCACUUAAGAGAGUAUUGUUCUAAAGAUAAUUUGAUAAUAACCAAAUUUUUCUAUUCGGAAAAUAAAAUGUAUAUAGGUGAGAAAAAUGAUCAAGAUAUACAACCCUCCUCAAAAGGGCUCAAAAAAUCAACAAAACCGAAAACAGCCCAACCCAAUAAGGGGAACAACUAGUCAAUACAACAACAACACCAGCAUAAAGCAAAGCCCACUAAGCCAAAAGGUAAGCACCCAAAGACCCAAAAGAUCUAGAAACAAACCCAAACCCUAAAAGAUCUAGAUACAAACCAAAACCCUAAAAAGAAUCCAAGGAACUAUUUCAACUCCCCAAAGAAGACUUACGCACAUUGAUUUGGGUCGCGCCACAAUCUGAUAGAGGGCAACGUCAUCAUUGCAGUCAUACUUCAUGCCCCAUCGCUUCCCAUCAGCACAACACUCCUCGCCCUAGUAAGAACGCCAUAAGGCUCUUAGAACUCCUUCGGCAAAACCAUCAGCUCCCUCCCUGUCGAAUCAGCAAUAGCUUCUGCAUCAACUGCUAAAACAACCCAUUGGAUCUCGACGAGCUCAUUUUUCUUCAUUCAUCUAUUCUUAACUGAAUCCGGAUCCUCUCCAGCCACUUUUCCCUCCAGCUCCCUCCUGCAGUAAUUCUGAUCGUAUGAUUCAUCAAACGGUUCAGAUAAAUCAGGUAAUAAAAGUACUCUAAAUACAUUAUCAGACUAAAUACUACCCGUGAGAUUAAUCUAACGGGAGAAAUAAAAUGGGGGUUUAUUCACGGGGGAAACUCUCGUUGUGUAGCUGCCAUCAAGCACUCACCCCACCAUCUAUACUUCUCCCUUCCUCGUUUCUUGGUCUGGUGAUUCAAAUCCAGUUGCACGCACUUUGGGUUUCUUUGUAACCACAUGGAGAGGAUUUGAAUUGUCACCCUUAACCUCCCUUCAAUUCUGAUUUAAUUGACUCAAUUUUCCUGAACUCACAAAUACCAGUAUCAAUUCAAUACAAAUACCAACUUGCCCAAUUUGCUUAGAUUGACUAACCUUCUUCUGAUUAAUACCAAAUCUGCUCAAGGGUGCCUUCUGUUCCCACCACCGUGAACUCGCCUCAACGCAUGGUGGGUGUGGUGAGGGAUGGUUUCAGAGAAAUUGAUGGAGCGCACAACCCUUAACGGUGAAGGACCAGAACAGACUCUGAGAGCGAGAACGAGUCUCAUUGGAUUUUUUCUCUGAUUAAAUUGUAUCUAAUUUUGACCGUUAGAUUAAUCUCACAGUUGUGAUUAAUUCCCAUGAUAUAAUUAUUAUAAUCUAAUUACCUGAUUUAUCUGAACCGUUGGAUGAAUCCAUUGGUCAGAAUUACUACAGGAGGGGCAAGAGGUUAGAGGCUGCAGGAGAGGAUCCAGAUUCAUUCUUAACUUGCUUAGGUCUUCCCAUAACACCACAGGUAUACAAUCACCUGAUCCCGAAGUACGCUAGCAACCUCAGAAUGAGAGACUACAACAGGCAAAGGAUCAACACAAGACAUUAUAUAUUAAUAAUUUAUCCAUUCUCACUUAAAUGCAGGGCCCCACUUAACUUGUUAUAAUUUAUUAAAAAAAUCCAAGAUUAGAGAAAUAAAUAAUAUAAAAUGUGUAUACUAAUUAAUCUCUCUGUAAUUCGAUGAUUUAAUUUAGUGAUUAUGUUAGUUUAUUGAGGUGGUUUAAAUCAAGGCUUAGUUAAUUAGUGAUGUAGAUAAAAGCCACAUGAGAUUCAUAAACAUGUCAUGUUAGCUCUAGUCUGUCUAAACUCUAAAAUGGUCACCUGAGCCACGCCCUCAACUAAGGAUCAAAGUAAACAUUUCCCUAAAGGCAGAGACAAAAAAACAAAGUUUGUUUUAUUAGGGACGAAAAUUGGAUUAAGUAUCAAAUACAUAGAUCAAUUUGAUAGCUAACCCUUUAAAUGAUUUUGACUAUAUAUAGAUAAUAUGGCUUCAAUGAUAGUAUGUGAAUUUCAUUAAUGAGAAAUAGAGAGAAUAUUGAAAAUAUACUCAAGAGAUUAUUUUUUCUUGGGAAAGCUGUUGAGAGAGUAUAAUGAGUUCAAUAAAAGACUUAAGUUUAAUUAUAUAACAGAUAAUAGAUCUAAUUAAAAAAAUAAUAGAAUCACAUACACUAAAAAGAACAUGCAUAUCUCACAAGUUAGCAAGGAUAUUCAUAGUUCAUGAUUUAAAUUAAAUAAACUGACUUUGUUCAUGAAAGAGAAUAUAUAUCAUGUUGAAUCAGUAUGCAUCACCAAAUAUGUGACAUGCAUGUGAAAUAAUGAGCCUAACAUAACUAAAUUAAUUUCUCUUACCAAAUGAGAUUGUCUAAACGACUCAUGAUAAAGUUUGGGUUAAAUAACUCAUCAUCCAAUCACAUUGAAGAUAAAUGAGUUGGAAAUAAAUUAAUAAAUAAAAUAUAGAAAUUUCAACUCACUUAGACAACCCUUACCAAAUUAAAGUCCACCCUAGAUAGCUAGUACCAAAAUUAAACCAGCGGGCAUGUGCAGCAGUACUGACACAAAUUUAAUCUGAAACAUUGACAGAACAAUACCAUGGAAAUACCUGAUUGAGGAUGCUGUAAUGAAGUGAAGAAACCUUUAUUGCUGUGUGUACACUUUUGGUAACCAAGAAUGCGAAUUUUAACUUUGUCAUGCAAAGCCAUAGCUCAGGGAAGGAAUUAAGUUAAAAGUUAAUUUUAGACAUAUCACACAAAUAUUUUUUAUAAAGGGUAAGAUUGUAGGACAACCCUUAAAAGCUAUCUCAAGAUUUGAUAAUUGUUCUUCUACCCUUUAUAAAAAUUACCUAUAUCAUAUCUCUAGUCAAUGUAAAUUAGAUUUCAAAGAGACACCCCAACUCGGCCUCACCCAGAAUGAUGAUGGACCUCAGCGUUACCCCUGAGAUGAGACCUUACCAAAGAUUCUGACCAGUAUUUUUUUAUACAUUACUUGUGUGUCAAAUUGUUUAUAUAAAGUAUAAACCACCGUUUCCAGUGAAUAAAAUAAAAUACACCAAUAUCUAAGAUCAAUGAUCAUUGAGCAAUUAUUUUCAACAACAACAAAAGGGUCAAAUAGAUCAGUUUUUUUGUCUACACUGACAUUAGUUAGUUGUAUAGGGCAGUAUACAGAGUCUCGUACGCCCUCCAUCUUUCCAUUUCGCUAUGCAAUCAACUUUGUGCUGAAAACUAAUGAUAUGUUUGCAUUUAGGUUAGAAAAUUGAGAUGUUAACUUUUGACAAAGCAUAGUCUAAAUUUUAAAAGUGAGCAAAAAUUAAGGUAUGAAUUAUUUUAAUGAAUCGUUGUUCUUAUUCAUUGUUGAGUGUCGUUUCAAUAGUCGGAAAAACUGCCCCUCCCGGCACCGGUCCACAAACAACUAAUUGUCGACUAUACAUGACCUUGGCUUCAAAUCAUUGGCCGUCAUCUAAGCAAUAACAGUCCAAGUACGAAUAACCUUACACGAAGGCGAAGAGUUGCAAACACGACGUACAAUCCGACCAAUAGGGUAACCCACACUUAUGUAUCUCACUUCAAAAUAAUAAACCCCCUCUUUUAUCUGACUAGAUUUCGCUACAUUGACUAUGUCCCUCUCCAUCUGAUUGUGUCCCCUAAAUCCGACUGCAUCCUCAUAACCAUCAUACUAGACCGACGACACAAGCUAGUGACGCAUCCCCAUCAUCCAUGUCUCAUUCAAAGUUAACGAGCCUCUAAUCAAGGAAGCGUGUGUAGCAUUCGAAACCCGAGCUCAGUACAUACACGCAUCCUUACCCGUUCGAUCAAACAACAUGUGAGAAUAUCCAACGACUCUCCUUGUAAACUACACCUUGUACUCAUCAAUGACGCCUCAAACCUCAGACUCCUCAAAAUCCAACCCUAUAAAAGGCGGGUCUUAGAAAACUUAAGAUACACACUUUUCGUUGUAUUUCUCUCUUCCCUGUCUCUUCCAUAUUCUAACUAGAGCGUUCAAAUCUCUACAUAAGUACCUCAACCGACAUACUGACUCAGCGAUAGAGCAACUUGCAUUUCCUCGAAGUAGCAUAAAUAUCUAGAAGCCCGUCGCUUUCCCCUUCAAUUAGCAUUUUCUGACUUAUUUGACCUUGACUCGACUGUCUAAAAAAUGCAUAAUUGAAUGUCUAAAAAAUGCAUAUAUAAUUGAAGAUCAAAUUAUUCCAACCAAUCAAAAUAGAUCAUAUUAUUACAUUAAAAAAAACUUGCAAUUGAUUGACCAUAUUCAAUAAUUCAAACAUAAAAAAGAAAAAAGGAUUAGGAGAGGGUUGGUCAGUGGGUUGGGGGAGAGAGGGAAAGAAGAAGGGGAAGGUAAGGUAAGUGGGGUGCCCUGCAGCGGCGCACAUGGGAUAGGGUUUGACCCUUAAGCAGCACACUCACAUGGCCUCUUUUGUGGACCCUCACACCUUCUUCAACAUCUUGCUAAUGAAUCUCACCACAUGCCUCUGUUUACGCUUUGGACCCACUCACUUUCCACCCUUUCCCUCUCAAUCCCAUAUUAGGAAGGGUUGGGGUAAAAGGGCAUGAGGAAAAACAGUUGUCACGCCAUUUUUGGUAUACCCAUAUCGUGCAUGAUGUUAGCUAAGAAUCCUUAUAAUUCCCUCUUCUUCAUGAAAUUUCUUAUUUCAAUAUGACCUAUUGACCUACCAUUUCCCAUUCACAUGACAUAAUCAUACUCAACAAGUGAUACAUCCAUGUAUACUUUAUUUUACUUAAGGAUAUAUAAAUAUAAAUAUAAAUAGAUAAAAUGCAUGUUUAGAAAUUCAUACAAAAAGUUAUUGUAAAUGUAAAUUAUGAUGGAUAGAUGUAAAAGUUACAAAAAAAAUUACUGCUAUUCACCAUGAUUUUAACAUUAUUGUAAUUUUCAAACAAAUUUUUAAAUUUGUCUAAGUUUAUGAUCAAGAAAAUAUAAAACCAUUAUUAUUCAACUCAAACUCUUUCUCUUAAUGAAAUGUUACAUGUGUGUUUGUAUUUCUCAGCAGAGUACUCAUUUUUUUAUGCUAUGUUUGGUUGGAGGGAGGGGAAAGGAAAUGGAAAGAAAACACGGAAAUCGAUGAGUGAAUUUGGAAUAAGGUUUAAUCCAAGUUCACUCCUCGAUUUCCGUGUUUUCUUUCUCUUUCUUUUCCCCUCCCUCAAACCAAACAAAGCAUUAGAGUAAAAGAGAAUAUAAUCAUAUAGAGAAAGAUCUUGAGUUUUCCGCAGAGAUCUUGUCUAACCUAAAACAUGAAAAAACAAUUUAAUUGCACACUCCAAAAAUAUUAUCCUUGGUUAAUUAAAACAUGGCAAAAAAUUAGUCAAAUCUUGGAUUAACUUGAAGCAUAUAUGCAUGUGUGAUAUUGAAUAUCUUCUUAAAACUAUAACAAAUCUGUAGUUAAGUACCACUUGGGUGCAGCCAACUGAUUGGAAUAUGGAUAACGGAUUUGAGUUUAGAAACCAUACAUUUAAGUGGAUGUGUUUUAUAAAAAUAUAUAUACAUGUUGCUGUGUUGGAUUGUAUCUAAUAUACAGAAGAUUCUCUGUGUGGCAUGAUAAUUACUCGUAUUGUCUCUUAAUCAUGAAGUUGAGAGUUCAAACUAUCUAUGCUAGUUGAAGCGAUGCUAUUUACUAUUUUGUGUGAGUAGUGCAACAUGAUGAUUAGUCAGUGCUAGUGCUACCGGUGGUUGAUUCCAAGGCGCACCACACAAAAAGAAGAUUUUUUUCUCUAUAAUCUCUGAAGUGCAAUCAUGAUUUGUUUUGCUUGAUUUUAUGUUAAUGGACACGAUUACUAACUAAAUGAUUCCGCGUGACAAGUUGUCCCUGAAGAUCACAGUGAUCGAUUCCACAAAUAAGCUAAGCUAGGGAAAUCUUAGACACAAUCUUCCUUUUCUUUUAUAUAUUUUACUUCCUAUCCAAUUUGGUUUGCCCCAAGUUGAAGGUGAGGGCAGUUGGGGGUCAACACUCAACAUGUGUUCGUGCAAUUCUGAGGCAACAACUCACUGAUUAGUACCCCAAAUCUUGUACGUAUAUGCACAUUGUAAAAAUAAACAGUAAAGUGAUUCUAGAUAUAGAAGUCUGAUAUACUGUGUAAAUUAUAAUUCACAAGUGUUUAGAAUUAUAUGUACAGGCUACACGCCAACCUGAGGUGUAGUUGAUGUGUUUCUGGGCCACAGAACAUGAAUCUGAACUCCAUGCGGUUCUUAUUUCUUAAUAAGUGGCAUGUCCUCCUUCAGAAAUAACUACCACAUUAAACAAUUACUCACAUCCAUGGAUGUAAAAUUUGUUAGCCUUAAUGAUAUAAGCAACCGUUUUACAAUAAAAAAUCUCUUUGUCGUCAUUGAAAGUUAACAAUAAUUAUCGUCAUUUUCAAUAAAUAAUUCUCUUUGUCAAGAGAAGUUGCUCUCGUUCCACUGCAGUAAUUUUAGUUUACAAUUACCAGCUUCAGAAUGGGUUCAUAUAUGUAUUGUAAGUUCUUUUUCCCUAGGUGUACACGUAGGAGUCCACUGGACUCGGGAAGUGAACACCUUGAGUUAUACAGAUUUUAUUGACCGAUCCUAGGAUUAUAUAUUCAUGGAUCCAAGACCGACAAUUUCUGGUUCUAAUUCCAAAGAUGAAUUGCGGAGGUUCAUCUUGCAAACGGUGAACUUUGUCUGACGAAGAACCCCAUUAUAUAUGCAAUGCAUGCACAUCUAUAUAAUCCUACAAAUUAAGGAACCGUUAUUUAAUAAUUAGACCUUUAUAGUUUUGAUUCCUAAGAUUAAGGAACUGUUGCAUGCUACGCAGCACAGGCCUAUAAGCCAUUGUAAUGUGAUUUUUAAGAUUAUUACUAAAACUAUUGUAAAUAGAUUGAAACUUAUUUUGCCUGAUUUGAUAUGUAAUACUCAGAGUGCUUUUGAUCCAGGCCGUUUAAUAACGAAUAAUAUAUUGAUUGUGUAUGAGUGUUUUCAUUAUAUAAAGAAGAAAAUUUCUGGCCGUAAUGGCAUGAUGGCCCUCAAACUUGAUAUGUCGAAGGCAUAUGAUCGAGUUGAGUGGCAUUUCUAACAAGCUGGUUUGACUUAGAUGGGGUUCCCUGUUUAUUGGGUUGAGCUUAUUAUGAAUUGUGUCUCCACUGUGGAGUUUUCUAUUAUGCUUAAUGGUAAUCCUCAGCCGGUUUUUACCCCGUAGAGAGGUCUCAGGCAGGGAGAUCCGUUGUCCCCAUACUUGUUUAUCAUUUGUGGGGAGGUGUUCUCAGCCCUUAUACAAAAAGCUAUCUCUUCCAAUUCCCUUCAUGGGCUAAAAAUUGCGUGUCAUGCGCCAAUUAUGUCUCAUCUUUUGUUUGCAGAUGAUAAUAUCCUCUUUGCUCGCGCUGCCGACCAGGAGGCGGAGAUGGUAAAGCCAUCCUCACCACCUAUGAGCGUGCUUCAGGACAAAUGAUUAAUCUGGAUAAGUCUAUGCUUUCAGUUAGCCGAAAUGUGCCUCAGAACCGUCUUUAUGAGCUUAAACAGCUUUUGAGAGUUAAGGUUGUAGAAAGCUUUGACAGAUAUUUGGGUUUACCCACUAUCAAUGGUAAGUCUAAAUCUCAUAUUUUUCAAUUUGUUAAGAGUCGAGUUUGGAAAAAGCUUAAAGGUUGGAAAGAGGGGUCUCUCUGUCUAGGGCUGGUAGAGAAGUUUUAAUUAAAUCUGUUGCGCAGGCUAUUCCUUCUUAUGCUAUGUCUUGUUUUAUGCUUCCUAAUGGCCUUUGUGCAGAUAUUGAGGGCAUGAUCUCCAGGUUUUACUGGGGUGGAAAUGUAUCAAAGAGAGGUCUCCACUUGUCUAGUUGGAGCAAAUUGUGCCGGCCAAAGUGUGAGGGUGGUCUUGGUUUCCGCAGUUUCCAUGCUUUUAACACUGCCUUGAAUUAGUUGCCAAGAAUUGGUGGCGGAUUUAUUUAUUCCCACCUUGUCUCUUUGUUUGCUCAGAUCUUUAAAGGAGUCUAUUUUCCUAAUGGGUCAAUUAUUGAUGCUAAAAAAGGGUGGCGCCCAAGCUAUGCUUGGUUGAGUAUUUGGAGGACCAAAUGGGUUUUUGAGCGUAGUGGGCGUUGGAUAAUUGGCGAUGGUCGCUUGGUGAAUGUUCGCAGUGACAAUUGGCUACCUCAUGGGUGUCCUAUUAUUUAUAGUGAGGAUCUAAUGAAUGAGCUGAAUAUUCAAACUGUGUCUGAUUUAUUGACAAAUUAUGGCAGGGAAUGGAAUAUACAAUUGAUUGAAUAUAUUUUUUGUCCUAACACUGCUUUGCAGAUUUUCUCCCUCCCUCUAUUUGUGCAUGGAAGUGUAGUAGAUACUCUUUUCUAGCCAGGUACUGUGACCGGUAUGUAUACAUCAAAGUUUGCCUAUGCUUUUAUAAUGGACCAUGAUGCUCAGGUAGUUCCUUCCGUUUCUUUGGCGGCUUCCCCCUUACCUGCGAAGCUUUGGAAUAUUUUCUGGAAAUCUCUUGCUCUCCCACAAUGCAAGGAGUUAUCUUGGCGAGCUUGUUGCUCUUUCUUGCCCGUCCGUGAUGCGCUUCGGCGUAGAGCAUGGAUGUGGACCCUUUGUGCCCCUUGUGUGGUUUGGAGGACGAAAUUGUCUCUCAUCCUUUGAUGAACUGCCCUGUGACUAGAGGUUUUUGGUUUUCCCAUCCUCUUGCACUGAGAUUGGAUAAUUUUGCUACUGGGUGUAAGACCCAAGUUUUUAAGCUUAAAAUAAGUGGAAGAGAUCUCCAUUUACGAUUAGGCUUGAAGUAUCGUGAAGGAAAAACCUGAACAAGAGUUUAUCGGAAGGAAUAAAUUUAUGAAGGAGAAAGUUCAGGAACAGUCUAAGAAUCGUAUCGAAGUCGAUAAAAGUUAUAGCACGAUCGAUAUACACUUAAACUUAGGGCAAGAGCGCUAGAAUUAGCUGAUUUCCACUUAAAGACACGAUGGAAACUAAUUCCAAAAAUCUUGAGAGAAAUGUUAGAAUUUCUCUUAAUCCUUAUAUGACCAUCGUUUCGAGGCGAAACUAUAGGAUCUACGAACGUCCGAUUCCAAUCAUCGGAAGUUUGCCGAAACUGAAACCCUGGUAUUUCAAAACCCUAGAAUCAACCGACAAUGAAGACUUUUUCUAUUCAGAGCUUCAAAUGAAGAUUCCACACGCGUACACCCAUUUCUCUUGAUGAUUUCAAUCUUUCUUUGGAAGGAAGUUUUCUAUUCCGACAUUCAAUGCAAAAAGUAACUUAUCGGGUAAAAUAGUUUUACACCGACUUUGCAUUAGUCACCUAAAAUACCAGGAAACCUCUUUUGAGUUUUAGAUUUAUGUCGCCAAAACCUAUCUUAGAAUUCACGGAGAAUGAAGCCGGAAAAAUCGGAAUCGCGAAACUUUCAUUUUCCCGCGUUUUUCCAUCCUCUAUAUAGCAAGCCUCGAAAACCAAAAAUCAUACUGAUAUUUCUUUGAAGAAUUAGAAGAUUCAGCGGGGUGAAUAUCGUGUCUAAAAUACGUUGGAAUCAGUAGGAAGAAAUCGGGAUCGCUUUUAUAUUUUUAUCUUAACUCUAUGAGUUAAAUCCUCCGAUAUCUAAACAAAACUGUACCGGUUUACAAAAUAUCUAUUCAUUCUUAUCCAAUCUCUGAUAAAUAUCUAUUCAACCUUAUCCAAUCUUUAAUAAAUAUAUGUUCAUACUUAUCCAAUCUUGAUAAAUAUCUAUUCAUACUUAUCCGAUCUUUGAUAAAUAUCUUCCAUUUCAUUCCCUAUAAAUAUGUGAAGCUUGAAACAAAAACCUCACAAACACACACACACAACCCGCGGCUUGGAGAGAAGAAGGAGGAGGAGAGCUUUUCGUCGAUUCUUGUCUGAUCGUCCCACAGUUCGUUGCUACGCGUAGGCCUCAAGGUACUGACGCUUUUCCUUACUUCUGAUCGUAAAUUCUGCCGCUUUUCUCUAUACUUUUCUGUACUCUUAGUUUUGAGGUUUUUGCAAAACUAUCUAGAUAACUUCAUCUUUUUAUCUAAAUUUAUUCCCUGCGUGCCCCUGAGCAUGUUUAGCGGAUUACAUUUUGCUGAUUCUCGCCGAAUUGCUGCCGAGUUUCAAUUCUGCUCAUAAUACCCAUUUUUGGCUAAAGUUCCAACCUUUGGGCUUAAAACCCUCGACUGAGCUUAGCAAUAGUAAGAUUAGUCGUCAUAAUCGUCGUAAGUAUCAACCCCAUCUAAUUUGUUUUUCGAAACUCUGAUUUUGAAAUUCUGAGCUGAAAAUAAUGACCAAAAUACCCCUGCGACAGUUUUCGAUCCGAUAAUUUUUCCGAGUUUAGAUUAACCUUAGUUACGACUAAUGAUAACCUAGGAACCAAGUUUGAUCGAAGAAAAAUCGACACACACAAUUACCAUGUGUGGCCGGGAGCUACCCUAGGAGGAGGAAGAAAAUUUCUUUUUCAAAAACUUGUUCUUUCGCGCUAGAUUAUCGUACCUCGGAGUAUAUGCUACUUCGUGUAACCUUAGUGAGUAUUGAUUGCUGAGUUUCGGUUAGAUUCUGAGGGAAUUCUGUGGUUUUUACUCUAAAGGUUAUUUUGAGGAAUUUCCUGAAGAACAAGGAGCUGAUUGUGAAGGAGCGUUUGAAGAGAACUCUGGAAAUUGGCUAAGGUGAGGGCUACUCACUGAAUACUAGAUAAUGCUUUAGGUGUCGACGAAUUCGACUUGAUUUAUUGUUUAUGCACUUAUUUGUGUUUGACUGAGAAAUGUUUUCUGAGGCUUCGGCUGACAAUGUAGAUUAUUCAUCUACUGACUGUUUCUUGAGUUUGAAUCAUAUGCUAUGUGCUAAAUGGUUAAUUUAGGAUGUGUGAUAUCUGCUCUAUAUGCUAAGUGCUACAUGGUUAAUCUAGGAUGUGUUAAUAUAUGUGCUAUGAUUGUUGGACUGUGCUAAUUUAACUAUGCCAUUACACCUAUAUCUGUUAUGCUUCAGAGUGAGGAUAACGGGCAUGUCAUGCCGAUUUUAUUUUGAGAUUUUGGGGAAGUUGAUGGGACGGACCGAGGUUCGUACCCUAUUAUUGUUUUAGUGGAUCGAGACCUUCUCAAAGGAAAAUUGAUUUUGAAAAUGAUAUUGGAAAAACCCCAUUUGAAUUCACGUAAAAACUUGGGUUGUUCUGUCUAAGGCAAGAAGGGCUUUUAAUGAGGCAUUGUGCCCGGCCAGCUUACCUGGGAACUUCUCGGGCCAUUACUUGGGGGAUGAUGGACCUUUUGUUUUGAGACCUUCUCCAGGGAAUCAUUGGAAUUAUGGGAUCUUUGAAACUAAUAGGAUUAGAGACGAAACUUAAACAAUUUCAUAAUGAACCUCCAUAAUGUAUUAAACAACCUCAAAACCCUUAAUAUAAUGAUAAAAGACUCAGACGAAAGUUUAGGGCUUGAACAUUAAGUUUUGAAAAUGAGAAGUGUCGUCGAGUCCUAGAGUUGAGAAAACUAAUAAGUUUCUGAGUAUGUUGAUACUCCUUCGCUCUUUGAGUAGUUUGUUUAGCCAUCCAAGGGAUGAGCCGAGAAGCUUCACUGAGGCGUGAGACCUUGUGAAAGCGUGAAUCUUCACUGAGGCGUGAGACCUUGUGAAAAGCAUGGAUCUUCACUGAGGCGUGAGACCUCGUGAACAGCAUGAAACUUCAUUGAAGCGUAAGACUUCGUGCAAGUGUGUAAAUUCACUGGGGCGUGAGACCCCGUGAAAGCAUAAAACUUCACUGUAGCGUGAGACUUUGUGAAUGUGUAAGACUCCACUGAAGCGUGAGACUUCGUUAGAGCAUUGAUGACUCGAAGAGUUAUCGUGAGUGGUUGCACUCAUUUUUACGAUUAAUUGUAUUUUGUCGCAGAAUCGACUUUUACCUUAGGGUAUUCUUUUUAGAGACAAAUAAGUUAGUUAGAACACGUGGCGACGUGUCGAGUGAGGUCGGAGACGUUGUUUGACUAAUCACUUUGCAUUCAUGCACACAUUUUGAGGUUAAUACACGGCGUGAUACCGGAACUCGGUGGAUUCCAAAAUGUUCAUAAGACCCGGAUUUCCAUAUAAGAACACUGCGGUGAUUCUUAGUAGCAGACGGAAAUGGCAGACCUUCGGGUUCACUGCUGAUCUGACUACACUUUGUGUGGUGUAAGAGACACGCGAGCGGAAAUGGUCCCACCGUUGCUGGUGCUAGGAUUGACUCGUUGAUGCCCAUCCGUUCCGGAAUGCAUUUGUUAACCAGCAUUGCAUUUCAUGCAACAUGCAUACUGACUUAGUUGCUGAGUGUGAUUGAUAAUUGUUAAUCUUAUCUGAUGCAUGUUAAUUGUUAUUACUGUCUUUUAUAUUCAUUGUGAAAUAUACAACCCUAGGAUGCUAUCCCUAACUUAUAAGCCUAAGUAAGCUAUCUAUAUCUGUAUCUAUUGGAUUUAUUAUUUACAUAAUUCUUUGGAGUUGACCCUCGCGUCUUCUGUGUGUGCUUUGGCGGACAAACGCCCUUUGUCAGAUGUCUAUGGCGGACUGAUUCACGAUGGUUCACCCUUCGGGGGGAACUAGGUUCGAGAUGCCGGGAUAGGAGCGCAUCGCGGUAGCGAGAGGAGAACGGAUGGUGUACAUAGACUUGGUCGUUCUGGAUUCAGAUUCGGACGACGAUCACGCUAGUAUGUAGGUUUUAGUGCUGGCGUGAGCUCCUCGAGAUGGGAUUAGUGUAGGAGUAGAGUCUUAGCUCUGACCGUUAUGUUUUCUUUUGGGAACAGGGUAGUUUCCCACCUAUAGCUUUUUGUGUGGUUCCUUUACGGGAAUCACAGAGAGUUGGUUGGACUUAGGAGGUCUUGUUUUAGGCCGUUUGGGCUAACUCAUUCUCAUUUUUGAGGGAUAGUGUUGCGAACACUUGACCUUUCUUUUGGUUUGGUACUACAGCGGGGGCUGUAUUUAUCGUAUAUUAGUUCGGAUAUCCUUUGUUGUAGAGUUUCUAUUUCUUCCAGUCUUUGGUUCUAUUAUCGAAAACAAAAAUAUUCACGUUUUUCCGCUUUAAUUUCUUUUUGGUUACUAAAGUGACGCCACCGAAAUCGGGGUGUUACACUGGGACUGAGUUUCUUUCGCAGUUUCUUAAUAAUGCAGAUUCGAAAGCAGUGCGGUUGUGGCAAACCGAUGCAUACACCCUUUGGGAAGCCCGUAACAGGGUUUUGUUUCAGGGGCGAGACUUUGAUUAUGCUGAUGUCUUGCGGCGUACAACGAUGUUGGACGUGGUGGCAAGCUCUAUGACAUUCCCCACACAACCAGUGUUGAAGAAGAAGGAUACGACGUGGUCCAGGUCGACUCGUGGAGUGUUUAAGAUCAACUUUGAUGGCUCUUGGACUCAACAGGCAGAUUCAGGUCUGGGCAUGGUAGCGCGCAAUCAUGAAGGGUUGGUGAUGACCCGGGAUUUAAGGCUAUUUUUCUAGUUUAUUUGCAUGCAUUUUAAUGUAUUAUUUAAAAUAUUUUAAUCAUUUUAGGACACUCUAGGCCUAUUUCAUGCAUUUUAAUAUUUUUAUUUAGUUUUAGUAUUUUUCUAUAUUUUAUAUUAUUUUUCUAGAUUUUAUUAGGAUUUAAAUUAGCUUUAUAUUUUGUUUAAUUAUUAUUAGGAUUUAUUUACUUUAAUUUAGGAUUAGAUAAGUUUAUUUUUAUUUUGUUAGUUUUUAUCUAUCUUUAAUUAGGACUUUUUAAAUUAUAGAUUUGAUUAGAAUUUAGUUGGUUUAUUUUGAGAUUUUAUCUUAUUUUACCUUAUUUUUAUUUAAUUUAAUUUCUGGAAAAAUCAGGAAAAGAGAGCUGAUACUGCGCUGAGGGUCCACUGUAAUUACCAUGCACGUGCGGAGAUCGGAUGGCUGCAGCAUAAUUCCAUCCACGUGUCGUGAUCAGGCCUGAGGUCCACCACAAGAUAAUGAGUUGUGAAGCGCUAGAUUCCACCCUUAUAAUGUCUCCACCAAUUGCAAGGUGACACGUGGCAGCAUCAAAAGACAAGGAUUUUUGCUUUUUCCAAGCCUGGGCCACGCGAUUGAAUGAAACGGAAAAGCACAGUAUUAGGGAUAUAUAUAUAUUUGCAAGAUAUAUAAUAUCAAGGGGGACGUGAAAUUGGAGGGGAAUAUUAGAUAGCAGCUUUUGAGCCUUUUCCUGGAGUUAACCCUAGCAUUAAAGCUUUUUGAAAAACCUUUAUUUUUCUCAAUAAAUUAUUUGAUCAUGAAAGUCAUGCUUGGCUAAACCUCCGUAGGUACUUGGGGUGUCUGGUUUGACUCUUUUGAUCUUAUGUUUUGAUAUACUUUUUAGACUCAUGAAUCCUAUUUUUAUUUAUGAAUUUCUCAUCUUUUAUCUAUGAAUCUUUAUGCAUGAAGAUUAACUUUGCUAUUUUGUAUGCGAUUGAGAAAUCGGUAGAAAAUAGGGAUUCGGUGAGGAAUUGAUUAGGAACGCCUACGCCUUAGAGAUAAGGGUAACUUCUAAUUGUGUUGGCUAGUAACUAAUUACUUUAAUUCUCCAAUUGAAUUCGUCUAGGAACUAAGAGAUUAGUGUUAGCAGUGUAAUUGGAAGUUCUGCGUAGUUAAGAGAUUAUCAAGUAGAAACUUAGGCAAGCACCAUAAAUAAGUUAGAUAAUUCAUGAGUUAAUUAGUCUAUUAAGAACAUAAGUGAGAUUGAUGAAAUCCUACCUCAGGUACUUCCCCUUUUGAUUGCUCUCAAUACUACGUACUUGCUUUUCACUGAAUUUUACAACUUUGAAUUAAGUUCUUUUUCAACAAUUAUUCAACCCAAACCUUUUUACUUAGUCUUUUUAGUUAUUUAAUUGGUGAAAUUGAUUUGGACAACCGCAAUCCUUGAGAUCGAUAUUUUAUUACUACUUAACGAAUAGGUACACUUGCCUAGGAGUUAUCAAGUUUUUGGCGCCGUUGCCGGGGAUUGCGCUUUAGUCUAGAAUAAUAGAACCUAUUUCUUACUUUUAAGAUUUUACUAUAUUUUUAUUUUUAUUUUUGCUUUUAUUGUGCUGGUGUUACUAACAUUUGUUUGCUAGUGUAUGCGAGGUACCGUUGAUCGUAAUUCCCUUCUUUUUGAUCCUGAGAUCGAGAAGACUGCUCGGAAGAAUCGAGCUCAACAGAGAAAGCAAAAACAAGCAAAAACAAUGGCUGAGACACCGGAACAGAUUGAGGCGAGGAUUCGAGCUGAAUUUGAAGGGCGAUAUGAUGCAGAUUAUGAAGCCCGGAGAAUUCAGCGAGACAGAGAGUUAGAAGAACAGAAUGCCAGGAGAUCCAUUAGGGAGAUAACUACCCUUGACAUAAGCUUUGAAUUUGAGGGAAGUAUUGUUCCACCUACUGAUGUUCCAGAAAAUUUCCAUGUGCCAACUCACUUCAUGCACCUAGUGAGCCAACACCAAUUUGGAGGGAGUAUACUCGAAGAUUCAUAUGCUCAUAUGGCUACAUUCACAGAGCAGUGCACCCCAUUGAAGAAACAGGGAAUCACUCUAGACACAGUAAGGUUGAUGUUGUUUCCCUUUUCCUUAAGGGAUUCUGCUGCAACUUGGUUGAGGUCUCAACCUUCACACAGUAUUGUAUCAUGGGAUGACCUAGCCAAGAAAUUUACGUCAGAGUUUUUUUCAGCAACCCGCACGAGGAAGUUAAAGCAAGAGAUCAACUCCUUUCUCCAGAUGGAUCAAGAGAACUUAUAUGAGGCAUGGGAACGGUUCAAUGAGCUUCUAUGAAAAUGCCCAAGCCAUAAUAUUUCUCUUACUGAUCAGGUAGUAAUUUUUUAUACCGCAUUGAAUGACAAUACCAGAGACAAAUUAGAUACUGCAGCUCCAGGUGGAGCUUUUGAUGUGUUGCCCACUAGUGAAGCCUUAGAGAUAAUUAAUAAUCUGCCAGCCAGAGCUAUGCAUUCCAACAACGACAGGCAGAACAGAAAAAGUGUUCAAGAAAUAGAGACAUAUGAUGCCGUUCUAGCCUCAAAUAAGAAGUUGUCUCAGAAAAUGGAUGCCAUAGUGAAGCGUUUGGAUGACUGCCAUGUGGGCAAUGAUGAUGCAAAAUUCGAUGAGGAGGUAAAAAUACUUACUAACCCCCAAAAUAAUCCAUAUUCCAAUACUUAUAAUGCAGGAUGGAGGAAUCACCCCAACUUCUCUUGGGGAGGGCAAAAUAAGUCAACUCAAUCAGGCGAUCAAAGACAAUAUUCCAACUAGCGGGGUCAUUAUCAGGAACAAAGGCAGCCACCUCAACAAGAUGAAGGAACUGGAAAGAAGAACUUGGAAGACAUUAUGGGGGAAUUAGCUCAAACUACCAAGAGUUUCAUCAAUGAAUCUCGCAAUAAUUUCAAGAACCACGAGGCUUCAAUCAAAAAUUUGGAGAACCAGGUUGGUCAAAUCUCAAAACAACUCGCCGAAAGACCUCUAGGUAUGUUUCCUAGCAACACUGUGCCUAACCCCAAGGAAAAUAUUUCUGUUGUUACUCUAAGAAGUGGGAAAGUGAUGCAUGAAAUUGAAAAGAAAAAAGAUAGUGAAGAGAAUAAGAGUGAGGCUAGAAAUUAAAGUGAAUCUGAAAUGAUAAGUAAGGAAAAAGAACAGAGUGAAGAUAGGUUAGUGAAUGAGAAUAAAGAAAAGAAAACAAUUCCUAUUGGUUGUGGAAAAAUCCCUUUCCCCAAUGCUUUAUAAGGAUCCUUCAUAGAUAUUCUCAUAAAUUCUUUACGCACAAACUCAUCUACUACCUCAACUCUAAACACAUCAUCCUCCUUGUUUGGAUGUUUCAUAUUUUUCCACACAGAAAAUGUCACUCUCUCAUCAGCUACCCUAAGGUCCAUGGUUCCCAAUUCUACAUCUAUUAACGCCCUUCCAGUAGCUAGGAAUGGUCUACCCAAAAUGAGAGGGACCCUAGUGUCUUCUUACUUAUCUAACACCACAAAGUCCACAGAAAAAACAAAUUUAUCAACUCGUACUAGCACAUCCUCUACUAUUCCAUAGGGUGUCUUAAGUGACCUAUCGGCUAACUGGAGCGAGAUCAUAGUAGGGGUGACUUCUCCUAUAUCUAAUCGUUCAAACAUGGUCAAAGGCAUCAAAUUAAUGCUAGCACCUAAAUCACACAAGGCUCUUCCUACGGCUAGACCUUCUAUGUCAACAGAUAUUGUGAAGCUACCAGGAUCUUUCAGUUUAGGAGGGAGCUUCUUUUGUAGAAUAGCACUGCAUUCCUCAGUUAACAUUUUAGUUUCACUCUCCUCACUUAGUUUUCUUCUCCUUGACAAAAUGUCUUUCAUGAAUUUAGCAUAAGUGGGCAUUAGCUCCAAUGCUUCAGAAAAAAGAAUGUUAAUUUGAAGCUUCUUAAAAACUUCUAAAAAUUUUGAAAAUUGUUUUUCCAAAUUCGUUUUUACUAAAGCAUUGGGGAAAGGGAUUUUUCCACAACCAAUAGGAAUUGUUUUCUUUUCUUUAUUCUCAUUCACUAACCUAUCUUCACUCUGUUCUUUUUCCUUACUUAUCAUUUCAGAUUCACUUUAAUUUCUAGCCUCACUCUUAUUCUCUUCACUAUCUUUUUUCUUUUCAAUUUCAUGCAUCACUUUCCCACUUCUUAGAGUAACAACAGAAAUAUUUUCCUUGGGGUUAGGCACAGUGUUGCUAGGAAACAUACCUAGAGGUCUUUCGGCGAGUUGUUUUGAGAUUUGACCAACCUGGUUCUCCAAAUUUUUGAUUGAAGCCUCGUGGUUCUUGAAAUUAUUGCGAGAUUCAUUGAUGAAACUCUUGGUAGUUUGAGCUAAUUCCCCCAUAAUGUCUUCCAAGUUCUUCUUUCCAGCUCCUUCAUCUUGUUGAGGUGGCUGCCUUUGUUCCUGAUAAUGACCCCGCUAGUUGGAAUAUUGUCUUUGAUCGCCUGAUUGAGUUGACUUAUUUUGCCCUCCCCAAGAGAAGUUGGGGUGAUUCCUCCAUCCUGCAUUAUAAGUAUUGGAAUAUGGAUUAUUUUGGGGGUUAGUAAGUAUUUUUACCUCCUCAUCGAAUUUUGCAUCAUCAUUGCCCACAUGGCAGUCAUCCAAACGCUUCACUAUGGCAUCCAUUUUCUGAGACAACUUCUUAUUUGAGGCUAGAACGGCAUCAUAUGUCUCUACUUCUUGAACACUUUUUCUGUUCUGCCUGUCGUUGUUGUAAUGCAUAGCUCUGGCUGGCAGAUUAUUAAUUAUCACUAAGGCUUCACUAGUGGGCAACACAUCAAAAGCUCCACCUGGAGCUGCAGUAUCUAAUUUGUCUUUGGUAUAGUCAUUCAAUGCGGUUAAAAAAUUACUACCUGAUCAGUAAGAGAAAUAUUAUGGCUUGGGCAUUUUCUUAGAAGCUCAUUGAACCGUUCUCAUGCCUCAUAUAAGUUCUCUUGAUCCAUCUGGAGAAAAGAGUUGAUCUCUUGCUUUAACUUCCUCGUGCGGGUUGCUGAAAAAAACUUUGACGUAAAUUUCUUGGCUAGGUCAUCCCAUGAUACAAUACUGUGUGAAGGUUGAGACCUCAACCAAGUUGCAGCAGAAUCCCUUAAGGAAAAGGGAAACAACAUCAACCCUACUGUGUCUAGAGUGAUUCCCUGUUUCUUCAAUGGGGUGCACUGCUCUGUGAAUGUAGCCAUAUGAGCAUAUGGAUCUUCGAGUAUACUCCCUCCAAAUUGGUGUUGGCUCACUAGGUGCAUGAAGUGAGUUGGCACCUGGAAAUUUUCUGGAACAUCAGUAGGUGGAACAAUACUUCCCUCAAAUUCAAAGCUUAUGUCAGGGGUAGUUAUCUCCCUAACUCUCUGUCUCGCUGAAUUCUCCGGGCUUCAUAAUCUGCAUCAUAUCGCCCUUCAAAUUCAGCUCGAAUCCUCGCCUCAAUCUGUUCCGGUGUCUCAGCCAUUGUUUUUGCUUUCUCAGUUGAGCUCGAUUCAUCCGAGCAGUCUUCUCGAUCUCAGGAUCAAAAAGAAGGGAAUUACGAUCAACGGUACCUCGCAUACACUAGCAAACAAAUGUUAGUAACAUCAGCACAAUAAAAGCAAAAAUAAAAAUAAAAAUAUAGGAAAAUCUUAAAAGUAAGAAAUAGGUUCUAUUAUUCUAGACUAAAGCGCAACCCCCGGCAACGGCGCCAAAAACUUGAUAACUCUUAGGCAAGUGUAUCUAUUCGUUAAGUAGUAAUAAAAUAUCGAUCUCAAGGAUUGCGGUUGUCCAAAUCAAUUUCACCUAUUAAAUAACUAAAAAGACUAAGUAAAAAGGUUUGGGGUGAAUAAUUGUUGAAAAAGAACUUAAUUCAAAGUUGUAAAAUUCAGUGAAAAGCAAGUACGUAGUAUUGAGAGCAAUCAAAAGGGGAAGUACCUGAGGUAGGAUUUCAUCAAUCUCACUUAUGUUCUUAAUAGACUAAUUAACUCAUGAAUUAUCUAACUUUUUUAUGGUGCUUGCCUAAGUUUCUACGUGAUAAUCUCUUAACUACGCAGAACUUCCAAUUAAACUGCUAACACUAAUCUCUUAGUUCCUAGACGAAUUCAAUUGGAGAAUUAAAGUACUUAGUUACUAGCCAACACAAUUAGAAGUUACCCUUAUCUCUAAGGCGUAGGCGUUCCUAAUCAAUUCCUCACCGGAUCCCUAUUUUCUACCGAUUUCUCAAUCGCAUACAAAAUAGCAAAGUUAAUCUUCAUGCAUAAAGAUUCAUAGAUAAAAGAUGAGAAAUUCAUAAAUAAAAAUAGGAUUCAUGAGUCUAAAAAGUAUAUCAAAACAUAAGAUCAAAAGAGUCAAACCAGACACCCCAAGUACCUACGGAAGUUUAGCCAAGCAUGACUUUCAUGAUCAAAUAAUUUAUUGAGAAAAAUAAAGGUUUUUCAAAAAGCUCCAAUGUUAGGGUUAACUCCAGGAAAAGGCUCAAAAGCUGCUAUCUAAUAUUCCCCUCCAAUUUCACGUCCCCCUUGAUAUUAUAUAUCUUGCAAAUAUAUACAUCCCUAAUACUGUGCUUUUCCGUUUCAUUCAAUCGCGUGGCCCAUAGGGAUGGCAAUUUUGCCCAAACCCAUGGGUACCCGCCCGAACCCGAUCCGAUUUGACGGACAAAACCCGAGUUGACUGGAUUUGGGUUUGGGUUUGGGUUUUGCCCGUUACUAUAACAAUUUAGGCUAAAAAGCACUUUUGGCCCCUGAUGUUUAAGUUUGUGCAAAUUCUGCCCUUACUCUAUUUUUGUCGAUGUUUCUACCCCUCAUGUUUUCAAACAGUGCACCAUCUACCCCUCCGUCAGUCAGAUGUUAAAAAACUAACGGAAUGAGCUGAUUUGGCUUUUUUUUUAAUAUAUUUUUUGGACCUACCACGUGGAAAUUACAAGUGUAAUUGGAAAAAUGGGGCAUGGGAGAUUCAAACUCAAGACCUAUAAGUAGCAAAACAUGCAUUUAACCAGUUCAGUUACAUACAUAAUUGAUAUAUACAUCAAGCAAAUUUAAUUUAUAUCAUUUCCUUGAUCAUCAUCAACUUCAUAUGCUCCUAUUUAUCUCUACAAUCCACUCAUGAACCUCUCCUGAGAAAGCCUGACUGACAGAGGGGUAGACGGUGCACUGUUUGAAAACUUGAGGGGUAGAAACGUCGACAAAAAUAGAGUAGGGGCAUAAUUUGCACAAACUUGAAACAUCAGGGGCCAAAAAUGCUUUUUAGCCAACAAUUUAUGGGUUUGGGUUUGGUAUUAGUUAAAUCUGUGCCCAAACCCGAAUCCAAAGAUACCCAAAACAUAAAAUUACAAAAAAAUUCUCAUACAUGUAUAUAUUUAUAAACUUUGUUCUUAGUGUUUGAUGAUUAAUUGUACUUUUGUAUGUUUGAGAAAGUCAAUUCUAAACUAUUGUUGUCUCACUUUGGUGAUGGAUGAUGAUGAUGAAUAGUAUUUGUUUUUCUUUCUUUCUAUGAAUUUCACUUUUUUUUAUGAAAGUAGGUUAUGGAUCGGGUUGCUAUUUCACGUAAGGAAUGAGUUUGGGUUUGGGUUUCGGGUAAAUCCGAAACCCAAUGGAUUUGAGCGUGGAUUUCAUUUUAUCGCCCAUAAGGGUUUGUGUUUGGGUUUGGGUUUGGGUUCUGAGAUUUGGGUUUGGGUUUGGUAAUUGUAAAAUCCGUGCCCAAUCCUACCCGUUGCCAUCCUAGUGGCCCAGGCUUGGAAAAAGCAAAAAUCCUUGUCUUUUGAUGCUGCCACGUGUCACCUUGCAAUUGGUGGAGACAUUAUAAGGGUGGAAUCUAGCGCUUCACAACCCAUUAUCUUGUGGUGGACCUCAGGCCUGAUCACGACACGUGGAUGGAAUUAUGCUGCAGCCAUCUGAUCUCCGCACGUGCAUGGUAAUUACAGUGGACCCUCAGCGCAGUAUCAACUCUCUUUUCCUGAUUUUUCCAGAAAUUAAAUUAAAUAAAAAUAAGGUAAAAUAAGAUAAAAUCUCAAAAUAAACCAACUAAAUUCUAAUCAAAUCUAUAAUUCAAAAAGUCCUAAUUAAAGAUAGAUAAAAACUAGCAAAAUAAAAAUAAGAUAACGACUUAAAAUAAACUUAUCUAAUCCUAAAUUAAAGUAAAUAAAUCCUAAUAAUAAUUAAACAAAAUAUAAAGCUAAUUUAAAUCCUAAUAAAAUCUAGAAAAAUAAUAUAAAAUGUAGAAAAAUACUAAAACUAAAUAAAAAUAUUAAAAUGCAUGAAAUAGGCCUAGAGUGUCCUAAAAUGAUUAAAAUAUCUUAAAUAAUACAUUAAAAUGCAUGCAAAUAAAUUAGGAAAAUAGCCUUAAAUCUCAGGUCAUCAGUUGGUACUUGCAGUUGUUGCUUCAGUGGUGGAGCGCGCUUCGUCGGCAUUGGUGGCAGAGGCCUUGGCAUUUCGUUGGUCUAUUGGGUUGGCUUUGGAGCUUGGCUUCAUACGUGUUUGUCUUGAGACUGACUGCAUCCAACUCUUCCAGAUGUGGAAGAAACCUCAGGAUGGGAGGAAUAAUUACUUGUCUACUAUUCUUGAUGACUGUUUUCGGUUUAGCCGUUCUUUUGAUUUGUUUUCGGUUGUUUUUGUUAGCCUUGAUGGCAAUACUGUUGCUGAUUUUUUAGCCAGGAACACACCCUCCUAUGCUGGCCAUGUCUGGAUAGAAGAGGUGCCUCCUGAGGCCGUUCUGUUGUAGCUGCUGACAUUUUGACGUCUUUGCCUCCAGUUUAAUUAAUUUGCGGGAAAUUUUCAAAAAAAAAUAUAUAAUCCCUCAAAUUUAUCACCAAAACAAUGAAAGAUGCAUAAAGUGCUUCCAUUUUAAUUCCAAUAAGAUCCGUACGUACGUAGACUCUUUGGGUGUUGAUAAUUUGAGAAAUUAAAUAAAAUAAAAAACAAGAUAGAUAAUGAUAAGUGUGAUAUAUGAUGUUAUUACAUUGGAAUAGAAAUUGAGUGAAAAAAUUAAAAUAGUACAUAUCAUUGAUGUUUUAACUUUCCUAUAACAAAGUAUUGAAAUUAGAAGUGCGGCCCAACUAUACCUUAAGGGUGCGUUUGUUACAAGUUAUCAAAAAUCAUGCCCGGGUAAGUGGAUUCCCAGGGAUAUUAUGAUGUGAAUGAUAUUCCCAGACAUCUUUUAAAAAAGUGUUUGGUUGAUAAAUUCAAUUCUCAUGUAUGUUUUUAAAAUUUAUUUAAUUAAAAUAUUUAAAAAUAUAAAAUUUGAAGUAAAAAUAAAAGUUAGUGGGAAAUAACUUUCAUUCCCAUGGGAAUGCAAGAUACCCAUCCUUGAACAUGGGAAUGAAGUUUGGAGAAAAUCAAUGUAAAUUGCAUGCCUGUGAAUCCACAAUACCCGGGAAUAUUUUUUUCUGAAACUUGUACCAAACAUGAGAAUGUUACAUUCCCAACCUAACUUACCCGGGAAUCUUUAAAGAUCCCUUCUACCAAACGCCCCCUAAGAUCAAGGAUAGAGUUGACCUAGUUGUGGGUGCGAUGAGCUUGAAUUGCCUUCAGACAUUUUGGAUUUUCAAAAUUCUCAUUUAUAAAUAAUUACUCUCACCGUCUCUAUUUAUAAGUAAUUUUUAAGAGUUUUUUUUUUUCUAACAGUGAAGCACUUCAUAUUAUUCCCUAAAAUUAAUUAACCUCAUGUAUUUAUGGAAGAGAUUGUGAAUUUCAGAAAGCUGAAUUGUACUUUUGAUCCUUAAUCUAAUAUGAUUGUAUAAAAGUGGACCCCUGCGUUUAAAACAAGCGCUUUUGUUCCCAGGUGUUUUUAACAUGAACGAUUUUAGUCAGUUCGUUAGUUUGUCAUCCAAAAGCUAACGAAACUCGUUGACAUGGUCUCAAUGAUUGACGUGGCAUCCCAUUUGGCGCCACUUGGAUAAAAAAAUUGUGAAACUUCAAUUUUUUUGUUCCACAUAUAAAAUUGAAGUUCAUCGUUCUCUUCAAUUUUGACUUGGGUUGGAGUUUCUUCGCGGUACCCCCAUCGAUAUGACUCAAACGACAUAGCAGUUUGUGUUUUUUCGUAGAAGCUCCCUGUCAAUAAGAAGUUCACCGUUCUCCCCUCUCGAUCAACAUUCCCUUAAGUGAUUUGGACGGGCUUAUCUGAUCACAUCUUAUAUAUAUAUAAUAAUUAACUCUCAGCUUGUGUAUCUUUCACUUGAUUUUGAUGGAAUAUAAAUAUGGUGUGAAGAUAAAUUUUUCAAAAUAUCCAAAGGGGAUAUGUAACAAAAUGAUAUGUAAAUCACCAACAUUUAAAACACCCCUACAAACACUCAAUAUUAUCUCUCUAUUAUAUAAUUACAUUACAUCAUACAUCAUUUUCUACUUUUUUUUUUUGUUCCAUUGAUAUUCUACAAAUAUCAUUAUUGGAUAAAUAAUUAUAGCAGCCAGCAGUGGUGUCCACUUCCAGUUCUUCCAAUGAACAAUCAUAGGAAGGAAACACAUGACCAUGUCUUCACCUUUCCCAGCAAGGUUGGAAUAGUCUAGUUCACACAUUUGUCCACGUGUCGCGAUCCCAUUGCUGGAAGAGCUGGAUGUGAAAAGACAAAUCGGCCCAUCCAUCCAUGUAUUAAUGGCCACCCCGCCCAAAACGCAAAGGCUUCCUUCCUUCCUUCCCCCACUUCAACGUGCCUUGCCCCUAUACCUUCCCCCACUCACAGUACUAUUAUUGCAACCAAAUCCCAAAAUUCUUAGAGAGAGAAAGAGAAGUUUAGAGAGAAAAAGAGUGAAAAAUUCAUCAUAUGGAGAAGAUGAUGGUGUUUGAGGAAACUGAGCUGAGGCUUGGCCUUGGGUUGCCUGGAAAUGGAGGCACAGCAGCAGGCACUGGUACUGAAGGUGCUGCUGCAGAAGGAGCUGUGAUGAGAAAGAGAGGAUUCUCUGAAACUGAGUCGACUGAGACUGAAGAAACAGCAACCACUACUGUGGAUCUGAUGCUUAACCUUUCCCCUAAAGAAGCUUCUUCUGCUUCGGCUGCUGCUGGUGGGGCAGAUCCACGUGAUAAGCUUAAGACUUCUUCGCCUAAGGAGAACACCCUGCUGGUCUCUGAUUCUGCCAAGCCUCCUCCUGCUAAGUAAGUAGUUAAUAAUUUACCAUGCAUGCUUUUUUCCUUUGUCUUAAAUACCAUAGUGUUAGUUAUGAGUCUAAUCUCUCAUAUCAGCAUCAGCGCAAUAAAAAAAAAUUCAUUCGCAAAAGUCUGGGUUUAACCUCUCAACCACUUGUUUAAGGAUGAAUUAGAAAAGGGGAAAAGGUUCGGGCUAAUUUAAUUUUAUACUUUUUACUAACUUUCAUGAUUUUCCAUUUAAUUAGCAUAUAAAAACAAGGAUUCAUGUUUGUUGCUUAUAUUAAAGUUAUGGUUAAUUAUAUUUGGGGAUUGCCAGAGUUAGCCAAGAGGAUUUUAGAUGAUGAGAAAUUAAAUGAAAAUCAAAGAAAUUAUUACAAUAUAGAUCAUGAGUGGGAAAGGGAGAAUUAAUGUCAAUCCUAAUCUUUAAUUAAACAACAUAUAACACUAUCAACAUCUUUCCUAAGCUACAUUUUUAUUUUAUUUCUUUCUAUCACAUCAUAUCACAUUUAUCACUUUCCUCUUUCUUCUCUUCAUUUUUCUCUCUCUUUUUUCUACAUCUUAUUGGAGUAGUGUUGACCUUAAUUUCAAAGAUGCUUUCAUCUCUAUUACAACAUACCCUUUACCCAUGGCUUCAUAUAGUUUAGCUAGUUAGUUAAACAGUUGACAAUAUAACAGUUUUUUUUGUUAAUUCUUAAAGUUAACUUUGACUAAAUAUUUAUUCAUGUAUGUAGAAUAUCAUAUAUAUCAUAAUUAAGUAACUAGGACUUCUCUAGAUCUCUGAUUAAGCCUUUUUUAUUAGAUUCAUUACACAACCACAUGCAUACACAAACUAAUUAAUUCAAUGAAAAAGUGAUUGAUUAUACGAAUAUUGUGAUGGAUUGAAAUGAAACUAUUAAUUAGGGCGCAAGUGGUGGGUUGGCCACCAGUUCGGUCGUUCCGGAAGAACAUGUUUGCGGCCCAAAAGAGCAGCGGAGAUCAAGAGAGCGAGAAGAACAGCAGCCCUAAUGCAAGCUUUGUGAAAGUGAGCAUGGAUGGAGCACCUUACCUCCGCAAAGUGGACUUGAGCAUGUACAAGACUUACAAAGAUCUCUCUGAUGCCUUAGGCAAAAUGUUUAGCUCCUUCACCAUUGGUAAUUAUUUAUUUAACCACCAAAUUUAUCGGCACAUUUAUAUAUGUACCUUUGUUUAAAUACUUUAUCGUAAAUGUUUAAGUAAUCAUCCCUUUGAUACUAUGAGUUUCAGAGUUCAAACCACACUCAUCAAAAUGAAACCCUUUUCUAAUCAGUUGUUUAACACUCAGUACGAGUAUUAUAGAUACACUCUCUGAUCACUAUUAUAAGCGAAAGUUAGUUUUUUAGAUUUAUUGAAUAAAUGAUGUAUGUGGUCAAUAUUUAUUCAAUGAAUCUAAAAAAUUAACUUUUACUUAUAAUAGUGAUCAGAAGCUGUUGGGAAUUAAUUUGUGUUGUGUGGGGUACUUACUUGGUCUAAAAAAAAAUUAAAUGAGUUGAAUGAGGUCAUGGUGAUUGAUGAUAACAAUUAAUUAUUGCUUUGUUUGAUGAAUUGAAGGAAAUUGCGAGUCCCAAGGCAUUAAGGAUUUCAUGAAUGAGAGUAAGUUGAUGGAUCUUUUGAACUCCGACUAUGUCCCAACCUAUGAAGACAAGGAUGGUGACUGGAUGCUUGUCGGUGAUGUACCAUGGGAGUAAGUUUUCAUUUCUCCACUUCAACACCCAUAAUUGUUCUUCUGCCUGCAAUAAUUACACGUACCUCAUAAUUUCCUCCAUGUGCAUCGGCAUAUAUAAGCAUAUCCUUUAGUAGUAAUAUAUUAUGCUAGCUAUACCAAUUAAUUAACCAAUUUGUCUUGUUAUAUUACUCAUGUGGUUAUCAUUUGAUAGUAGUAGAUAGUUAGACUCUUCAAAUACUAAUUAAUUUAGAGUUUGAUUUUAUAAGUAGUGUGUAUAGAAAAUGAUUUAUCAGGAGAUUUGUACUCAUUUAAAUGUGAUUUUCGAAACUUGAGAGAAUUAAUCUCAUAAUUGCAUACUGAUAUACCUUGUAAAACCAAGAAAAAAUAUAUUACUAUUACUCACAUAUUUACUUCUUACAUAUUUAUUUCUUGCUGUUACUUAUGAUUUAUUAUCCUUACACAUUUCUUGUUGAAACUAAAGUUUUGCAUAUGAUAAUGACUAUUUUCUUUAUGGCAAGCAGGAUGUUUGUUGAAUCAUGCAAGCGUUUACGUAUCAUGAAAGGAAAGGAAGCUAUUGGACUCGGUUAGUACAUACAACGAUUAAUUCAGUUACUUUUACUUCAAAAAAGAAACCCUGCUCAUUAGUCAUGAUUCAUGCAUGCACGUACAAUCCUUCUAUAUAUUCAGUCAUAUACACACUACUGUUAAAUAUCUAUCUCCGUAGAGAAUUGCAAUGACUAGUCUAUAAUUUAGAAGGAAAAAAAACACAUUCUAAAGUUAAUUAACUUGUUUAUGUAUGUGUCAGCACCAAGAGCCAUGGAGAAAUGCAAGAACAGGAGCUAGACUAGUCGUUACAAUUGCAACUGCUCAAUAUUCCAUGUGGUCCAAGUUGACUUAGUAACUGAAUCAAGCAAGGUGAAGAAGCUGCAGCAGACACGGAUGGACAAAGAAAGCAGGGUGUUAAAAAUAUAGUUAAUUAUAUUUGUGUAUCAUUAAUAUGGUUUGUUAUAUAAUAUUCCAAACAAAACUGUGAGAUUAAUUCUAAGUAUAUAUUGUGAACAGAAACGAUAAUGACUCGAUCUGAAUUAUGUCGCAAGACUUUAUUUCUUUACUUGUUGUGUGCUUGCAUAAUAGUAAGCUGAUCAAUAAUGUGCUUGUCUGUUGUACCUAUAUAUCGUUUGUAUUUUACUUAAUUUUCACCAUUUUCAUUCUAUAUGCAUUCAAUUUAUUAUUUGUAUAAUGUAUAGUGAGAAAAAUAAAUUUGUAUAUAUGGGCUUCAGAUUUUUUGGUUUAGGUCAAGAAUGGACGAGCUGACAUGAUAUAUUUGGUGGGGGACAAGAACAUGUGCCUCAAAGAGCAUUUAUAUAUGUAUGCCCAUUGAAGAGUGUUGUAUUAAGUUUAAUUUUAUAUUAUCUUAUUUCAUGUUAUUCAAACAGAGGAAAAAAGAGAAAUUAAUUAUAAGGGAUAAGAGGAAAAAAAAAUAUUCGCGCCCCAGAAAAACAAAUUUAGUUUGCACUCAUGUGUUUUCUAUAUAGUUACAAUAGUUCAAUAAGAAGAAGAAAAAAAAUACUCAAGAAAAACAAGCAAUUAAUAUGAGACUUACGUACUGAGAAGGAAGCACGAACAUGUAACCCAAGGGCACGGUCGUGCUCUAUCAAAUUUACAAGUUAUGACUGUGUCAAAGUCAUGCACGAUUUUGGCGCAAAGUCAAUUCAGUAAUCACGACCGUUUCCCUAUAAGUUGGACGGCCAUGCCUAUUCGCUUGGUAGAGAGCCUGAAUUAGACCUAAUUAUUUCAAUUAAAUGAGGGUUUGAGGCCAAGGUAGAGAGGAUCAUGUGAUUAGAGAAUUAAACAUUAGAACGCUAUCACACAUAUCUUUGCAGGGAGAAGACAGAAUAAGAAUAGAAAUCUUAGUAUUUUCAUUUCUCUAUAAGAUGUUAGUUACUAGGGACUGUAUGUGUUCGAAAUAUUCCCUCUCAAGAAAAAAAAGAAGACAUUCAAUAUUUUUACAAUGCAUAAGAUGAUUUGAACCCUGAUAUUUUAUAUAUGUUCUUGUUAUUUCAAUUAAUUUGUGUAUUCGCUUAAUUCAGUAUGAAGUAAUUAAUCGUAUCAAUAUAGUAGGGUAGUUUACUCCUGACGGGGGAAUUAUAUACUAUGGAACCUAAAAUAAAGUGUGGGAAAUUAGUUUUGGUGCACUCCUGGUAGAUGUAUUAGGAUUAGUUCAACUAGCAUGUGGUUAGGUAGUGUAAUAUCUCUCAGGUAGCUUCUUGCGGCUAGGUGGUAUGUGGUUUGGGUAUAGCUUGGAGGCUUAUCUAACUUGAAGUAGAGUUGACACCUACAACUCUUAGGCAACAUAUAUAAAAUCAUGAGAGAUGAUUCAAUUACUUUGCAAUCUCGAGACUUUUCUCUAUCUGAUUCUCAAUCUUGUUUGUUACUUGCUUUGCUCGCAAGAUCACAACACCAAUUUCAAACUUAUAUUUGUCUGAACUAUGAACUUCCCCUUAAAAUUGGUUUCUUUACUUACUCCCUUCUACAACUGGGACUUUCAUAUCCUAUAUUACUUGAGCGAUAGAGUGUACUUGCUCUUCUGCGUGUGUUAUUUUAAUGUAACAUUAGUUAAAUAUAAAAGGUGCCCAAUCAACCUUAUGUAACUAGAUACAUUUGGAAAGGGAUCAUCAGAAGUCUUGUGAAGCUUAAUUGAAGAAUCCAUAGAAAUUGUAGUCUUGUGAAGCUUAAUUGAAGAAUCCAUAGGAAUUGUACAUGGCUUUGCCCCCAACAUACCAGUGUGUGCAAGCAAGUCCAAGGCAUACUUGCACCGAUAAAGAGCAAUUCCAUAUCCUGCUAAAAGUAACUCAUUAACAUAACAUCCAACAACUGCUUGAGAUCAUCUAUCUCUCCAAUAUCAUUUCCGGCCAUAAGUAAAUCAUCAACGCAAACCAGAGCAGAAAUAAAAUAGUGGAGGUCCGUUGUGUGAAUAAGGAAUAGUCAGCCUAAGAUUGAAUGUAGCCGUGUUGUAGAAAAACAUCCUUGAGUUUUGCAUUCCAUACGGCUAGCCUGGCAUAGAAUAGAGGGAUUUGUUUAAUUUGCAGCCACAUUUGGAACAAGUAAGAACAAUCUGUUAGGACUAAAAAUGUCAGUGGGCCGCUAGUGCAGGAAAGGAUUGGGCCUAAGGUUUGGCAGGUGUAUUCUAGAAGAAAGAAAGAGAAUAUCCAAGGCAACUAAGAGUGAGCUCAGCAUAACAGAAUAGGUUGAGUGUAAGAGAGAGGGUGUGAUUGUAACCGUUUUAGUAUAAAGAAGGCUAGGAGAGAGGUUGAGAGGCAUCUUAUUCAUUCUGUUAGCUAAGAGAUGGAUAGGAAGCUCUGAGCUUCCUAUAAGGAGCACAGCUCUUGUCAGGAUAGGAAUACCAUUCCUUCUCUGUAUUCAGCCAAUUUCAUUCAAUAAACAAUCACUUACUGCAUUCUUUCCUCUGUUUCUCCUUAUUGUUCAUUGUUAGGGAAAUAGGGUCCUAACAAUUUGGUCCGACCUACCGGAUCAAUUCAUCCGUCGAAAUCAGUGAAUGCCACCCAAGAAAACCACUAAGGUUGCAGUCACUCAAAUGGAGGCUAAGAUCGAUGCUCUGGAGGCGGAGCUUGCUGCUAUGCGAACGUCUCUUUCGGCGGUCUCCACGGCGGUGACGGAUCUGCCUACGACUCUAUUGGCAAUGGUAGAGAAGGCGGUGGGAAAAAAGGUACCCACGGAGGAAGAUAGCGGUCCUGUGGGUAAUUCUGGUGUCAAAACCCAUGAGAAAACCCCAGAAUCUUCCGGGGAAAAAGGAGGAGGAUCUCGUCGGAUGUCACUCCAGGGUGAAGCUUUGGAGGAGUUCCGGCAAUCUGUGAAGAAAGUCGAGCUACCCCUCUUUGACGGUAAGGACCCCGCGGGGUGGAUCUCACGCGCGGAGGUGUAUUUCCGCGUCCAGGGAACAUCGCCGGAGGUGAAGGUUGGUUUGGCGCAGCUGAGUAUGGAAGGUGGUACGAUCCAUUUCUACAACUCGCUCCUCGAAUCGGAGGAGGAGUUGACCUGGGAGCGGCUGCGGGAUGCGCUGUUGGAGCGCUAUGGUGGCCAUGGCGACGGAGAUGUUUAUGAACAACUUACUGAACUCAGGCAAAAAGGCACAGUAGACGACUACAUCACCGAGUUUGAGUACUUAGUCGCGCAGAUUCCGAAGCUACCUGAGAAGCAAUACCAAGGCUACUUCUUGCAUGGAUUGAAGGAUGAAAUCCGGGGAAAGGUAAGGAGCUUGGUAGCGUUGGGAGGUAUGAAUCGAGGCCGUCUUCUCGUCGUUUCUCGAGCUGUAGAGAAGGAGGUGAGAGGAGAGGCUGGAACGGGUUAAUCUCGGAGCAACCGCUUUGAACCAUCGGGUUUCCGAACCGGAGGAAGUGGGUCGGGUAAAACUGGAGGAACGGAAUGGGUAUGGGUCAGAGGGAAUAAGGACUCGGGCCAGGAGGUUAGGCCCAACAACAACAGCAACCCACGCGGAGGGCAAACAAAAAAUGCUGGGGAAGCAAAACGGGUUGGGCCCCGUGACCGUGGCUUCAAUCACCUCACCUACCCACAAUUGUUGGAGCGGAAGCAAAAAGGCCUAUGCUUCAAGUGUGGGGGUGCGUACCACCCGAAUCACCAAUGCCCCGAUAGACAUCUCAGAGUUCUCAUCCUCGAAGACGACGAUGAAGACGCCGGCGAGGGAAACAUCUUGGCAAUGGAGGUAAACGAGGAGGAAGACGAAAACAGCAUAGGAGCGUUGAGCUUGAUGAGUUUAGGGAGCAUGGGAGGAGCACCAGUAGAAAUGCCUCAGACCAUGAAGCUUCAAGGCACAGUUGAUGGAGUUCCUGUAGAGGUGUUAAUUGACAGUGGAGCCACUCAUAAUUUUGUGGAUAGUCAGUUGGUGCGCAGAAUGGGGUGGGAAGUCGAAGAUACGCCUCGGCUGACGGUGAAAAUGGGAGAUGGAUACCGCUCUCAAGCUCAGGGACGCUGCAAAGGGCUGAAGCUUACACUAAAUGGGUAUCAACUGGUUUGCUCUCCCCAAUUGUUCGAAUUGGGCGGACCCGAUAUCGUGCUAGGAAUAGAGUGGCUCAAGACACUGGGAGAUACAAUUGUCAAUUGGCAAUCCUUGACCAUGAGCUUCUGGAGUGGUCAACAAUGGGUAAAGCUGCAAGGUGUACGCACUGAUAGCGAAAUCCUGGGGUCUCUUCAGAGCAUCUUGUCACCUGUGUCGGGUAAGGAGCAAGCUCUUCUGAGGACCAGAGGGAAUAUGGCAGUCCAAGACCAAGCUCUGGUAGACAUCACGACAAAUCAGCAAGGUCAAUUACAAGCACUACUGGACCGUUUCAAUGGAGUUUUUCAGGAAAAGCAAGGGUUACCUCCAGGACGGGGAAGGGAACAUCGAAUUGUAAUUCAAGAAGGACAAGGCCCGGUCAACGUGAGGCCUUACAGGUAUCCUCAUCAUCAAAAGAAUGAGAUUGAGAAGCAAGUAAGGGAAAUGCUAGCAUCUGGGAUCAUCAGACAGAGUACAAGUGCGUUCUCAAGUCCUGUCAUUCUCGUAAAGAAGAAGGAUCACACAUGGAGGAUGUGUGUAGACUAUCGCGCCCUCAACAGGGUUACUGUGCCAGAUAAAUUUCCGAUUCCCGUCAUCGAGGAGCUGUUAGAUGAACUCCAUGGGUCGCGGUAUUUCUCCAAGCUUGACUUGAAAUCUGGAUAUCAUCAGGUCAGGGUACAUGCUUCAGAUGUGCAUAAGACCGCUUUUCGCACGCAUGAGGGUCAUUAUGAGUUCAUGGUAAUGCCGUUUGGUCUCAUGAAUGCGCCAUCUACAUUCCAAAGUCUUAUGAACGAGGUAUUUCGCUCUAUGUUGCGUCGCGGAGUCUUAGUAUUUUUCGACGACAUCCUUGUUUAUAGUCAAAGCUGGGAGGAACACAUGAGUCACUUGGAGGAGGUAUUGCAGUGUUUGCAAACCCACAGCUUAACUGCAAAUCGGAAAAAAUGUCAGUUUGCAACACGAACUGUGGAAUACUUGGGUCAUCUGAUUUCUGAGCAUGGUGUUGCGGUGGAUCCAAGCAAAAUAGCAAGUGUGGUAUCUUGGCCCAUACCAAAAAAUGUGAAGGGGGUGCGUGGGUUCCUGGGUUUGACAGGAUAUUACCGGAAAUUUAUAAAGGAUUACGGUAAAAUAGCAAGGCCCCUCACUGAACUAACCAAGAAAGAUGCAUUCCAGUGGAAUGAGGGAGCACAAAGAGCUUUUGAAGAAUUGAAGAACAAGUUAACCACGGCCCCGGUUUUAGCAUUACCAGAUUUCACUCAAGACUUUCAAGUGGAAUGUGAUGCUUCAGGAGAAGGCAUUGGAGCAAUAUUAAUGCAAGAGAAACAUCCCAUAGCCUACUACAGUAAAGCGUUGGGCCCAAGGAAUUUGGCUAAGUCAGCUUACGAAAAAGAGUUAAUGGCUGUGGCACUAGCAAUCCAACAUUGGCGUCCCUAUUUGCUUGGGAGGAAAUUUGUGGUUUUCUCUGAUCAGAAAAGCUUAAAGGAGUUUCUGCACCAGAAAUUGAUAACUGGAGAUCAACAAAAUUGGGCGGCAAAGUUGUUGGGUUACAAUUUUGACAUAGUUUACAAGCCCGGAAAAAACAACCAAGGGGCUGAUGCUUUAUCACGCAAAAACGAGGCACGGGAAUUGUGUACCCUAGUAUCUUAUCCUAUUUGGGAGGAGCAAGGUUUAAUCCAAGAAGAGGUUCAGAAAGAUGCAAGACUGAUGAAGAUAAUCAAGGAAGUGAAAGUUAAUCCUCAGUCUCAUCCUGGUUAUAAGCUCUCACAAGGAAUCUUGCUCUAUCAUGACCGUUUGGUGCUGUCAAGUACCUCAUCUUUCAUUCCCAAACUGAUUCAAGAAUAUCACACCACACCACAAGGUGGUCAUUCUGGAUUCCUGAGAACAUACCGACGCUUGGCAGCAAAUUUGUACUGGUUAGGGAUGAAAAACACGAUUCAGGAGUUUGUCAGGAGCUGCGACACUUGUCAGAGGCACAAGUACUUGGCUGCGUCUCCAGCAGGCCUCCUUCAACCUCUGCCUAUUCCUAAUCAAAUAUGGGAAGAUGUCUCCCUUGAUUUCAUAACUGGAUUGCCCCGUUCAAAGGGAUUCGAAGCCAUAUUUGUGGUGGUUGAUCGUCUCACCAAAUACUCCCACUUUAUUCUAAUUAAGCACCUUUACACGACCAGGAGCAUCGCUGAGCUAUUCACAAAAGAGAUUGUGAGGUUACAUGGAGUGCCCUCGUCUAUCAUCAGCGAUCGUGAUCCCCUGUUUGUCAGUCAUUUUUGGAGGGAAAUCUUUCGUCUCCAAGGAACACACCUGAAGUUAAGCUCGGCUUACCAUCCCGAAACCGAUGGACAAACCGAAAUCGUUAAUCGUUGUUUGGAGACUUAUCUCCGAUGUUUUUCCGCUGAUCAACCCAAGACAUGGGCAACAUGGCUUCACUGGGCAGAGUACUGGUUUAAUACCACUUACCACUCUGCCACGCAAUUGACUCCAUUCGAAGCAGUUUAUGGCAGGAAGCCACCUGUGAUCACUCGCUGGGCUUUGGGCGAAACCAGAGUGGCGGCUGUCCAACAAGAGCUUCAGGAUCGUGACGAAGCUCUUCGCCAGUUGAAGCAACACCUUCGCUUAGCUCAGGAGCGCAUGAAGUCUCAAGCUGAUGCUAAACGCUGCGAUAAAUCGUUCACGGUUGGGGAAUGGGUGUUCAAUAAGCUACGUGCUCACCGCCAACUCUCAGUCGCUAACAGGGUUCAUGCGAAGCUGGCGGCGCGAUACUAUGGGCCCUAUCCAAUUGUGGAGAAAAUUGGGGCAGUGGCUUAUCGAUUGCAGUUACCGGAGGGAUCGCGCGUUCAUCCGGUCUUUCAUAUCGCGUUAUUAAAAAGGGCAAUCGGAAAUUAUGAAGCUGCGUCAGAAUUGCCUGACCAGUUGGAUGGGGAUGAGUUCCCAGUCGUGCAGCCUAUGGUGAUUUUGGCGAAUCGAGUCGUGCAACGUCAAGGCAGUGAGAUUUCUCAAGUACUGGUGCAGUGGCAAGGCAAAUCCAUUGAAGAAGCAACAUGGGAAGACAGGGUCACAAUUCAAAGUCAGUUUCCCACCUUCCACCUUGAGGACAAGGUUGGUUUUUCAGAAGGGGGUAUUGUUAGGACUAAAAAUGUCAGUGGGCCGCUAGUGCAGGAAAGGAUUGGGCCUAAGGUUUGGCAGGUGUAUUCUAGAAGAAAGAAAGAGAAUAUCCAAGGCAACUAAGAGUGAGCUCAGCAUAACAGAAUAGGUUGAGUGUAAGAGAGAGGGUGUGAUUGUAACCGUUUUAGUAUAAAGAAGGCUAGGAGAGAGGUUGAGAGGCAUCUUAUUCAUUCUGUUAGCUAAGAGAUGGAUAGGAAGCUCUGAGCUUCCUAUAAGGAGCACAGCUCUUGUCAGGAUAGGAAUACCAUUCCUUCUCUGUAUUCAGCCAAUUUCAUUCAAUAAACAAUCACUUACUGCAUUCUUUCCUCUGUUUCUCCUUAUUGUUCAUUGUUAGGGAAAUAGGGUCCUAACACAAUCCAGGUGAGGGUUCCAAAUAAACUUCUUCAUUCACAUCAACAUGAAGAAAAGUUGUAUUUACGUCCAGUUUGCUUGAGGAACCAAUUGUUAACAACAGCUAAGGCAAGCAACACUUGAAUUGUGGUCAUCUUAACCACGUGUCUACAUGUUUCAAGGAAAUCAAGACCUUUUGCCUUAUUCUUUCGUGAAAACCCACUUACAAGCCACUAGAUAAUGGUGUGGAGGCAAAGUUUCAAGUGUGCAAGUUUUGGUGUUAUGCAGGACAGCUAAUUCAGUAUCAUAGCUUCCUUCCAACAAGAGUGUAGAUUGCAUCCUUAUCUGUGAUCAAGGAAGGAGCUAAAGAAUAACACUUCUGUGAUGGAGAUAAAGACGAAUAAGAGAACACCACAUAAGGGAUACCUGAUCUCUGAAGAUGUAGAUACUGCUGAGCGAUUUGUGAGAGAACCAAUGAUAAUCAGCCAAAUACUGAGAAGCUUGUAGUGCUCUCUGAGAUCUCCUGACAGGUGCAGUAGAGUUGAGAGGCAAAGAAGAAAGAGGUGGAGAGAAUUGAGAUGUAGGUUGAUCAUGUACAGGUUGAGGCUCCAAAGGAUUAGUAGGUUCAAGAGUUUUGGAUGAAGGAAAAAUGGGUGGGAUAGGAUCAAGAUAAGAAGAGGAGUGGUAGUGGGUGCAAAGGGAAAUUGUUACUGUUAGUUACAAUAACAAUCCGGGCUAGUGUCAGAACAUUGAAUGUAUAGGUAUUGACACGUAUAUAUGUUCAUUUGGAUUCAAUGUGCAACUUGGCCAGCCAUACAUGUUCAUUUUCACUCAUGGUGUAACCUACUAACUUCUAGAGUAUUGGACACCAAAAUCAAGGAGAGGAUAAAAACUUUGGUGCUAUUGUAGUACUGAAGAGUAAGUAUUGUUUCUCUCGUAGACAAAUAUUCCCACAGCUCACAGCACGUCUGUGAACAUUUAUGUAGGCGAUGGCCCCAUAAAUUUUUUAUUAAAAAAUGAGGUAGUCAUCCAAAGUUCAAAUAACAACAUUGCUAACCAUGAACAUCUCUUGGCGACAAGAUGAACAGUUUGAGAGCCUAGCUUGAAAAACUAUGACCUGUUUGGUAGCUAGGGGAUAUAGAUAAUACAUCUAGAAUUUUGAUUAUUGUAAACAUACAAGAGAUACUGCACAUGUAUACAGUACAAUCAGUCUCAAGGGGGAUCCACUAGCACAUUGCAAAGCCUUCUAUCCACCCUCCUACGCUUUUUUUCAGGUUCAGGUGUCUGCAAUAAACCAAAAAACGAUUGCGCGUUAACUUCAAAUUCAAAAUAAAAUCAUCUUCAUGUGUAACAAUAAAAUGCAUAUAACACCAGUUAAGAAAACUAUGCUAGUUCUAAAUUCAAAUUUUUCUUUUCCUUUACCACUGGUGCACAUACUUACAGCAUGCCUGAUAUGGAGAUCGAUUACUAGUAAAUAUUGUUUCAACUUAACCACCCAAGCCCCAAAAAAGAGGUACAUUAAAAUAUGCUCUACGGCGUUAAUCUCUUUCUAGCUUUACCUCACUGCUAAGUGAAUAAGGAACCCGAACCCUUUUAGAGCCAUCAGGUAGACGUUUAGAAGGAGAUUGGUUUUCCAUAGAAGAACAUGCAUCCCGGACCUGCAAAUCAUCAAGUAUAUUUUAUAUUAGAAAUAGGAGGAAUAGAGGAUAUCAAACCAAAGAGGUCAGAGUAUGUAUGCUUAUUCAUGAACUGCAAAUUUCUUCAAGCUAUCUAGUACUUUGGAUCCAAAAAUAAUUCAUGAAACUCAUGUCACAAAGAGCACAUUAAUUUAUUAAUCAUGGAGGAAAACAUCUGAACAACUGCUUGUUACCUGACUUUGGAUAGCCUCGACUAACAUAUCCUGACAACCUGAUGCAUGCACAUUUUCUAAAGUGGGACACUGAAGAAGCAGCCUCUCUGAACCAAUCAAUUUAAUAAAUAAUCAAUCUCACUAUUUUCAAGGAAAUUCUGAUAAGUUGCAUCAAAUUUUCAGCUGUUAAUUACAAAACAGGGACAUGAAAUGACUACCUGGAAUCAAAUUCCUACAAGAAUUUAGAUUGAGAUCAUUGAGUUGUGGGCAGUUUAAGUAUAGACCCUGCAUGAUAGUUGAAGAGAAGAAAUUGAAGAUUAGAAGCCUAAGAAAGAAAAUGCAAUGCAUGUCUUCAAUAUAAUGGAACUUACAUCCAAAGAAGUACAACCCCACAAACUGAGUUUCUUUAAACGGCUAUGCUUGAUGAUCAGCUUUUGGUUUAUGAGGUGGAGAUUAGUGCUGGAUGUUUUCUGAGAUUCGUCAUUUUCAUCAGCAGGCAAAUUUAAGGAAUUAGGAUCACAUAUAGUCAUGCCACAGUCCAUAAGUUCAAGGAGCGGUAACUGAGCUGUAGCAAACUGAAUGCCACCUGAAACAUGUCACAGAAGAUUAGUAGGCAGAAACUUAAGCAAAUAUCGACAGUAUCAGAUAUUGAUCAACAGGUAAUUACUUGAAGUAACAUUUGGGCAAAGCGCGAGGAGGAGUCUGGCAAGUGUUUCAGGGAACACAUUGCAAAUCAUUCCAAUUCCGCUGUCACUUAUGCCAGAUCUGUUAAAAAUGUAUCCAUUAGAAAAAUACAGAACAGAGGUAGAACUCAAGACACAAACGCAUACUUGAAAUAUAUGUUCUUGAAUUUACAUAUAGUCUCUUGACUGCUAUCAGAUUUUUUUCAUCUUCAAGGUAUAUACACUUUCAGAACUCCAAUAGAAAAUUUGUUAGCAAUUAGAAUGGAUACAAAUGCAUACCCACUGAGAUCAAGCAAUUCUAGAUUUGGAUAGCUUGACGCAAUUGCAGCAACAGAUGCAUCAGUAAUUUCAGAUCCAAGAACCAGAGAGAGCAUUCGCAGACCCCUGAAUAUUGUAAACAAAUUUUCAGUAUGCUUCCCAACAAUGUGGAUAUGCUUGUAAAAGCUAUUAACACUGCCUCACUAUAGUACAAAUUUGGGAGGAAAAAACAGAUAAGAAUGGCAUUUUGACCAAUAUAUAACCUGUCAAUCAGUUAUAGACUUAUAGGAUAUGGAUUUUAGAUAUACAUACAAAUUUCGAAAUAGAAUUAAGACUGGGUCAUUGCCUACUUAUUAUUUCUGUUUACAUGAAUGCAUGUUAGGUGUUAUAGUUUUGUUUUCUAGUUUCUUUUCAUUUCUCAUGUACCAUGUGGAGCACACAGCCACAGUAUAAAGGUGGACAUCCUCCUACAUGUUUAGUUCAUACACCACAGAAGUGUGAACUCAUACUAAUAGAAAGUUCAAGGCGUUACACAUUACAAACUUUAGUCUUAAAUAAGGGAAGGAAUUUCAAGAUGAAUGGAUAAUACAUAUAACAACUGGAAAAUAGAGAUCAAAAUGCCAAAAGAUAACAAACCUCAACUGAGCAGCUGUAAGAGCAAGCACAGCAGCAUGAGAAAGCCGCACUGAAGCUAUAUGUAUGUUUUGCAAUUUCAAGCAGCUUCUUCCCAAACUUUCAAUCAUUGUUAUGAGAUCAGUACCAUCAUCAUCUUGGGAAGAAAACUCCAAGGAAAUCUCUCUCAACUGGGGACAGUUAAAUACCUAACAUUUAAAAGCAUCUAUUAGUAACUACAGUUCACUCAGUAUGCAUGCUCAGAGGGAAUUAUCAAUUUAAAAUCGAUCACUCGAGAUAAGAAAAGAUAAUAAUCACCAUCUUAGAAAGAGAGUGCAGAUCAGAGAGCCAAAGUGUAGAAAGACUAGACGAACAGAGGGCAAAACCCCCCAGAUUCGAACAGCCUUCCAUCUUGAGGCUUUUGAGGCUUCUUUUAUCCGCAACAAAUCGGCUUAACUCAUCCCUGCAUUUUCAUUGUUGAACAACAGAUAAAGCUAAUCAGUGAAAAGCAGCAUUCUUUGUUUAACCUUCGGUACGCUAAUCUAAGCUCCUACCGCAUAUGAAGGGCUCAAACAACUAGAAUCUAGAAUGAUGAGAAUGUAGAAGAUUGACCACAAAUCAUAAAUCAAAAUUUCUAUGAAGGGUGACCGUACAAGACAAAAGUACUGAAGAGCCACAAUUACCCCCAUAGAACAAUGUCAAACACAACUAAAAUUCUUGAAUCCUAUGCGAAACCAAUUGGUUUACUGUGGCUUUAUCUAAUGAAUUUCCAGGUCUGACGUUCACAUUGUAUAAAAUUACUACCGCACGUUAAUUGCAUUCUCAAUUGCUCAGAUGUUCAAAACCUAAACUUAAUUUCCAUACAAAUAAAAAAUAGGUUAAAAAAAUUGUAAUAAUAAGAGCAUGAGUAUUACCCAUUGAUCCGAUUCGUCGCAGUAUCAAAUAUACAGAUCUCCAUACAUUCCAAAUUAGGGCAUGAGAACGCAAUGCAAGCCAGCAUCGUCGAAUCGAAAUCACUGCAACAUCAGACCAGUUAGAUUUACAUACAACACAAUGAAAAAUCCAGAAAAAAAAUAGUGCAGCGUAACAAAUAGACCAUGCGAUGACAAUCCCAUUUUCAAAAUCCCUUUAUUUCUUGUUCCUUUCAUGUAGAUUCAGAUUCUGCAUCGAUCUUCACGAACCAACCUAUGUUUUCCGAUCUACUCUAGCAUUGCAUUUUAGCACUAUAUUGAAGUGCAAUGUUCCGAUUAACAGAUUUUAGGUUAUACAUUUCGAUUUUGCUUAAUUUCAUUCGUUCAUUCAAACCACAAUCGCAGAUCUGGAAGCAUCGAUCGAUUCAAAACAAAAUUCCAACACACACACCUUUCCAUUCGAAGAGAGAGCCUCACAAUCCCUGGACAUUUCUGCAACAUGGACGCGACGAAUCCGACUUGCACAUUCGCUGGAACCCUAAGUUUCAGCUCCUCCGCCGCCUUCCAAAGCCUCUUCGCCGUCUCCCUCCAACCUCUACACACCCUCGCCGCCGCCAACAACCCCGCCGGAGGCAGCCUCCUCAUCACCUCCCACAUAAGACUCACCGGCAACCCGCACGGGUCAAUAUCCAGAUCCAUAUCCAGAUCCAGAUCCUCCUCGUGAAACGAAUCUCCAUCCGCCACCUCAUCCGGCUCCACCAGAUCGACCCCGCCAGCGCCACGAUCGACAAGAUCGUCGAACGAUAGCGCGCGGCAUAACCGCGACGGCGGCGGCUGACGGAGCGCGGAAGCAGCCGAGGACGGCGCGGAAAUCGCCGAGAGAGAUGAAUCGGUAGGAGUAGCGGCGGUGUCGGAGACUGCGACAGGGGUCUUGAUGUUGCAGACGUGACCCUUCUUCGGUUGACCGCAUCGGCCGCAGUUGUAACUGCCGCGUCUUUUCCCGCGCUUAGCGUCGGUUGCGGUGGUGGUGUCGCCGCUUGCGGUGGUUAGUGGUGGCGCUGCGGCGGCGAUGUGAUUGCGUUGCAUUUUGUGUGGUUUAGGGAAAUGGAGGAAAGUGAGAUGAUGAUGAUGAGAGUAAAAUAUAAGACACAGCGCGGGAGAGUUGGCGCGCUUUUUGUAUUGUUUUCGACGAGGCUUGUUUUAAUUUUUUUUAAACAUUUGUUUAACGUGCUUUGUGGUUUUAUUUAUACACACUCAUGCCUCGUUAAUUACUUCAGAUUUGGUAAUUAAUCAACCUUUUUGUUGUAACGUUACCUUCCUUAAUCACAAGACGCGUGUAAUAUCUAAAUUCUCUAGUUUGACUAGUUUUUUAUGAGUGUUAAUGUGAUUAAAGUUGUUUGUUUUUUUAGAGUGAUUGCAAUCUUGGUAUUUAAAUGCUGUUAUUGAUAAUUAUAGCCAUCCUUUUCUUUUAUUUUUAUUUUUUUUGGUUGAAUAUUGUUUUUUCUUUUGAGAUAUACGAGUGGGUUGGCAAACGAGGCUUGACAUGGUACCGGUUCGUUUGGCCCAUUUUUUUGUUAUUACGACUUUGAACUCAUAUUUUAAAAGUGGAUAAGCUAAACUAAACUUACAUUUUUGUGAGUUUGGCUUAGGUCGGCUCAUCAACUCAUAUUUUGUAGGUUAUUUGGUUUAAAACUUCAUGAUUGCAUAACAUAAUUAUUUAUAAUUGUUUAUUGAGUUAAGUAACUCUUAUUGAUAAUUGUAUAGUACAUCUAGCAAAAUUAAGAAAGUUAUGUAAGUGUGUAAUAGAAAAAAAAAAUGACAUUUGGCAGAUGGUUUGGCAUUAACCUUUGCACUUGAAAGUAGCUUUUGAGCAUGCAUUAUAGUUUUUAAUAAUAAAGGAUAAUAAAUAUUUAUUUGAUAUUGUGAUCGGUGAGUUUUUCUUAUUGAGCUAAGACCUUUAAAGAUAUUAAAUAAGUAUAAUACUGUGAUGAUUCUAAUUUUUAUAUUUCACAAUGUAUAAAAGUGAAAGAAUUAUUAAAAUUACUCAUUGAACAACCUUUUUUUAUUCCACUACAUUAUCUAAAAUCUAAAUGGAUCGACCCACAACUUGUCGGUCCGUUAAAAUAUGGGUUGAAUUGAGAUUUUAAACACAAUUGUUAAAAACGGAUUCUGACUAAAUCAAUUAGUAUUUUAGCGGAAUGAUAAAGGAUUGAGUCCAUCAGUCCAACCCACCCACCAACCCAAAUUGCCACACCUGCGUGUUAAUUUCGAUCGAUGAAAUUAUUUCUCAACGUUUAGUUAAAAAUAUAAAACCCAAAUAAAUGUAAAAAAAAAAUUGAAAGUCUAGUCUUCGGAAAUUAUUACGCUGGCUUACAAAGUAGUAAUUGGAAAGGGAAAAACCAAAAAUAAAUGUACAUCACUCCAUGAUGACUGGGACGAAUUUAUAGGGGACAAGCAUCACUUUGACCCGCUUCAUGAUUUUAACUUUGAGCAAGGUGAGUAACACUUAAUUUAAUACAUUUUUUUACUCAUUUUCUUCUAAAUUGUUUGUUGUUUAUAUAUUUUAAAAUGGUUGUUGUCGUAGAAAUUGAAUAUUAUUUAUUACAUCUUCUUCCAUAUAUAUUCUCGUUUAAUAUUAUAUCUCUCAUCUAUCACCUUUAAUAUUCACCGAUCACAAUUUUUAUCAAUCACUUAACCAAUAAUUAUAAUUCUCUCUCUUUAUAUAACUCAACUUUAAAUAGGGGUGUUUUAGUUAAAUAUUAUAUCAAUCAAUUAAUGAACUCUUAAACUGUGGACAUUACCUUAAACAACAACCAUUUUGUAAUGGAGGGAGUACUGAUUAAAACUAAUGUGAGCCCUCCAUAUUUUUUAGUGAGACUCAUAUGAUUUUGGAGCAAUAUGGAUUAGAACAAUUGUUGGGUCCGAGAGAGCAAACUAUUGGGCUUGGAACAACAAUGUUGAACUCCACCGUACGUUAGAAAGGGUCACUCGUCAAAGAGGCAACUGGGUAGCUUAUGUCCAACGAGGGAAAAUAACUAAGUCAACAGGCUGUAUCCUAGGAUUAUCGCUCUAUGUUGCCCAAGUCAACCAAUCACCGUUGCUCGCUCUUUAGGUCGACCAAUUCUACCCAUUGACUAGCGUCGUCCCCUGUUUAGUCAACCAAUUGUAUAAUGCGAGAGACCCUUAGGGCAAGGAGGUAUAUCUACCAUAAAAAAAGGGGACUUUCGUAGCUCUAUAUAUGUUCAAUUUUUCCACCUGAAUAAGACUCUAAGUUUUUUGCUCAGUUGUUUUUGUCUUAGACUUUUUAUUCUAUAACAGAUUUAGUGGUGUUCUGAUAUAAAAUCUCAACAGCUACACGCAGCGACAGAUCCAGGAAUUUAAUGUCGUGGGGGCAAUAUCUACAUAUAGAUUUGUAAUGGAGAAAAUAAAACAUUUACUAUUAGAAGUUUGAAAUACAUCAUAAUUGUUCCCUACGAGUUUUCAUAUUUUGAAAACUCUGCACAAUUUUUUCAUUCUCAACACUAUCAAAUACAUCUUUCUCUAUAUAAGUAACUAAACAAUCAUUUAACCAUUCAUCUCCCAUACGAUUUCUCAUCCGGUUCUUGAUGAUAUUCAUAGCGGAGAAAGCGCUUUCAACUGUUGUGGUUGCUACAGGUAGUAUCAAAGCUAACUCUAUGAGCAAAUAUACCAUUGGAUACACAAUAUGCUUCCUAGUCUCCACAAGCUUUAUAGUACGAUCACUAAUUCCGCUCAAUUCUGAAAAUGUACAAUCAGAGCAUAUAUCCAUGAAGUAAUUUUCAAGCUGAUUAUCCAAUGCCAAAAGUUCAACCGGAGAAAAAUCUGAAGGAUAAAAAUGAGCCAAACGAAUCAAUUUUUCCUUAUCAAAUGAAGCAAAUGAGUCUAUUAGACUUAAGCAUGCUACACAAAGAAGCAACUCAAUAUUCACUUCAGUAAAAUGAUUAUUCAACUCUUGAACUUGUCGAUCAGUCACUUGGUAAAAUAAUUCAACUUGAAAAUGAUGCAAAUUAGAAACUUUCUCCAAGUUGCGCCUUGAUCUUCCUUGUGUUUGAAAUGUAUCAUUCAUAUUAGGAAUGACAACAUUGUGUUUUUCACAAAAUAAUGAAACCCCAUCAAGCAAAGAAUGCCAAGCAUUAUCCCUCAUAACUUGCAACCUUUGCUUUGACACAAUAACUAACUUCAUAGCAUUUACAAUGUCUUGAUCACUUCUUUGUAAUGCUUUAGAUAAUUCAUCAGUAUUCCCUAAAAUGUUCUUCAUCAUGUGCAAGAUAAAAACAAAUUCAAAAGAUUGCAUCAAAUUCAACAAAGCACAUGAUUCUCCUCUUUGGUCUAAACUUAUGCCAUCUUCCUCAACAAUUUCAAGCACAUCAAUCAUUGAAGAGAACAAAAAAAUUAUAUUAAGUAAUGCACCAUAAUGUGAUUCCCAUCUAGUAUCUCCUGAUUUCUUGAUCGUAAUUUCUUGAUUCAAUGCACGACCACUAGAGAUCUUGUUGGUGAUUUUAGAAUCAUCAAUGUAUUUUAGUAGUAAUGUGAUCUACUAUAGGCUGAUGCAAUUACGCGUUAGGCUAGGAAUCGAGUCAGGUUAGUGCGGAGUGCACGCUCGGUGAGCCAACGCAUAAUUGACCGCGAAUACGAACCGGGGUCCAAGGGGCGGAGCCCUUGGCUGGUGACCCUAGUUUGAAAUUAUUUGAAAAAUUGUGACUUAUUUUCGAACGGUUGUGAUCAUUCGUGCAAACACAACCUCUUAUAUAAGGUUACUUGCAGCCUAAGGAAUUCUAUACAAAAAAACCAGAAACAGAAUACAGAAACAGAAAUACGAAAAACAGAACAUCUCUACUUUCUUUAUCUGUUCUCUUGUGCCAAGAAACAGAUUGAUUGUCAAGUAUUAUCCCAACAAAGAUUUCGUGAACCCAGGCAAUUAUAGGGUCGAAAUAAUUUGUUCGGAAAGUGGACGCUCACGAUUCUUGACUUUAUCCAGGAUUAUCACAACAAGUUUUUUCUUGUUCACAUAACGCAAAGCAACAACCAUUUGUUCCUUAAUUGAGACCAGUGUUAUCAGACUCAGACCGGUGAUCGACUUGGUCGAGGCACUGGGUCAAUGAGUCAAUGGUUCAACCACUGGGUCACUGGUUGAACCGUUUGACUCGGUUGAUAAUAAAAAAAAAAUCAAAAUACCAUAACAAAAUAUCACAAUACAACUAUACAAGACUUCACAAUUGAAAAUUUAACUGAAAUAGAGAAAGAUACAUAUACAAUACGGGUUCAUUAGAAAUCAAACUGUCAAACUUCACAUAAUACAUGGCAAACUUCACAUAAUACAGCAGCUAAGCAAUACAACUAUACAAGUAAAAAAAAAAAGAACUAAUGAAAACAAAACAAAAUACUGAAAUAGAGAAAAAAAAAUUUCGCAGGCCAAACAAAAACGGUUUCCAUAUGUUUAGAAAAAGAAUUUAAAAGAAAGAAAGGAAUCAGGUCAUAGAUGGAAAUCAAUUCCAAUCUUUUUUCCCAUCAGUUACUUAUCUUCCCCUUUUUACGGGAAUUGGGUUUGGGGCCCCCCCUAUGGGGCUCCGCACCCCACUUAAAGUGGGGAAAUUACUGAAAAGCCCCCCUUUAAUAGAAUACGGAAAAUUAAAUUCCGUAUUCAAUACAGAAGAUAAAGUUCUGUAUUAUAUUCGUAUGUAAACGACAGGGGUUUUUUCAAACCCAUUUCAGCGCUCUCCAAACCCAUUUCAAACCCAUUCUCCCCUUGCUCUUCAAUCUUCGAUCUCCGACGCAUUCCUCGCUUGAAUCAUCAUCUGGAAAGGGUUCCAUCAUCUCCAUCAAAGCUAUUCAUCAAACCCAUUCUCCCCAUUCAUUGCAUUGAAACCUAGAGGUAAGUAAGUUUGGAUUUUCACCAUUUAACUUGAAAUUAUGUGAAUCAUUCAACCCUAGGGUAGUCGAUUGAUGCUUAGGUAGAGGUUAUGUUGGCUGAAAUGGUAUAAAUUGGCUUUGGGGCGAGUUCUGAUUCAGCAAUGUCGUUAAUGGAGGUUCUGGUUCAAUACGGAAAAUGAUUUUCCGUAUUCGAUAUGGAACAUCAUUUUCCGUAUUCGAUAUGGAACUUAAAUUUCCGUAUUUGGGGUCUGUUUAGUCUUUAAGCAAAAAUCUAAUUAGCUUGACUAAUUUAGAAAAUGUUUUUAAAUUGAUAAUUAAGAUAGUGAAUUAUUUAGUGAAUUUAUUUAGAGAUUUAACUGAGAGAUUUAGUAAUUGAGAGACUAUAAUUUAUUUAGUGAAUUUAUUUAGAAAAUGUUUGCGCUGAAUAUAUAGUGAGAAUGAAGAACAGAAAGAGGUCUCGAGCUAGUGAGGAUGUGGGGGCUACUGAGGAUAGACACCGACGCUUACAUGCUUCUAGCCGGCGCGGCGAUCAUGCUGCAACCUCUCAGGCGGUGGAGGCUUCAGUUCCAGUUGAUUCAAUGCAGUCGCCCAUGGUAGAGUAUUCGGCUCUAGUUGACCCUACUGAUCUAGUUCCUACUCCGCCGUCUCCCAUGGUUGAGUUAUCUCGCCAUGAGUCACCAGGCGAGGAGUCAUCCGGCGAGGAGUCAUCCGGCGAGGAGUCAUCUGACGAGGAUAGUAUUCCUCCUCCUGAUGUUGAUGCUGAUGUCGUGCCAGAGGCACAGGGUGGCGAGGAGGACCUGAUCCAGAGGUUGCCGCCGUUUCCGGGGGGGCCUGUUGAGCUGUCGCUUCUCACGCAUUAUGCUGAUCACAAGGCUCCCUAGACGUGGCAUGCACUCCUACGCACAGACGAGCGGUAUGCGGACCAUCGACACUUGAAGGUGGCCACAACUGGGGGGAAGGUUUGGAACCUUGCUUGUGAUGGUGAUUCAGACAGUCACAGGCGGGUUCGAGAGUUGAUUGAGCAGACGGGUCUUCAUCAGCUACCCUGGUGCAGCUACCCGGAGACAGAUGUAGGCUUCAUUUUGGCCCUUGUGGAGCGAUGGCAUAAGGAGACUAGUAGCUUCCACAUGCCGUUCGGGGAGAUGACUAUCACCCUGGACGACGUGUCGGCUCUUCUCCAUCUCCCCAUGGGGUCGAGGUUCUAUACGCCUGGGAGGGGGGAGAGGGACGAGUGUGCAGCGCUCUGUGCUGAGUUGAUGGGAGGAUCUGCUGUUCGUUAUCAUGCUGAGUUUGAUACGAACAGGAGCCAGACUAUUCGCUUUGGGGUCUUGAAGACCUUGUAUGAUGCUGCGUUGGAGGGUAUGUAUUAAUUAUUAUUUGAUUAAAUUGUAUCUAUUAUUAUUGUAUUGUUAUAAACUGUUAACUCAAUUCAUUUCAUUGUAGAUCACCGAUACGAGGAUGCUGCGCGGAUUUGGCUGGUGAACCAGCUAGGCGCGACGCUCUUUGCUAGCAAGAGCGGAGGCUACCACACGACCGUGUACUGGAUAGGGAUGUUGCAGGAUCUUGGUCGAGUGUCCGAGUACGCGUGGGGCGCGAUUGCGCUCGCUACGUUGUACGACCAGCUUGAUCGAGCGUCCAGGAGGGGGACGGCCCAGAUGGGAGGUUUCAGCUCGCUACUGCUAGGAUGGGCCUACGAGUACCUUUCUGACCGCGUUAUUAUCCGGAGGGCGGAUCCGGACUACUCGCAGGACCAGCCUAGGGCGCGGCGGUGGGUUACGUCCCGGGUCGGGCAUGCAGGCCUCGAUGAGAGGCGAGUCAUGCUCGAUGAGCUGACGGUGGAUGACAUUAUAUGGACCCCAUUUGAGGACCAUCGGGCUCAUCGACCACGGGAUCCGAGGGCCAUGUAUUCUGGCUACAUCCGUACGCCAUUUGGCUGUGCUGUUCGACGACAUCUACCAGAGAGGGUUCUGCGCCAGUUUGGCUACACACAGGAUGUCCCUCGACACCCCUCGAAGAUCCAGACGACUGGGUCCCUUGCUGAGACCGCAGAUGCUGCCUAUGCUGACUUUGUGCCGCACUUGCGCCCUCAGGGGAUCCCUGCUACUUAUUCGGGAGAGGCUGUGGAGGAUUACAUGAGGUGGUAUAGCGGUGUGUCUCAUCGGUUCAUCAUCCCUGAUGAUAGGAGGGAGGAGUUCAGUGCUGUGGUAAUUUGAAUUUUAUUUUCCAUUCAAUUGUGAUUUUUUGUUCAUGAUAUUUUAUUUGUACCUAACCAUGUAUGUACAUUAUUUUUGCAGACGGUUGUGCGUCGGGCCGUGGACUUGUUGGAGCAGUCACUUGAGGUGCCAGAUGCUCUUGCAGUGGGCACGCAUGCCCGAUCCCUCACUGAGAGGGCGCUGGAUCUUAUUAGAUCCAGCGCCUUCAUUGGUACCCAGGGAGUAGCCUUUGCUGCUGUCCGAGGAGCUGGAGCUGCAGGAGGCAGAGCCCGUGGAGGCAGAGCCCGUGGAGAGGGUGCUCCUGCAGAGGGUGCUCGUGGAGACAGAGCCCUGAAGGUAUGAAAAACGGUAGAAAGGGGGGGUUUGAAUAACGUUUUCAGAACAAAACUUCCACCUUAAAGAUUUUGACAAAUCUUUCGAGAACUUAAGUGCUAAAGAUAAGAGAUAGAAAAGCACACAAGGAUUUUAUCCUGGUUCACUUGAUAAAUCACUCAAGCUACUCCAGUCCACCCGUUAAGGUGAUUUCUUCCUUCUUAGAAUGAAGGCAAUCCACUAAUCAGGUAAGAGUUACAACUGCACUUGAAACCUACAAGUGACUAACAAUUACACUGACUUAGCUCACACUAAGAUUCACUCUCUUAGUCUUCUCUAGGAUCCGAUCAACCUUGAUCUCCUAAAGGAACUAAACAAACUGUUUAUCAAAGAAUUGUUUACAAGAGAUUUGCUUCUAAAAAGCUAAUAGUAAACACAAUGAAUUUCAGAUGAAAGAAAGCUUAGAAUAUUUUGAAUAUGUCUUGCGCGUAUAUGUGUUUCUUUCUAGCCGCUUCUUUCAAUCUUCAGCCUCUAUAUAUACUCCAAGGAUUAGGGUUGAGCGUUGCAUGGGAAAUGCUACCGUUGGAGGGCAGUUCUGGAAAAUCCAGCUUCUGCUGUGGCUGAGAACGUUAGGUAGGUCGUCAGGAAGGUACACUUGCUUUUGUACUUGGAUAGCGACUUGACCUUUUAACCUAGGAGACUUCUGAUCAGGGGAAUACUUCAUAUUGGAACUUGUGAAGCCGGUUGAUCAGAGUCAGAGGGAAAGCACAGAUCCUCUGACCAUUGUAUCUUCUGAUUCUGAACUCAGAGGGAAGAACAUGGCCUUCAGAGUUUCUUGCUUCUGGACUUCAGAGUUUCCACUAUUCAGCUUCUGGAUCUUCAGAGUCUUCUACACCAUCAGAACAUCUGAACCUUCAGUGUUUCUUGGUUAUCAGAACUUCUGGAUCUUCAGAGCUUCUAGCGACUGAGUCCACAUCAGAGUUUGUAUAGCUUCAGAACUUCUGAAGCUUUUCCACUGUUCAUACUGAACAUGGUGAAUGCGAAAGCGUUGCUUGGGUUACCCUUUAUACACAGUGCUUCUGAUUUGUGUGAGAUUGAGUUGAGGUCAGAGCCUGUAAAUAGCACACUCAGAAAAACACGUUAGAGUACCACAAUUGUUCAUAUCAAAAGGUUAACUUGUAAUCAUCAAAACAUAGAGUUGUACUACUAGAUCAAAACUUGAUCUUACAAUCUCCCCCUUUUUGAUGAUGACAAAACUAAGAUUUUUGAUGAACAAUUCUUAAACAUUAAACUGAAUUCACUCAGAGUUUAGAGAUAUAGAAUAAGACUUAUCCUGAUGUGAAUAGUUUAUCUUGCUCAUUCUGAAUUCAAGUCACUGCUUGAUUCUGAGCUUAGCUCCCCCUGAAUCUAAUACGUGAUGAAAACGUUAGUAAAGUCUAGAUUCUGAGCUAAAAAAUAUAAGAGUUCAGAGUGAAAAGCUUAUGACAUAGAUGAAAAACGAAUAAUCAGAGCGCAUAAGUGAUCAGAGUCAUGGACAAGGUAUCAGAGUCUUAGGUAUCAGAGUCAACUUAGAAUCACUUCAGAAGAAGUGAAAUGUAUUCCUUGUAUUUGCCCAGUGACACAUCUAUGGUCAUGAAGGUGGAACUCUUAAAAUCUCCAAAAGAAAAAUAAGUCACACUAACACAUCUUACAAAUCAAAAACUGGGUUUACUCCCCCUUUUUGUCAUAAGCAAAAAGCUUGGGGUGUGAAAAACUUAGCUUGAAGUACAAGGUACUCCCCCUUAGAGAAGGUCUAAGUUUAAAAGAAAAUGAAAACGAUGUAAGAAUCAGAGUUAGGCGAAAAUAAAUAGAAGAGUUAAUGCAAGGGAUGAACGUUUACCACCGGUCAAGUGAGUAAAUAGAAGGGUCAGUUACCAAGAACUUAACCUCGAGAAACUGUAAGAGCAUUAACUUUCAGAGAGAAAGUGAAGCCUAUAAAAAGCGUUGGAGAGAAAGGUAAGCUUCACACCUCGAAUAAUUUUCAGUAAAAAAAAUGGCAUCAUACAACGUAGCACUAGAAGAGCUGAGGAAGAAGGCCUUUGAAGAGGACUUGUUCCUGAACAUCAGGCAUCCAGAGGGUGCAACUACCAUCGCGGAGCUGACACGGACACUGCUGGAAGAGGACCUGCGUCCAGAGUUGGAGAGAGACCUGAAGGAAUUUCUUGCCUUCGUGGAGGAGGUGCAAGAACUCAGCCGGCUUGAACUCAAGCUGCUGGAAGAGAAAGAGAGUUUGGAAGAGAAGCUCAAGACUUCAGAAGAGAUUCUGGAGAGGGAUGAGCUAAAGAUCAGGCUCAGCAACAUCCAGCAUGUACUGGAGCGUCUGGAGAAGGAUAGGUCAGAGCAGCGCCAGGAGUGCAGAAGAAUGAGGAGAGAUCCUCCAUUCUAGAUUAUAUGAUGGAAAGAAAUAUGAUGUAAACACAAAACAAUUAUGAAUAAAACGAGUUUAGCAAACAUAUGUGACAUAAGUAUAUAGUUAUGCAUAUAUAAUCACAAACGAACAAAAGAGAAUAAAUAAAUAAAAAGAAACAGAGUUUAACAAAGGAAAACAAAGGUAACGAAAAAGAAGAAAAAGAAGAGAUCCUAAAACUAAGGUUUGUCAGUGCGUCGCAGAAGUUCCAUCAUCAUGUGCUUCAUCUCAAUCAGCAUGGAUUCAUGAGUGUCAAGACGUUGUUCCAUGAUGUCGAGUCUGGAUGAGCUUGUCUGAGUAGAACUGGAAGGAACAUUCUGAGCAGCUUGAGGAUCUGGAAUGGAAGCAGAAGCAGCAGGAGUAAACACAACUGGUGCAAGUGCUUGGCAUCUAAGAGCUUCAGCCUCAGCUUCAAGUCGCUCUGCCUCAAGUCUGGCUUGUUCAGCUUGAGCUGCUGCUUGACGUGCAGCUUCUUCUGCUUGUUCUUUCUUUCUCUUGGCUUCUUCAAUAGCUUCAAGAAGCUUAUUUCUCUGUUCUAGUUCAUGAAGAGCCACCCUUCUAGCAAACCUUUGCUUUGCAGCCUCAAUGCUCUGACUGCCCUCUGCAUGCAGGAGCUGCAUCAUAAUCGGAACUUGAGCCACUAGCCAAGUGCUCAGAUUGUUCCACUCAUCAGCCACAUUUUCAGCAUUCUCACUGAGAUCAGUCUGACCGUGCACAUUGCGGAGCCUCAAGGAGGCUUCAUGAUAGAAGAUAUUGAUGCACUCAGAGAGAGAUGUGGGUUGAAGGUGAGUAUAGGGAAUUAUGGAGAGGUUGGGUGCAGGAGAGGCUGGGUGAUUGCUGCUAUGAGCUUCAGAGGCACCUUGUGGAGAACCAAUGUUAAUCAUGGGAGCAUUGGGUUCAGAGGUUCCAAGGUGAGGGUCUGAAGUUUCAACCAGAGGGUGAGGUGAUCUAACCGAGGAUUGGUUAGACACUGAUUGUUCGGGUUCAGGGUCUGGUUGAAUGGGCUCUUGUUGGUCAGGGACAGGGUGAGCUUGUUGAACUAAGGGGUCUGCCUCUUGGAUAGGAUUGGCCAAGAUAGGUUCAUCUGGGUCAACUAGACGUUCAGGUCUAGGGCCAGGAUAUCUCCUAGGGCUUGGACAGGUAAGGUAAUACUCUUCCAAGGCAGACACCUUCUCUUUUCUAACCUCCAUGAAUUUUCUAAUUGAUUCAGAGUUAUUGGAGGGAGAAGAAUCAACAACAUUGAUUGGGAAGGAUACAGGUGUAAAGGCUGUUGAAGAGUCUGUAUCCGUGGUUCUGGCAGCAGGACGUGCUGAUGCUCUGGGAGCAGAGUGAUCAGACGUUCUGGGUUGUGGUUCUGUUUGGUUGGGCUCUGGUUGGUCAUGGAUGAUGGGUUCAGAAGAUAAUGGGUCGUACGGAAUGGUAAGGAGAGAGGUUGGAUCUUCUGACCUAGAGGUUGGGUUCUGAAGCAAAUUCCAGAGAGGUGCUUCGGUAGGAGAAGGUUGAAAGAAGGAGGAUCGUGGGGAAUGUGGUGGAGAGGUGGUUUGUGCGGCUGGUUGGGAUUCGGGAAUAGGAGUGAGGGGAUUUGAGGAGUGUUGAAGCAAGGCAGAAAUAGGAAGUGCAUCAAAUAAAUUCAAAUCAUCAUCAGAAGCAAGUGCAGGCUUACUUGAAUGUGCUGAUGAUCGAGUCACUCUGGCAGGAGGUUCAGUCCUUCUGACCACUGCAGCAGCUGGUUCCACCCGAGUAGGCUUCACCACGAUUCUGACCUUCUUCUGCUUCUUCUUUGGAGGACCAUCCUCACUAUCACUAUCAUUACCAUCAUCAGGCUUUCUCUUUGUCUUCUUGACCAGAGGGACAUCAGAUUCUUCAGAGGAUUCUUCCAGAACCAUCUUCCUCUGAGCUUUCUUCUUGGGAGGAGAAGGAAACUCUGGAGCUGGCGUCAGUCUGCUGAAGAAAUCAUCAAGAUCAAUCUCGAAUCCUUGAGCCCUGAGGUCUUCAACAUAGCAUCUGAUGGCUUCAGGAUUGUCUGCUUGAGUCCACAGUGGGUAGUCAUUCAGAGGCAUCCUUCUUCCUCUGAUCUCAGAAGAUGUGUCUUCAUGAGCAGGAGCAAUCUUCUUCUGGACCAAACCCAUCUUCUUCAGAGAGUUGGCAGUGAAGACAUCGCUGACAAUUGUGCUCAAGUCCUCUGUGCAACCAGCAUUGAUCAGGUCUUGAAUGAGGCCACUCUCAAUGAAGAGAUCAGACAGCAGUCUCCCAAAGGGGAUAUACUUGAUUGCUGACUUGAUUGAGGCAGUAGUCCUAGACUUCCGGAUACACUCCUUCAAGUAGGAGAACAGGAAGUAGGGAAGGCAGAUCUUCCUCUUGUCUUGAAUGAAAAACAGCAUCGCCUUCUGGUUGAAGUUGAUGUAAUCUGGGGAACUGCCCUUCGGUCUCUGAUUGGUGCAGUUGAGCAGGAUCUUGUGCCAGAUCCUGAGUUUGGGGUGAAGGUCCAUCACCUUGUAACUUGUCUUGCCCGGUUUGAAAGUGGUGUACAGGGCCUGGUUGGUUUUGUCUUUGGUGCUGGGUUUCAGCUUCGACUCAGUGAAUUGGAAUCGAAAUCCAUAAGCAGUGUCUGCACCUAGCAGAUUCACGAAUGACUUCUCCGUGAUGAUGAUCUUCCUGCCAAGAAUAUGAGAUACCACUUGAGUAUCAUCGCAGUCGGCGUGCUUCCAGAAUUCCUUGACCAACUUCUCAUACACCGGUCCUCGAAGUCGGUUGAAGUAGUUUCCCCAACCUUGAGCUUGGACUUCAGGACGAAGAUCAAACCCAUUUCAGCCAGGUUGUCGAGGUCGAAUCUCCAUUCUGCCAGGACUUGGAGUUCCUCAGGAGCAAAUACGCAGUGAACGGCACAGCCCCGUUCUGCAAUUGGAACAAUCUGCUCUUGAGCUUGAACUUGUUCUUGUGCCGGGUUCUCAGAGCCCCUUUGACCCGUUGCCAAACCAACUACCAUGUGAGGGAACUGAGGUGCAUCUGCAGUAGAUCUUCUGGUUUGUCUCACCAUUUUGAAGAGGUUGAAGGUUUGAGGUAGAAGAUGAAGUUUGAAGGAUGAAGAGAGAUCGAGAGAGAAAUCAAGAAAGAGGCGGUUUUGAAAAGCAGAGAGUGCGAGAGUGAAAACCGGAAGUGAACGAGAACGUGUGUGUAUAGUGGGUUUUAUCAAAUAACCGUUGUUGAUUCAAAAAGCACUUUAAGAUCAACGGUUGAAAAUUAAAGAUAGAUAGUAACAGUAAAAUACACAAUCACACACAGGAGAUAAGCAUAUCUACACGCAAUCAUAACAGACUGUCACACGGGCACAAGGAAUUAUGCAUCAGAAAUUCUGACACACGUGUUGUUGUCUCAGCUUCAGAGUCAGUACCAGUGGGCACACACACUCUGAUUGAGUUACCUUCUGGACUAGACAUCUUCUGAUCAAGAAGUAUCAUAGUCAGAGGUUCUGAUCCAUCUUCACUCUGGACAAAAGUCCAUGUUUAGAUUUUUCAGAAUAAAAUUAAAUCUAUCCUCUGCUAAGGGCUUUGUAAAGAUAUCUGCCCAUUGAUGGUCAGUAUCAACAAACUUCAGAAGAAGUACGCCCUUCUGUACAUAAUCUCUAAUAAAGUGAUACUUUACCUCAAUGUGCUUUGCCCUUGAAUGCAAGAUAGGAUUCUUACUCAAUGAGAUUGCAGCAGUGUUAUCACAAUAGAUUGGGAUAUUGCUCUCAAGGAUCUGAUAAUCCUCCAGCUGAUGUUUCAUCCAGAGCAUCUGAGUGCUGCAUAUUGCUGCUGAGAUAUAUUCUGCCUCUGCAGUUGAUAGUGCAAUGGUUGAUUGCCUCUUGCUUGCCCAUGAGACUAGAUUGCUUCCCAGAAAUUGACAAUUUCCAGAAGUACUUUUUCUCUCUGUUCUAUCUCCAGCAUAAUCAGCAUCACAAUAACCUGAAAGCUUAUACUCUGAUGUUUUCUUAUACAUCAAGCCAAGGUUAGUGGUGCCUUUCAGAUACCUUAGGAUCCUCUUAACAGCAGUUAAGUGGGUUUCCCUUGGAUCUGAUUGGAAACGAGCACAUAAGUGAACACUAAAUAAUAUGUCUGGCCUAGAUGCAGUUAAGUAUAGAAGUGAACCUAUCAUUCCACGAUAGAGCUUCUGACAUACUUUACCACUUUUAUCUUCUUUCUCCAAAAUGCAUGUAGGAUGCAUUGGAGUCUUGGCCACUGUAGAUUCCAGCAUAUUGAACUUCUUCAGAAGUUCUUUAGUGUACUUGCUCUGAUGGAUAUAUGUUCCUUCUGGUGUUUGAUCAACUUGUAUUCCCAGAAAGUACUUUAAUUCUCCCAUCAUACUCAUCUCAAAUUCAGCCUGCAUCAUCUCAGAAAAUUCUUUGCAUAGAGAUUGAUUAGCAGAACCAAAUAUAAUAUCAUCAACAUAAAUUUGCACAAUUAAGAUAUCAUCUUUAUAAGUCUUGCAAAAAAGAGUUGUAUCUACUUUACCCCUUACAAACUCAUUCUCCAGAAGGAAUGAGCUAAGUCUCUCAUACCAUGCUCUGGGAGCUUGCUUCAGACCGUAGAGUGAUUUCUUCAAUUUGAACACAUGGUCUGGUUUCUUUUCAUCUUCAAAACCUGGGGGUUGAUGAACAUAGACUUCCUCUGAGAUAUAACCAUUUAGGAAGGCACUCUUUACGUCCAUCUGAUGUAGAACUAUGUUGUGAUUUACUGAGAAGGAGAUCAACAGUCUGAUUGCCUCCAGUCUUGCUACCGGAGCAAAUGUUUCAGUGUAGUCUAUUCCUUCCUGCUGGCUGUAGCCUUGAGCAACUAGCCUUGCCUUGUUUCUGACUACAUCUCCUUUCUCAUUUAGCUUGUUUCUGAAUACCCAUUUCUGUAACACCCCGAUUUCGGUGGCGUCACUUUAGUAACCAAAAGAAAAUACUUUAAGCGGAAAAACGUGAAUUAUUUUUUUUCGACAAUAUAACUAAAGACAGAAAGCAAUAAAACUCCCCAACAAAAGAUAAAAGGAACUACUAUACAACUAUAUAUACAUGCCUCGCUAAACACUACCACGUCACGAGUAACCUCCAGUGACGGGUGACAGAAAAAGAGUAACGCCCGAAGGCAAUAUGUACAAUCCAAGAUAAAGAUACUGUGUCCGCAACACUAAACUACAAAAUCUGAGAGCAAGUUGGCCCAGCGGCCUAAGAAAAGACCCCCUAAAUCCAACCAGCUCUCUGUGAUCUCCAUAGGAAACCACACAAAAGCUACCGGUAGGAAAACUACCCUGUCCCCAAAAACGGAAACAUGACGGUCAGAGCAUCGACACUACUCCUACACUAUCCCUACCCGAGGAGCCCACACUAGCACUCGAUCCUACACGCUAGCGCGGUCGUCAUCCGAAUCUGCAUCCAGGACGACUAGGUCGACGUACUCAACACUGCCCUCUCUGUCCACCCUAAUGCGCUCCUGCACUGGACUCUCGGGCUCGGGGCCCGGAACGAGAUCCGCGACGACAGCAGCAGCAGUAGACGGACUAGACUCCGUCGAAGCCCCACCUACUGGCACCUCCUCAGAGGGGUCCUCAUCAUCUGAAGGGGAUGGUGGCGGUGGAGGUACUCCCAAGCCGGGUCCACAGUGUACUCCUGGAGGCAGGUUGAAGCUCACUAUGUGCCUCCUCAUCACUCCCUCCGUCAAGCGUCCAAAUCGGUCGACACGGUCCUCCAUGAUCCGACCGGUGUAGGUCGCACGGUGGCCCUCGGGAUCGACCACCCAUGCACCUGGGUCGUCUUGAUCAAGCAUCUCGUACCUGGUCCCCCCCGACGGGCUGACCAUGGUAAACCAAUCCCCCAUACUCAUCUGACAAAUGGCGUAGUCCGCCCAAACACACACAGCAGACGCGAGGGUCAACUCCAAAGAAUUAUAUAAUUAAUAAAACCAGAUAUAAUUAUAGGAUAAUAAAUACUCGCCCCUCAGGCUUAUAAGUUUUGGGAUAGCUUCCUAGGGUUGCAUGUAUCACAAUGAAUAUAAAGAGCCAUAAAAACAAGUAGCAUGCCUCAAAAAUAGGAUAAACAGUUACCAAUCACACUCAGCAACUAAGUCAGCAUGUAUGUUGCAUGAAAUGCAAUGCUGGGUAACAAAAUGCAUUCCGGAAGAAGGAUGGACAUCAACGAGGCGGCCCUAACACCAGCCACGGUGGGUACCUUCCUGCUCGCGUGUCUCUUACACCACACAAAAGUAGUCAGAUCAGCAGUGAACCCGUAGGUCUGCCAUUCCGUCUGCUACUGAGGACCACCGUAGUGUCCUAAAUAUGGAAAUCCGGGUCUUAUGACCAUUUUGGAAUCCACCGAGGUCCGGUAUCACGCCGUGUAUUAACCUCAAAAUGAGUGCAUGAAUGCAAGUGAUUAGCCAAACAACGUCUCCGACCUCACCCGACACGUCGCCACGUGUUCUAGAUAACUUAAAGUCUCUGAAAGAAUACCCUAAGGUAAAUGUCGAUUCUGCGACAAAAUACAAUUAAUCAUAAACAAAAGAGUGCAACCACUCACGACAACUCUUCGAGUCAUCAAUGCUCUCACGAAGUCUCUCGCUUCUGUGGAGUCUCACACAUUCACAAAGUCUCACGCUUCAGUGAAGUUUUAUGCUUUCACAAGGUCUCACGCCUCAGUGAAUUUACACACUUGCACGAAGUCUCACGCUUCAAUGAAGUUUCAUGCUGUUCACGAGGUCUCACGCCUCAGUGAAGAUCCAUGCUUUCCACAAGGUCUCACGCCUCAGUGGAGUAUCACGCAUUCACAAGGUCUCACACCUCCGUGAAGCUUCUCGGCUCAUCCCUUGGAUGGCUAAACAAACUGCUCCCAGAGCGAAUGAGUAUCAACAUACCCAGAACUCGAAAUCUUCUCAACACUUGGAUCCGACGACACUUCUCGUUUUCCAAAACUAAACUUCAAUCCAAAGCUUGCAUCCGAGAUUGUUAUCCUUACUUAAAGGUUUAGAGGUUGUUUAAUAUCUUAUGAAUUUUCUUUAUAAAAAUAGCUCUUUUUAGUCUUAUCGUAUUCCCUAUGAGUUUCAAAGUUCCCAUAAACCCAAGUAAUUCCCUGAGAAGGUCUCGAUCCAUUGGAGCAUGACAAGGUCCGAACUCCGUUCGUCCUUUUAAAACUCUCUCAAAAUCUCAUAAAAAUUCGGCAUGACCUGCCCGUAAACCUCACUUUUCAGAAUCUCAGGUACAAGUGGAAUAGCAUAAAUAAAACAGCUCGGUCAAAAGCAUAAACAGCAUAUUCCAACACAUCCUAAGUUAACCAUGUAGCACAUAGCAUGUGAAUCAUUUAGCACACAAUAUCAUGGCCUCAAGUACUCAACAAGGUCGGCCGAAGCCUCAGAGAACAAUUCAGACAUUUAGCAAUUAAGUGCAUAACACAUAGAUCAAGUCGAACUUGUCGACACCUAAAGCAUUAUCUAGUAAUUCAGAGAGUAGCCCUCACCGGUGGGUCUUCCAGCUUCUUCCUCAAGAUGUUCUCCAAACUCUUCUCCUUGAUUUCUGGGAAUCUCCUCAAACGAACCUUAAGCAAAAAUCACAGAAAUCAACACCAAGAGUCAGAAACUCAGCAAUCAAAGAGUCCUAGGGUUACACAGUACACUACUACCUCCUUGGUACGACAAUCUAACGCGUUAAGACAAGUUUUCGAAAAAUCGGAUUCUCCUCCCCCCUUGAUAUAGCUCUCGGCCACUUUCCUUAAUUGGGAGGGUCGAUUUUUCUUCGAUCAAACUUGGUUCCUAGGUUAACAUAAGCCGUAACUAAGACGGUUCUAGGCUCGGAAAAAUUUUCGGAUCGAAAACUGAUAUAGGGGCAGUUUGGUCAUUAUUUUUAGCUCAAAAUUUCAAAAUUGGAUUUUUGAAAAACAAAUUGGAUGGGGACGUCCACAACGACGUUUAUGACGACAAAUCCUACUAGCACUAAGCCAAGUCGAUAGAUUAGAGCGUAAAGGUUGCGACUUUGCCGAAAAAUGGGUAUUUAGGGUAGAAAUUGAUCCCGGCGGCAUUUCGUCGACAUUUGACAAAAUCUAAUCCGCAGAACACGCUCAGGAGCAUGCAGGGAAGAAGUUUAGACGCUGAAAUCAGCUGAUUUGAACAGUUUUUCAAAAACCUCAAAAUUUUGAACUCAGAAAGUCGCAGGAGAAAUGGACAGAAACGACGAUUCGAAGGAGAGUAUAGAUUACCUACCUCGAGGUCUUCGAUUAGUGACGAUCGGUGAAGCAAACGGGCAAGAAACGACGAAGAUCCGGAUCUCUCUCUCUCUCUAGGAACUCGCGGUUUUGGGGGUGGGGAAAAUGGGUUUUUUUUUGCAAAAAAUCUAAUUUUCAAGCUAUUUAUAGGUUUUGGAAAAAACGGAAAAAUGAUUUUUUUGCGAUUCCGAUUUUUCCUGCGCGUUCCUCUGCGCAUUCUAAGAUAGGUUCUGGCGACAGAAUUCCAGAACUCAAAACAGGAUUCUUGGAAUUAAACCAAAAGAUCCAAAAUCGGCAUAAGUCGGUGUAAGUCGGUUUAUCCCGAAAAACUACUUUUUGCAGUGAUCGUCGGAUGAGAAAACUUCCUUCUGAAGAAAGAUUAGGAAUGAUGAGAGAAGUAGGAGAAUGCGGGUGGAAUCUUCAUUUGAGUUUCCGGAUAGAAAAAGUCUUCAUCGUCUGUCGAUCUUAGGUUUUUCGAACUAUCAGGGAUUCCGUUUCGGCAAACUUCCGAGAAUUGGAAUUUGACGUUCGUACUUUCCAGGAUUUCGCAUCGAAAUGGUUGUUUAAGGACGGAAAAGAGAAGUUCUAACAUUUCUCUGAGGAUUUUUGGAAUUAGUAUCCAUCGUGUCCUAAAGCGUAAAUUAACUAUUCACUAAUACCUUCGACCUAGGAUUAAGCGUAUGUUAGUUGUGCUAUAACUCUUUCGGUUUUUCGAUACAUUCUUGGACUUUUCCUGAACCUCUUUCCUUCCCAAAUUUAUCUUAAUCAAAUAACUCUUUUAUUUUAUUCACUUAUCCAAAGCGUUAAAACUUGGGCCUUACAAUUUCGUUCCAAUAACAUGGACAUUCUCAGGCUUCUUCACUAAGCUCCAAACAUCGUUCUUGGAGAAUUGAUUUAAUUCUUCUUCCAUGGCCAGAAUCCAAUCCUUGUCCUGAAGAGCUUCAUCUAUGGACUUGGGUUCAAUUAAGGACACCAAUCCUUUCAGACUCAGCAAGGUCUCUUCAGAGGGUCUGAAGGCAGAUCUGGUUCUGACUGGUUCAUCUUUGUUGCCCAGAAUCAAUUCCUUAGGGUGAGCUGCAGUGAUUCUGCUCUUCUUCAGAGUUUGUGAGUUAGAGGGACCAGCUUCUUCCUCUGGUUCAUCUUCCUCUGGCUCAACUUCCUCUGGAGCUUUGCCUUUGUCAGAAACAUUAAUGCUUAAAUCUGCAAACUUUUCAACUAGCUUUGACUGGUCAGAGUCAAGCUUAUCAUCAAAUCUAACAUGAAUAGAUUCUUCAAUAGUCUUAGCAUCGGUAUUAUAAAAUCUAAAACCUUUAGAUCUAUCAGAAUAACCAAGUAAUAGACACUUAGAAGACUUAGCAUCAAAUUUAUGCAAUCUAUCCUUAGUAUUGAGAACAUAACAAACACAGCCAAAAGGAUGAAAAUAAGAAAUGUUGGGUUUUAUGUUCUUCCACAAUUCAUAAGGAGUCUUAUUCAGAAUUGGUCUCACAGAGAUUCUGUUCUGAAUGUAACAUGUUGUAUUUACUGCCUCUGCCCAAAAGUGCUUAGCCAUGCCAGUUUCUUGGAGCAUGGUUCUAGCCAUCUCCUGAAGAGUUCUGUUCUUCCUCUCAACAACACCAUUUUGUUGAGGAGUUCUGGGACAAGAGAAAUCAUGUGCAAUUCCAUAGGAAUCAAACAGACUCUCAAACUUGUCAUUCUCAAACUCUCCACCAUGGUCACUUCUGACACGCACAAUCCUACAAGCCUUCUCGUUUUGCACUUGAGCAAUGAAGGUAGAGAACACAGCAUGAGACUCAUCCUUGUGGGUUAGAAACUUUACCCAUGUCCAGCGGCUAUAGUCAUCAACGAUAACCAUCCCAUAUCUCUUGCCACCUAUAGGCUCAGUUUACACUGGUCCAAAAAGGUCUAUAUGCAGAAGUUCCAACGGCCUUGAGGUUGAGACAACAUUCUUUGCCUUGAAAGGGACUUUUGUGAAUUUGCCUUUCUGACAUGCUUCACAAAGAGCGUCUGAAGCGAACUUCAGAUUGGGUAAGCCCCUGACAAGAUUUAGCUUGCUCAGCUGAGAAAUCUUUCUCAUACUGGCAUGCCCUAACCGUCUAUGCCAUACCCACUGCUCUUCAUCGACAGACAGAAGGCACUUCACAUUCUGAGCCUCCGACUCAGAUAAUCUGAUCUUAUAAAUGUUGUUCUUCCUCUUGCUGUUAAACAGAACAGAGCCAUCGAUCUGACUUACAGCCCGGCAGGACUUUUGAUUGAAUAUAACAUCAUAACCCUUGUCAGCUAAUUGACUUAUAGACAAUAAGUCAUGUGUUAAGUCGUCUACCAAUAAAACAUUGUCAAUGCAUGGACUACUAUCUACACAAAUAGUACCAGUACCAACAAUUUUACCCUUUUCAUUUCCUCCGAAGCCAACUUCGCCUCCAGGCUUAAGUUUCAGCUCUCGGAACAUACGCUUUUCUCCCGUCAUGUGACGCGAGCAUCCACUGUCCAGAUACCAUGAUUGGUGUUUCAGUGGAGCUAUCAAGGAUAUCUGCAACAUAGAUAAUCUUGUCCUUAGGUACCCACUUUCUGGGUCCUCUUUUGUUAGUUACCCCAGAGGUUCUGAUCACCUUGGGUGUCUCAACAUAAUAUUUUAAAGGAAUAUUUGCAUGAUAUUUAGUCAUAGAGAAAGAUCCCUUUUUAAGAGGGUUUUUAGCAAUUUUAGCAGGUACAGGAUCAGGCAAUAUGGUACCAGAGGGAACAAAGCAUUCAUACAAGGAUUUAGCUUUAGACACAGAAGGCUCAUUUCUAAUUGGUUUAGAAUAGCCAAUGCCAUGCAUUCCAUUUCUGCUUACGCCAUAGAUCAUUGAAGCCAUUAAGCUUCUAUCCACGCUUUUAGCUAGGAAUCUUUGAAAAGACUUUUCAUACUUAGAUUCAUUUCUACAAUCAGAGGCAUCACAGGCAACAAUUUCUUCUAACUUAGCAAUCUGGUUCUUAAGCAUAGAGUUAGAAUUUACCAAAGCAUGAUUUUCAUUUUUCAAAUCAGAAAUAAUUUUCUCAUGUUCAGAAGGAGUCUUGGAGACAGCAGAUAAGUUCUUUUUCAACUUUUUAUGCUUAGACAAUAAAGAGUUAUACUUAUCCAUGAUAUCAGACAAAGCAUGUUUCAGUUCAGAGGUAGAGAAAGAAGCAAAUACCUCAUUUUCAUCGUCUGAGUUAGGAUCUCCUUCUGAUUCUGAGUCAGAGUCAACAGCUUCCUUUGACUCUGCUUCCUUGUCUUUGACAAUUGCCAUGAGUCCUUGGACUUCACCAUCAGAGUCAACAUCCUCUGACUCUGAUUCAUCAAAUGUCACCAUCAGACUCUUCUUCGUCUUGAAGUGCUUCUUUGGCUUCUUGUCUUUCUUCAACUUUGGACAAUCACUUUUGUAGUGCCCAGAUUCUUUGCACUCAAAACAUGUGACUUCCUUGAUUGAAGACUUCUUCUGGCCUGAGGACUCAUACUUUCCUUUUGCCUUUCCAGAGCCUUUGAACUUGCUCUGCCUGUGCUUCCAGAUGCGGUUGAGUCUCUUGGAGAUCAGAGUCAGCUCAUCUUCAUCAGAAUCUUCUGAUGCUUCUUCAGAUUCUUCUUCUUCAGCUUGAAGAGCCUUUGACUUCUCAACCUUAGCCUUUUCAGAUUUGGAUUUCAAGGCUAUGGACUUUUUCCUCAGAUCUUGCAUCUCUGAGCGUUUCAGCUCAUGGCAUUUCAAAAUGUUGAUGAGUUCUUCUAAACUCAUAUUCUCAACGUCUCUCGUGAGCUCUAUUGAAGUCACCAAAGGCAUCCAACUUUCAGGAAGACACCUGAUGACCCUUAUGACAUGAUCUUUUGUUGUGUAGCUCUUGUUGAGAGGUCGUAUGCCAGCUACAAGCAAUUGAAAUCUGGAGAACAUUUCUUCAAUGGACUUAUUUGGCUCCAAGAUGAAGGAUUCAUACUUUUGGAUCAAAGACAAUGCCUUUGAUUCUUUGACUUUCUUGUUUCCUUCAUGAGACAUCUUCAGAGAUUCAAAAAUGCCUUUAGCAAACUCACGAUCUGUAAUCUUCUGGUACUCCUCAUAGGAAAUAGCACUUAGAAGAAUUGCUCUUGCUUUGUGAUGUUGUGAGUACAGCUUCUUUUGAUCNNNNNNNNNNNNNNNNNNNNNNNNNNNNNNNNNNNNNNNNNNNNNNNNNNNNNNNNNNNNNNNNNNNNNNNNNNNNNNNNNNNNNNNNNNNNNNNNNNNNNNNNNNNNNNNNNNNNNNNNNNNNNNNNNNNNNNNNNNNNNNNNNNNNNNNNNNNNNNNNNNNNNNNNNNNNNNNNNNNNNNNNNNNNNNNNNNNNNNNNNNNNNNNNNNNNNNNNNNNNNNNNNNNNNNNNNNNNNNNNNNNNNNNNNNNNNNNNNNNNNNNNNNNNNNNNNNNNNNNNNNNNNNNNNNNNNNNNNNNNNNNNNNNNNNNNNNNNNNNNNNNNNNNNNNNNNNNNNNNNNNNNNNNNNNNNNNNNNNNNNNNNNNNNNNNNNNNNNNNNNNNNNNNNNNNNNNNNNNNNNNNNNNNNNNNNNNNNNNNNNNNNNNNNNNNNNNNNNNNNNNNNNNNNNNNNNNNNNNNNNNNNNNNNNNNNNNNNNNNNNNNNNNNNNNNNNNNNNNNNNNNNNNNNNNNNNNNNNNNNNNNNNNNNNNNNNNNNNNNNNNNNNNNNNNNNNNNNNNNNNNNNNNNNNNNNNNNNNNNNNNNNNNNNNNNNNNNNNNNNNNNNNNNNNNNNNNNNNNNNNNNNNNNNNNNNNNNNNNNNNNNNNNNNNNNNNNNNNNNNNNNNNNNNNNNNNNNNNNNNNNNNNNNNNNNNNNNNNNNNNNNNNNNNNNNNNNNNNNNNNNNNNNNNNNNNNNNNNNNNNNNNNNNNNNNNNNNNNNNNNNNNNNNNNNNNNNNNNNNNNNNNNNNNNNNNNNNNNNNNNNNNNNNNNNNNNNNNNNNNNNNNNNNNNNNNNNNNNNNNNNNNNNNNNNNNNNNNNNNNNNNNNNNNNNNNNNNNNNNNNNNNNNNNNNNNNNNNNNNNNNNNNNNNNNNNNNNNNNNNNNNNNNNNNNNNNNNNNNNNNNNNNNNNNNNNNNNNNNNNNNNNNNNNNNNNNNNNNNNNNNNNNNNNNNNNNNNNNNNNAAGCUUUGAUUGAGAUUUAAGGCUUUGUUUUAUAACAGCUUUUGAGAAAUGAUUUAAUUGAGGCCAUGCCCUGUGAAAUGUGAUAUUUUACUUUUUUCAAAUAUCAAACUCUAGGUUUGCUUUUGGGUGAUAUUUAAGCUUAACUAACCACCUUAUUUCAAACUCUAGGAGGUAUGACUCAAUCUUUGUAGCAUUGGGGAAAAUUGGUCUGACAAUAAGUGUUUGGUGGAUUCUUCACCCAAGAGGAAGCUUUGCCAGUUUUCAAGAUUGACCAAGGGAGCUUCUUUAAACGGUCUUGAAGGUCUCCUCCUUGAGCCACCAAGAGAGGCUCUUAACAAUUCAAACAAGAACUUGAAGAUCAAGUACCUGCAGGUACUACUGAGUGCGACAUGCAUAUGUUGGCUUAAAAGGGCUCUUACCAUAAGAGUAGUUGAGAUAAACAUGACUCAUUUCUUUUAGAUAUGGCCAAGAACUUAGGAUUGAGCAAGUAUAUAUGAAUAUUACAAUUUGAGAUUUGUAGGACGAGAUGUUUGAAGGUUCUAUAUUUUAUUAUAUUGUUACCUGAAAUCACAUUAGAAGGUUUGACUUGCGUUGGGUUUCACUCGAAGUAAAGCAUAGAAAAAAGAAUGUCAGGUAAGCAUACAGAGUAAAAUGCUAGAUACGAAGAGCAUACUCUAUGUUGUUGAAUUUCGUAGUUCUUGGACAUGGUGUUGGAAGGAGUAAACGUCUUCCACGAAGGGAUAUUUUAUAUGAAAAUGAUUGUGUUAAAAUUAAUAGAAAAAAAAUUAAUAUAAUUAAUUUUAGUAUUUUUAAAAAAAUUUAAGAGGGUAUAUUUAUAUAUGUAUAUAACUAUAAUAGUUUGAUAGUUAAAAUAGUAUGAGGAAUAAAAAAUAUGAAUACAUAUGUAUUAUAGAUUUAUGACCUAAAUUUAUUAGUGCUAACAUAUUCGAGUUAUGAGAUCUCACGGGAAGGAACAUUUUACAUGAUAAAUGAAAAAUGUGUACACAUAGUUAAAAAACAACAUUUUUAUAUAACUUAAGUGUAUUUUUAAUAAUGUAAACAAUAAUUAUAUAUUUAUGUAUUGUUACAUAUCUAAAACACAAAAGCAAUACCCUUUAUGCAACACAAGUAUAUAUCUUCGCAACCAAAAUUCAGUUUUUUAUUUAUUGUAAAUCAUGUCAAACAAAGCAUCAAAGGUUGUUUGCAUCACUUCCUUGCGGAUAAACUGGGGAUCAUGGCUUACAUGAGCACAGAGCACACCAAAGUGGAUUGGACACCACAUUUGUCACUCAAAACCUUAAGGCAAACAAAAUUCAGUUAUACCUCAUAUAUGCAAAACUUAAAUAUUUUGGCCUAAUAACUUUUAUGUUUUUCAAAAUGUUUAUAUUAGUCUAUUCAGUGUAUGCUUAAAAAAUACUAGAAUUCAGUGUCUAAAUUUGUGCUCUUUAAAUAUCUACAUCUUUAUUAUGAUUGUUCUUACAUUCUUAGCAUUUUAAGUAUUUUAUAAUUUAAAAUAUUAAUCGAUGUAUCAAAUACAAUAGACAAAUUUCUCGUGCAACGCGCGGGUAGAAAACACUAGUUAUAACUUCUUUGAUGAUAUUAAAAAUUUAUUAUUUAAUAUAAUGUAUUUUAAACUUGCAUAAUUUGUUUUUCAUAUAAAAAAUAAAUAAAUUAUUAAAACUAACUUAAUGCUAAUUAUUAAAAUAAAUCAAAAAAUUUGAGUGUGUAUAUUUUUACACAAAGGAAACUCUAAAUCGUCUCAAGAUAAUCAUUUUUAAUUUUAUAGUACUUAUAAUUUAAAAUUAUUCUAAUAUUCAUUUAAAGUAUAAUAAUUUUUAUAUAAUGUUAAAAAAUAUAGUAAAUAAUACAUGUGCAACAAAAAAUGAGGAGAUAUACAUGAUAUUCGCUUUUCUCAAAUGGGAUCAAAAAAGACGAAGCAAACCGAAAACCUCUCGAAGACUCUGCAAGUCCAACCAAAAAAUUAAUGUCAGACGGUCCAAAAAGCCUAUCACAACCGCUAAGACCUAGCAAAACCCGCUUAAGCCCAAACAGAAAAAAAAAAAAACCCCACGAGAGAAAACCACCCAAAACAACGAAGACCUAGAAAAAGAAAACAAGAGAACAAAUCAAAAACCUCGCUCCUCUCUCAGAACAAACUAACCACGUUUACUUGCCAAAAUGUGAGCUGCAAUCUGACCUUCAACAAUUACGUCUGGACAAUCCUAAGUCAAGCCACGAGGCUUCCCCAAAAGCCUAUCACUCCUCGCACGAGUUAUAACACUAUAUGGGUUUGACAAUUCCUUAAAGGGAACCAUCAGCUCUUUCCCUGUUCACACCAUCUCUCCAUCGAUCGUCGUCGCCUUAACGAGCUUCCCACUUCCCUUAGCCCCAACCUUCUUAGGUCGACCUCUUGGUCUUGGGAGUUGACAACCUCUAUGGGAGAGAGGGAACAUGGAAGGAGGGUAUCCUAGGCUCCUCCCCCUCCCUGCAAGAAGACCCGAAAACAGAGCCGAUGCCGAUCAAUUCCACCCCAAGUGUAAGGCCCUAAACUCAUUUUAUACUAUUCAAGUGAGAGAUUGAAUAAAAAUGAAGGUUUUGACAAGGUUUGAGUUUUGACAGAUUCUGGCUGUCACCUUGUGCGAAUUUUUAGAGGGUCUUAAAGACCUUAUUUGGGACAACUUUCUUCAUGAGAGUUGUAGCCCUUUAAGUUAAGUAAAUUCUCCAAGUGGUUUCAGGUCAUUCCGAUAUCCGUAGCCCGAGAUAUACAUGUUUUAGUGACGGAAGGUCAGGCUGUACUGUACUAGCGAUUUUGCUAGAAGGAUUUUUCUUAUUUCCGAUUUUAUUUUUAAAUUCAGGGGAAAGGGGUUUUGCCUUGAUUUAUUUUUAUUCUCUUAGUCAGUAUUAGGAGGGUAAUUAGUUGGGUUUGGGCUUGGAUCAUUAAAAAGAAAAAAAAAAAAAAAAAAACCCUAGCCCAAGGUUGUGUGUGUGCCGCCAGCCACACUAAAGGGAAUUGGGGGAAAUCCUUAUUUUUCCCUUUUGUAAUCAGAAGUAGAAACCUCAUACUAUUCACGUUACUCACAUACAGUAAGGAAGAAGAGAGAAAAGUGAAAAAGAAAGAGAGAAGGAGCGUGAGAUCGAGAGAGAGGAAGAAGAGUGUGUGAUCAAGGAGGAGAGAAAGAGAGAGAUCGGUUGGGAAAGAGCAAGGUGAGGAUCUGGAAAGCGGCUCUUGAUCAUCUUUUCAUCUCAAAAACUUCUGUUUUUCAUCACCCUAUUUCAUUCAAGGUAAGGGCUUGUUCUUAGGAAAAGGGUAGAGUUAGGGCUUUAUCAUGAUUGUUUUGUGAUGUUGUGAUCUUUGGCAUACUUUUACGAAGACUUGUUGAGUGUUGUUGGUUCUGGAAAUUAAAGCAUGAUAUGAGACACGUGUUAACUGAAUCCUUGUUGUUGAAAUAUAGCUUAAAACCUUGUGCUUAAUUGGUUUAUAAAUUAAUUUAGAGGCGGAAGUUUCUCAGCCAGUUUUCUGUACUGGACAGUGGUCUUCAGGGCCUAUUUUCACCCGUUUUAAGAUCUCGGAUAAAAACGUGUUUAACUAUAGAGUUGUAGAUCUUUAAAAUAGCUUUUCAGAAAGGUAUCAUACGUGGUUUUGGUUAAAGGAUGCAUUCUAUAGACCAGUUUCAAUGAAUGUUGUUCCUGCUGUCAAAAGCUAAGUUGCGAAAAUGUUUGAAGUUUUUGUUUAGGAAUAUGUGAUUAGGAGAUGUUAUGAAUUUCUAUGAGGAAAAGUGAUGAUCUUGAAGGUUUUCACAUGAUGUUUUGUGAAUAUAAUUGUUGCUGGAAAUUUGUGCAGUGAAAUACAUGCUUAUUAACCUUUAUUUGAUGUGCUUGCUAUUGUUCUAUGAUCUCAUGCAUAAAUCCCAUGACUACUUGCUAAUUUUGGAUCAUAUUGUGCUUGUUUCAACAUGAUUAAUGAUGAAUGUUUAAUUCUGGAAUUUUUGGGUGAACAUGUUGAUGUUUGGAGCUGGACAAAGGCAUGUAUGGAAGAAAAGAAAGAAAGAAAAAAAAAUUGAAAACCCUAGAGCCUAAAGUGGGUUCGGCCGAACCCUAUUUUAAGGGGUUCAGAGCGUUUCUUUCUUGAUUCCAUGCUCAAGUCGUUUGAGGCUUUGCUUGAAUAAUUUGGCAUGGGUUAUGUGUUUGGAAAGCAUGUGAAUAUGAUCAUGAAUAUCCAUGUUAUAUGAAUAUUGCCUGACUGAGGAACCAUGGGUCGUUCACCUAGCCAUAAUUCCCAUUGGUGUUGUGAAUGUCUAUUGUCGUUAUGAUUAUUAUUUGUCGUUAAAGUUGAUAAGACUCUAGGACUGACUUUAGAGCCUUAAAUACAAAGAGAAUGAGACUUAACUCGCUUGUAAGUAAAUGUGAUAAAUCGGUCAUAGGUCUAGUGUAGACUAUGGUACAUGAGAACGAUGGUGCCGUUAGAGACAAAAGGUAGCUUGCACGCGAGGGAGAUUUGUGGAUCAGUGGAUCCUCGAGAAUUGGUUGACUGCGGUCACCGUGAGAAUUGUGAUUUGUGGAUCAUUGCGUAUCCAUGUGAUUGUGCAUCUGCGGAUGUACGUGAUUGGCCAAGGAGUUUUGGUGGGUUGUGUGAUGUGAGGAAACGUUAGUCUAACUGUGAGUAGGUUACUUACUCAACUAGUGCUAUUAUUACGAGAGAAGUUAUGACAUGUGGUUAUGUUCAUAUGAUGAAAGUUUAUAUGAGAUGUGAUUAUGUUUAUGCAUGAUUUAUUGUGGAACCUGACCCUUGCACUACUUGUUUAUGUGUUUAUCUGGGGGGGUAGAUGGUCGUGAAGAUAACGGCGACGACUCAUUCUUGGGAGUUGAUACUAUGUGAUGAGCCACUACCGGGUGACGACUAUACUCCUAAUGAAGAGGAAGAAGAUAAAGAGGAAGGGGCCAAGGAUAUGGUUGGGUUGAGAGACAUCUAUUUUUCCUUCUGGGUUGAGAGUACCGAGUUUUGGAAGCAUUGAACCAUUACUUUAUUUUAGUUGGGAUAUUUUAACUUGAUGUAAAUUACUUUGAAUUUUUCUUUCGGAUAUUUAUUUCAUACUCUUUUCAAUGAUUAAUAAAGUUUGAGGUUUACGUUGAUGAUUAUUUCCGCAAGUUUGAAAUGGUUAAGUUUCAAGAAUUUUGUAAAAUUGAACUUUUGUCACUAAUUGAAGAUUAAUUAACUAAACGACGAAAAGUCACGAUGUUUUGGUUACUGUGUGACACUCGAGAAAUCGGGGCGUUACAUUGUGGCAUCAGAGCUCCGGUUGAGAAACCAGAGCACUAAGGGUUUUGGGCUUACGAGUUUCUGAACUCGUUGGUGUUUUGUUUUUUUUUAUAAAGGUGUUUUCAAAGUUUCCGCGGUGAGAUUUGGGUAGAACUUGUUUGCUAAGAUGUUUGUUUGGCUUGUGAGAAUGUCUGUGAUUAGUAUCAUUGCCGUGAUACUUAAGAUUAAGUAUUUGACUCUAUGUCAAGAUAUUUUGAGGAAGUUGAUCUUGGAUGAGGGUCAUAAGAGUAGAUUGAGUGUUCAUCCGGAAAUGACAAAGAUGUAUCAGGACUUAAAACUUCAUUCCUGGUGGCCUGGGAUGAAGAAAAGAGUAGUCGAGUAUGUAUCAACGCGUUUAACGUGUCAAAAGGCGAAGGUAGAAGCUAAGGAUGAAUCUUAGUGGAUUGACAUAUGAAUUCUUGAGAUGAGAUGUCAACGGUACAUCAUUUUUUAGGUUGAAGUAUUAGAAAUUGAAUCGAUUGGAUAGGACGUCAAUUUAUGUGACUACUGGAUGAUAGGGACUCAUUGAACUUUCCAGUGAUUUUUUUCUAAAUUUCUAUCUUCGAUAUAUUAAGCCUAAUCGACUUAAUAUUGGACGGGGUGAUAUUCAGAAUUAUAGCUGGUGAUGGACCAUGAUAGAAAGGUUGAUAGGAAUUGAUAGAUGUUGGUCAAAUCUGAGAGAUGAGUUUUGUUAGGUAUUUGAUCCCUUUGUGAAGAAGUCAUAGUGCUAAGAAAUGAAUAUUCAUCUAAAAAGUGUUGAAGAGUUAGAGGACAUUAUUGGUGCGAACUCGGUGAAGGUUUAGAUUUUAAGUCCAUAAAUUAUUGUCCUAAUUGUGUAGGACUUAAAGUUUGUUAGAAUUGGAUUGAGAGAUAAAGAAGUUGAUUUGUGUGAUAGUGAUCAAGUUAUAGAAAGAAAGUUUUAGCAUAAGUUGAAUACAUGAGAGUGUUGAUAUGGAUUUUAGAGAAAUGUGCUAGGAUUACUAAGUGAGAUUUACUAGGCUGGAUUAAAACCUUAGGGGUUAAGAUUGUCCUUGAGAGUUGAGAGACAGGUAUGAAUAAGAGAUUUAAUGGUUUUAGUUGUGACGAUAGCAGUUGAACCUUUGAAGAUUAAAAUCUAGGGAUCGAAAGUUGGGCUAAGUCCCUUGAGGCAUAGUUUAUGGUUAGAUCUUGAAGGGAAUGAAUUAUGAGUAUGCAGAGAUUUCAGACUUAAAAAUAAGCUAUAAUUUGGCUUGUGGAUUAGUGAAAGAUUGAUUUAAGGUCUGAAUGAGGAUAGUUCCGAAACAAAGAUGACGUAUGGAUUGUUAGGUAUUAAGGUGAUGAUAAGUUUAUAAACGGUUGAUCAACUGGAUUUGGAUUUGGCGCCUAGUGCCCUAGUACGAGCGUGAUAUCUAGGUCUAUCUAAUGAUUGCUAGAUAUCUAACGGUUGUCGCUUACCAAAGAUUGAGGUUGGAAUGGACGCUCCAAGUGGGACACGCCUGACCACAUUGAGACUUGGUGUCAGACUUGGUAAAAUAAAUAAUAUUUGGUAUUAUUUCAUUUUGUGAAUGGUUUGUGAUUUAUGUGUGUGAUGUGAUUUGGUGUGCUGAAGGCUCAUUAUUGAGUCAUAGAGGCGGGGGAGAACACUGACCGAGUCAAUGUCUUCCUUACGUUUUGUAGUGUUUUGUGUGAUUGUGUUACACUCCCGAUUUUUCCUCACUUAGCAAAGAUGGUGGAUGGAACAAUGAGCUAAGAAAGGAUGGCGGAUGGAGCUAGUGAACGGAGUACGUCGAUCGAGAUGGUGGAUGGAACCAUCAAGGUCGAUGAGAUGGUGGAUGGAACCAUCGGUGAAGCAGGAAUGGUGGAUGGAACCAUUGGUCAGACCGAGAUGGUGGAUGGAACCAUCAGGAAAGACGGGAUUGGUGGAUGGAACCAACGAUCGUAUAUGGUGGAUAGAACCAUAGAUCGGACAAACCAGAUGGUGGAUGGAACCGUCGAAUGUACUAGGUGGUGGAUGGAACUACUGAACGAGUGAAUUGGUGGAUGGAACCUUUGAGCUCGAUGUACGGAAAGUUUGUUUUCCUGCGUCUGAGCUGUUGAUGUUGCAUCUGGAUCACCUGGACGGGACGCCGACUAGCGUGUACCGGCAUGAGCAUAACACCUGUUUGACUUAGACUUUUGAUGUUUUAGUGUGACUGCAAUGAGGCAGUCUGGGUCGUGUUCUUACGGAAGAAUUUCGUAAGGUUCUACGACGAGUGUCUAGGUUAUAGACAGUGAAAUAAGAGUGACUCGAACAUCCUUACCAGUUAUUUUUCUAGUUGCCAUUUUUAGAUAUUGAGCCUGAUCAACUUGAUAUUGGAAAAUGGUGAUAGAAAUGAUAGUUGGUGUUGGACUAUGAAAGGAAUGUUAAGGAGAGACGGACUCCCUUUGUGAAAAUGAUGUGGAACUAGACCACUAGAAAUGUCACGUGAAGACCAGAAAGAUGAGACUAAGGACAAUAACCUAUGCGUCGAGACGACUGAGAAAUUUGUGGAGAGUACCAGAGUGCGCAAUGGAAGCGUGGUGUGUCUUCCUAUAGUAGUUUCGAGGACGAAACUAUUUUUAAGGAGGGUGGUAUUGUAAGGCCCUAAACUCAUUUUAUACUAUUCAAGUGAGAGAUUGAAUAAAAAUGAAGGUUUUGACAAGGUUUGAGUUUUGACAGAUUCUGGCUGUCACCUUGUGCGAAUUGUUAGAGGGUCUUAAAGACCUCAUUUGAGACAACUUUCCUCAUGAGUGUUGUAGCCCUUUAAGUUAAGUAAAUUCUCCAAGUGGUUUCAGGUCAUUCCGAUAUCGGUAGCCCGAGAUAUACAUGUUUUAGUGACGGAAGGUCAGGCUGUACUGUACUAGCGAUUUUGCUAGAAGGAUUUUUCUUAUUUCCGAUUUUAUUUUUAAAUUCAGGGGAAAGGGUUUUUGCCUUGAUUUAUUUUUAUUCUCUUAGUCAGUAUUAGGAGGGUAAUUAGUUGGGCUUGGGCUUGGAUCAUUAAAAAGAAAAAAAAACCCUAGCCCAAGGUUGUGUGUGUGCCGCCGGCCACACUAAAGGGAAUAGGGGGAAAUCCUUAUUUUUCCCUUUUGUAAUCAGAAAUAGAAACCCCAUACUAUUCACGUAACUCACAUACAGUAAGGAAGAAGAGAGAAAAGUGAAAAAGAAAGAGAGAAGGAGCGUGAGAUCGAGAGAGAGGAAGAAGAGUGUGUGAUAAAGGAGGAGAGAAAGAGAGAGAUCGGUUGGGAGAGAGCAAGGUGAGGAUCUGGACAGCAGCUCUUGAUCAUCUUUUCAUCUCAAAAACUUCUGUUUUUCAUCACCCUAUUUCAUUCAAGGUAAGGGCAUGUUCUUAGGAAAAGGGUAGAGUAAGGGUUUUAUCAUGAUUGUUUUGUGAUGUUGUGAUCUUUGGCAUACUUUUAUGAAGACUUGUUGAGUGUUGUUGGUUCUGGAAAUUAAAGCAUGAUAUGAGACACGUGUUAACUGAAUCCUUGUUGUUGAAAUAUAGCUUAAAACCUUGUGCUUAAUUGGUUUAUAAAUUAAUUUAGAGGCGGAAGUUUCUCAGCCAGCUUUCUGUACUGGACAACGGCCUUCAGGGCCUAUUUUCACCCGUUUUUGUAUCUCGGAUAAAAAAGUGUUUAACUAAAGAGUUGUAGAUCUUUCAAAUAGCUUUCCAGAAAGGUAUCAUACGUGAUUUUGGGUUAAAAGAUGCAUUCUGUAGACCAGUUUCAAUGAAUGUUGUUCCUGCUGUCAAAAGCUAAGUUGCGAAAAUGUUUGAAGUUUUUGUUUAGGAAUAUGUGAUUAGGAGAUGUUAUGAAUUUCUAUGAGGAAAAGUGAUGAUCUUGAAGGUUUUCACAUGAUGUUUUGUGAAUAUAAUUGUUACUGGAAAAUUGUGCAGUGAAAUACAUGCUUAUUAACCUUUAUUUGAUGUGCUUGCUAUUGUUCUAUGAUCUCAUUCAUAAAUCCCAUGACUACUUGCUAAUUUUGGAUCAUAUUGUGCUUGUUUCAACAUGAUUAAUGAUGAAUGUUUAAUUCUAGAAUUUUUUGGUGAACAUGUUGAUGUUUGGAGCUGGACAAAGGCUUGUAUGGAAGAAAAGAAAGAAAGAAAAAAAAAUUGAAAACCCUAGAGCCUAAAGUGGGUUCGGCCGAACCCUAUUUUAAGGGGUUCAGGGCGUUUCCUUCUUGAUUCCAUGCUCAAGUCGUUUGAGGCUUUGCUUGAAUAAUUUGGCAUGGGUUAUGUGUUUGGAAAGCAUGUGAAUAUGAUCAUGAAUAUCCAUGUUAUAUGAAUAUUGCCUGGCGGAGGAACCAUGGGUCGCUCACCUAGCCGUAAUUCCCAUUGGUGUUGUGAAUGUCUAUUGUCGUUAUGAUUAUUAUUUGUCGUUAAAGUUGAUAAGACUCUAGAACUGACUUUAGAGCCUUAAAUACAAAGAGAAUGAGAUUUAACUCGCUUGCAAGUAAAUGUGAUAAAUCGGUCAUAGGUCUAGUGUAGACUAUGGUCCAUGAGAACGAUGGUGCCGUUAGAGACAAACGGUAGCUUGCACGCGAGGGAGAUUUGUGGAUCAGUGGAUCCUCGUGAAUUGGUUGACUGCGGUCACCGUGAGAAUUGUGAUUUGUGGAUCAUUGCGUAUCCAUGUGAUUGUGCAUCUGCGGAUGUACGUGAUUGGCCAAGGAGUUUUGGUGGGUUGUGUGAUGUGAGGAAACGUUAGUCUAACUGCGAGUAGGUUACUUACUCAACUAGUGCUAUUAAUACAAGAGAAGUUAUGACAUGUGGUUAUGUUCAUAUGAUGAAAGUUUAUAUGAGAUGUGAUUAUGUUUAUGCAUGAUUUGUUGUGGAACCUGACCCUUGCACUACUUGUUUAUGUGUUUAUCUGGGGGGUAGAUGGUCGUGAAGAGAACGGCGACGACUCAUUCUUGGGAGUUGAUACUACGUGAUGAGCCACUACCGGAUGACAACUAUACUCCAGAUGAUGAGGAAGAAGAUAAAGAGGAAGGGGCCAUGGAUAUGGUUGGGUUGAGAGACAUCCAUUUUUCCUUCUGGGUUGAGAGUACCGAGUUUUGGAAGCAUUGAACCAUUACUUUAUUUUAGUUGGGAUAUUUUAACUUGAUGUAAUUUACUUUGAAGUUUUCUUUCGGAUAUUGAUUUCAUACUCUUUUCAAUGAUUAAUAAAGUUUGAGGUUUACGUUGAUGAUUAUUUCCGCAAGUUUGAAAUGGUUAAGUUUCAAGAAUUUUGUAAAAUUGAACUUUUGUCACUAAUUGAAGAUUAAUUAAUUAAACGACGAAAAGUCACGACGUUUUGGUUACUGUGUGACACUCGAGAAAUCGGGGCGUUACACCAAGGACAUUCCCCACUCCACUCCCUCCACCCUGGUCGCAUUCUAAAAGAGGUGAAGAGGGCACCUCCUCAGAAAUGGUUGCUGGAGUAGCAAGAGACCGCGAAGCUAGCUCCGGGAAAUGAACAACAACAUGAGCACUAUCCCCCAAGAAACACCCUCUCCGCUGUCACCGGCCUAAUCGGCUACCUCUGCUGCUUGAGAAGUUGGGAAGAAAUUAGAACCCUAGCAGAGAGUUACUACGAAGUUAUCUAAUUAAAAGUAAAGUUGACACACAUUGAAAUAAAUAUUAAUUAGUUAUGAAUAACCUUUUAUAUUAUUCUUUAUAACUUACUAAUUGUAGUUUCAAAAAAGAGUUACUAAUUGUAAAAAAAUACAACUAUAUAUUUUAAAUUAAAUUUUAAUAUUCUUGAAAUUUUAAUUGUUAAACACAACUUGAGAUGUAACCAAAAAGAACACAGCUUGUGGAAAAUGUUUAAAUAAUAAUAAUUUGAUUUGACUUGACCUUUAUAUACAUUAAUAACAAUAUUAAAUAUUAUUUAAUAAUAUUAAUUAUGUUAAUUGCUAUUUGUAAAUAAUAUAAUAAUGAUAUUAAUAAGAAAAAUAAAAAUGAACUCAAAUUAAUUACAAUACUUACUAUGUAUUUGUAACCUUUUAAAUUAUUCAUUAUAAAAUAACUAAUUGUGAAAUUUUUUAUUUCUCAUUUCUCAUUUGUUAAAUUAAAUUUUAAUUAUUAAUCAUAACUUCAGGAGAAAAGUCAAAUAAUAACAAUUUGAAUUUACUUGACCUUUGAAUUAAUAAUAAUAUUAAUUUCUUAAUUAAUAAUAUAGAUUGUAACUAUUUAUUAAUAACUUUUUAUAAUAUUCAUUAUAUUAAUUUCUAAUUGUAACAUUUAUGAAUCAUGACGUGUCUUGCGCAUUCUCAAUAUGAUCCAACUUUUUGGUAAUUCUUGUGCUAUAAAUCGAGACCUAGGUCCUGCCACCCUCAUUCAUGCUCCAUAAAACGUAAAAGAAAAUCUCAGCAGAGGAAAAUAGAGAUAGUGAAAGAAAAAUUGCCUUAGCAGUCACCAUGAAACUAGAGUGUGUUUUUGUUCUUCUUCUUGUUUCGUUGGUCUCUGCAUUUGGGCCUUAUGGCGCUUACCAACCCAUACCGGACAUCAAUAACCCCCACGUGAGGGAGAUCGCGGAAUUUGCUAUCACUGAACACAAUAAGCAAUCUGGUGAAAAUCUCAAGCUACAAAGGGUCAUCAAGGGAGACUUUCAGUUGGUGUCGGGAAAAAACUACCGACUCACCCUUGCCGCCACCGAUGGCUCAACCUCACACAAUUACCUGGUGAUUUUUUAUGAGCAGGGUUGGACACACACAAUAGAACUAACUUCUUUUAUCCGUAUUAAUGCUUAAUUAUUAAAUUAAUUGCAAGUUAUGAUAUCUUUUAUAUAUUUAUAAGACAAGUAAACAUCUAUAUUAUGCUUCAUGUUCAGGGCGUUGGGUUUUUGGGUUGAUUUGCACUGUCCUGUUUUCUUUUCGGCCCUUUCUAUCUUUUUUAUCUUUCUGUCUUGGGUUUUCUUUUGAUAGGUUUUUGUCUGGCUCGAUCUUAGAAUCUGUUUUCGGGAUUGUUGUUUUUUUGCGAUGAUCGCGGUCCUUUUUUGCCGCCGGUGUUGUUUGGUUUGUAUUGUCUGCUUUAGAGUUUUCCUCUCAGGCCUUUUGAUAUUAUUAUAUAUUUUUAUCUUUAAAAAAAUGCUUCAUGCCAUAUGGAUAGUUAAAUAAUAAAUUUAUGUAUGUUUUUGUUUGUAAUUCAGGUUCCCUGUAGUACAAAUGUCAUGCACGAUGCUGGGACAAUAGGUUCGACAAUCACUUAACAGUAAAACAGAACUUAACCAGAAACAACAACACACAAGAAUUGUUAACCCAGUUCAGUGAAAAAUUUCACCUAUAUCUAUAGGGUUUGCACCCAAAGAAAGGAAAUCCACUAUCUCAAGAUUUAGGAAUUACAGGCACUCAUGAACACAACAGUUCAUAGUUCACUUCCUAAUCUACCAAGUGUAUUUCUACUUAGAAUCUCAACCUAAGUAUGAGAGCCCCUCUCACUUUCUCUCAAUCACUGCCACAGUGAUUGGUGAACACAAUAAACAAUCAAGGUUUGAAUGCAAUCAAACACACAGAACCCUACUUUGCUUUAUAGAAUCAGUGAGCAAAGAUGAUUCACAACUAAUGUGAGACCCAAGUUUUUAAGCUUAGAAUAAAUUAAUUAAAUUCAUAUUCACGAUUAGUUUUCGAUGUAUCGUGAAGGAAACCUGAACAAGUGGUUAUCAAAUGGAAUAAAUUUAUGAAGGAGAAAGUUCAGGAAAAAGCUGAAAAUAGUAUUAAAGUCGAUAUAAGUUAUAGCGUGAGUCUUAUUCGCUUACGCCAAGGCCUAGAGCGUUAGUAAACGACUAAUUUGCACUUAAAGACACGAUGGAAACUAAUUCCAAAAAUCUUCAGAGAAAUGUUAGAACUUCUCUUAAUCCUUUCCAUGACAAGCGUUUCGAUCCGAAACCCUGGAAUGUACGAACGUCCGAUUCCAAUUCUCGGAAGUUUGCCGAAGCUGAAUCUCUGAUAGCUCAAGAAACCUAAAAUAAACGAUCGAUGAAGACUUUUUCUAUUCGGAGCUUCAAACGAAGAUUCCACACGCGUACACCCAUUUCUUUCGAUGUUUCUAAUCUUUCUUCAGAAGAAAGUUUUCUCCUCCGACAUCAACUGCAAAAAGUAACUUUUCGGGUUAAAUCGAUUCACACCGACUUUGGAUCGUUUGCCUUAUUUCCAAGAAACCUAUUCUGAGUUUUGGAAUUCUGUCGCCAGAACCUAUCUUAGAAUUCGCAGAGGAAGGCGCGGGAAAAAUCGGAAUCGCGAAAUUUUCAUUUUUCCGCAUUUUCCAUAAACUAUAAAUAGCUUGAAAACAAAAAAAAAAUCAAAAAAAAUUCCCACACCACCAUAGCCAAACCCGCGAGCUUGAGGAAGGAAGGGGAGGAAGAGAUUUUCGCCGUUUCUUGCCUAAUCGUUGCACCGUUCGUUGCUACGCGUAGACCUCGAGGUAUAGAUGCUAUUCCUUACUUCUGAUCGUCAAUUCUGUCGCUUUUCUCUAUGUCUUUCUGUGCUCAAAGUUUUGAGCUUUUUGUAAAACUGUCCAAAUAACUUCAGUGUCUAAACUUAUUGCCUACAUGCCCAAGAGCAUGAAUAUCCGGUUGUUUUCUGCUGAAUCUCGCCGAAUUGCCGUCGAGUUUCAAUUCUGCUCAAAAACCCAUUUUUGGCCAAAGCUUCGUUCUUUGGAUUAAAAACUCUCGACUGAGCUUAGUGUUAGUAGGAUUAGUUGUUAUAAAUGUCGUUAGGAACACGCUCAUCAAAUUUAUUUCUCAAAAUUCCGACUUUGAGUUUUUAGGCUAAAAACACUGACCAAAAUACCCCUAUGUUAGUUUUCGACCCGAUAAUUUUUCUUAGAGUUUCCCUGGCCUAGAUAUCGCCUAAGAAUACCUAGGAAUUAAAUUAGAUUGAAGAAAAAGUUCGGGAAACCCUAUUUUGAUAGUGGCCGAAACUUAUUUGGUGUGGUACCGUGUCCAAAAAUAAUUUUUGGGUCUGUAUGACCUGAGUUAUAGCGUAGCUCUCUCCGUUGUCGAAAUUUUGGCUUUGGUUUCGUGUCAUUCUGAGUUCUGUAGCUCGAGUUAUGGAUGUUUUAGCGAAUAAAGUGUUUUUGUACAAAACUUGAAUCGAGUCAAAACUCAUCCAUUCGGGUAAAGCCCUUCCAUUCGUGCCUAAAUGUUGUACUCUGAAGCUUUUUGAGCUUUGUCUAAUGUUAGUUAGUAUUGUUUCGAUUGUACCGACUUAUUUUGAUUGAUUUUUGCUUUGUUUGCUCUAAGGUUCGUUUGUGGAAACCUUGGACUUGACUGAGCAAGCUUGUGAGCGUGACUUACACUGUGAUUCUGAAGGAACUAGAGGUGAGGGCAACUUACCUUGCUAGCUAAUGUUUUAGGUGUCGACGAUUCGACUUGAUUUAUUGUUUAUGCACUUGAUUGUGAUUGAUUGGGAAAUGUUUUCUGAGGCUUCGGCUGACAAUGAUGAUCAUUUAUCGCUGGAAUUUUUUUGAUAUUGAUUCACAUGCUAUGUGCUAAAUGGUUAAUCUAGGAUGUGUUGAUAUAUGUGCCAUGACUAUUGGAUUGUGUUACUUUGAUUAUGAAAUUACACAUAUAUCUGUUGUACGUCAGAGAGGAUAACGGGCAGUUAUGCCAAAUUUAUCAUGAGAUUUUGGGAAAGUUUGACGGGACAAACGGAGGUUCGGGCCUUGUUAUUGUUUUAGUGGAUCGAGACCUUCUCUGGGAAUUACUUGGGAUGAUGGGAUCUUUUUAACUUAUAAGAUUAGAGAUAAACCUAAAUGGAAACUAUUUUACAAGGAAAAUUCAUAAUACACUAAACAACAUCUGAACCCUUUAAAUAAUGAUAACAAUGUCAGAUGAAAGCUUAGAGCUUGGAUGUUAGUUUUGGAAAAUGAGAAGUGUCGCCGAAUCCAAGUUUUGGGGAAACUAAUGAGUUUCUGAGUAUGUUGGUACUCUUCGCUCGAUGAGCAGUUUGUUGUUUGACUAUCUAGAGGAUAAGUCGGGGAACUAUAAGUUUCCAAGUACAUUGGUACUCCUUCGCUCUUUGAGCAGUUUAUUUAGCCAUCCAAAAGAUGAGCCGGGAAGCUUCACUGAGGCGUGAGACUUCGUGAAAGCAUGAAACUUCACUGAAGCGUGAGACUUCGUGAAAGGGUGCAAAUUCACUGAAGCGUGAGACUUCGUGAAAGCAGAAACUUCACUAAGGCGGGAGACCUUGUGGAGACGGGAACCUUCGCUGAAGCGGGAGACUUUGCGGAGGCGUGAGACUUCACUGAAGCGUGAGACUUCGUGACGGUGUGGGACUUCAUUGAAGCGGGAGACUUCAUGAAGGCACGAAACUUCACUGAAGCGUGAGACUUCGUGAAUGCGUGAAAAUUCACUGAAGCGUGAGACUUCGUGAAUGUGUGAGAUUUCACUGAAGCGUGAGACUUCGUGAAAACGUAAGACUCCAUUGAAGCGUGAGACUUCAUGGAAGCGUGAGAUUUCAUCGUCGUUUACCCUAGGGCAAACGACAGGGAACAUUUGUUUAGUUCGACACUUGUGCGUUGGGAGGACGAUACAUUGUUUGACUAACCUUAUCACCUAACUUCAUAUGUUGAGAUUUUGAUGAUUUGAUAUUGGUGAACAUUGUUAUGUUAUUUGUUGAAUUGUUGAGAUAUUGAAUAUUGUGUUGUUACUAGAGAUUCGAUAACAUGCCAUGUAUAUACCUUAGGGUAGGCAAUGUAGAACUUAUAUGUAUAUAUACAACAUACAUAUAUAUAUACCCCCUUAUUCUUCACACGUUGCUUGUAUUAUCUAUCAUAUUCUGUGAGUUGACCCUCGCGCCUUGGCUUUGUGUUCAUGUUUGUGUUUGGGCGGUCGGCCUGCUGCCAGACGUUCAACAGCUGAUUCGUGAUGGUUCGUCGUUCGGGGAGGACCCGGAGCGAAAUGACUACUACUGAGCCUUCGACGUGGACCCGAAUUUCAUGCAGGAUCGGAUGAGGGUCGAUGUUAGGGGUGUAGUAUAUCGGGUUUCGUUAUCAUAGCUAUGAUUUUCAUUUCUUAUUUUGGGGCAGGUUAGGUCCCCGACUAUUAGCUUUUUGUGUGAUUCCCUUCCAUGAGGAUCACAGGGAGUUGUCGGACGUAGGAAGUCUUUUGGAGGCCGUUUUGGGCCGACUUACUUUCUUGGAGGACUGUAUUUAUAAAACUUAUGACUCUAACUAUGGGUCGCACUUGUUUGCCGUUGGGCAAUACUUUUAGUUACUUGAUGUUACUUUCCGUCACUUGAGGACACUCGUGACGAUGAUUUUGGUUGCAGCGAGGGUUGUGCUUUUAUUGUAUAUUAGUCGCUGUUAAUCGCGAAUGGAUUGAGUCUUUAUUUCGACAAGUCAUUUUAUUUAAAAAGAAAACGAAAAAAAAAUACAUGUUUUUCCGCUUUGGUGGUCUUCAUGUUUUAGGUCUUCAUCCUUUUAUAGACUUCAGCAGCGGUAACAUAGGCUCUAGGGUUAGCAUGGGCUGAAGUAACAGAUUGCAGCAACAACAAUUCAAAACGCAAUCUUGAUAGAUUUUGUUUACUUAUUCCACAAGUAAAGAUAGAAACCAAUCUUUUAACAAAGAUUGUUUCAACAAAUAACAACCCAUAAAUAAAACCCUUCUGAAAUAGCUACUUGACCCCCAAGUAACACGUAAAACAUAUCUGCAACAAAUCUUCAGAGGGCCCACAACAGAAACUCAAGCUGAGGACUGAUGCCCUAGCUUCACGGAAUCAGAUGCCACGACAUC